GAUGCUUCCCUCAAGGAAUCGACAUAUAUUUCGAAAACGUUGGGGGAAAGAUGCUGGACGCAGUGCUACUCAACAUGAGGCUCCGGGGCCGCAUUGCGGUAUGCGGUAUGAUCUCGCAGUACAACCUGGAAAAACCUGAAGGCGUACACAACUUAGAGCAACUAAUCGGGAAACGGAUUCGCCUGGAAGGAUUUCUAGCUGGUGAUUACUAUCACCUCUAUCCAAAAUUCUUGGAACUGGUCAUUCCUGCAAUCAGAGAAGGAAAGAUGGUGUAUGUGGAAGACAUAGCCGAAGGACUCGAGAAUGCUCCCGCAGCCCUUGUCGGGCUCUUCACUGGCCGGAACGUCGGCAAGCAGCUAGUUGCAGUUGCUUAAUACAAAAGCCAAUAUGGAUGAGCUGAGAAUAUGUGACUGAAUCCAUUGUCCGGUUAAAAAUGUUUGCAUGUGUUAAUAUGAACUAUCCUCGUUUAGUAAUGGGAUUGGAUUGUCCUGUCAUUACUUAAUUUUGUUGAGCUAGGGCAUCUGUGUGUAAAGUGUCAAAUAAUUUGGAUUCAGACAAGAACUUAGUGGAUGCAUUGAAGGAUUUUUUUUUUCUUUUUUUUUCUUUUCCAAGAUAUUGAGAUAAUGAUUGGAACAUUUGAGGGAUAAGAUCAAAGUAUCUUUUAGGAUACCUCAUUGGUAAGUAUUAAAAUAUCAAUUGCGUCUUUAUAAGGACAGGUGGUCCAGGAUCAAGAUUAAUGAAGAACAAAUUACAGCCAUUAGAUUAAAGUGAAAUUAAAGCUGUGAAUAGUACACACUUGUUGUGUGAAAAACUUAAAGGAGACAUUCCUCUGUACAAAAUUAACUUAAUAAUAUGUCCUUAUUCAUUCAUUUGAUUCUUCCUUCUCAAUCGUCAUUAAUAAAUUAAUAAUACAAAUAAGUCCCCGUUAAAGGUUAAGUCCCCGAUUGGCUUUACCGUCACGCUCAUGCAUGAUCAAAUUUCAGUUAAUGCUGACGUGAUCGAUGAUGAUUUCAUUGGGAGCUUCCUUUGUCGUGGCACUCUCAUGUUCACAUUUAUUUUUAGGGUUAAUAAUAAUAAUAGCUUCUAGAAACGCUUUGUUUUAAUGAGAUUUUAUUUUUCAAUUAGUGUAAAAAAAAAAUAACAAAAAUUAAUAAAAACUGAUUAUUUAAUGAUGUUCGGCCCUCGAGACAGUUUAUACUCGUAAUUUAUUGUUUGAAAAUUAUUUCAACAUAUGAAAAACAAAAUUUCCCAAAUUUACAACGAAUUUUAAAACAAAAUUUCGAAAUUUCAAAGAAAAUUACAAAUUUGACUAGAUUGACUGGAAAAAAUAAAAUAAAUAAAAUCGUCAAAAAUCCUGGGACCGACCAUUUCAAAAGUCUGGCUCUUUUCCAGGCUUUCCUUCCAAAUUUUCACACACAAAAUUUCUCGUAACUGCUACACAUUAAACGCGUUUCACAUUUUCACUCUCUCUCUAUAAAUAAAUACGCACAUAAAAUUUCUCACCAUCCAAAAACAAAAUCUACAUAAAAAAUGGCGGGUGAAGAAGCAGUGAGCAACAAGCAGGUGAUUCUGAGCAACUACGUGACAGGGUUUCCCAAGGAAUCAGACAUGAAGAUAAUAACAGGCUCAAUAAACCUGAAGGUGCCAGAGGGCUCAAAAGACACAGUGCUUUUGAAGAAUCUUUAUCUUUCCUGUGAUCCUUACAUGAGAGGACGUAUGAGUAAGCUUGAUAAGCCUUCGUUUGUUGCCUCCUUCAACCCUGGCGAGGUCAGUUUCUUCAAUUCCCACCUCUUGGUUUCAUAAUCUUUUAUGGUCUUAGAGGUGUUUUAGGGAAACAUUAUGGUUUUGGUUUGUGGGCAUGAAUCCUUGAAGAGAGUAUGAUGUGUCGGACUAUGUAUGCAAUAAUAAGUAUAGGGGAUCUUGUUAAGAGAAGAUUCUCUUAAUGAGAUUAAAACUUUUGUCUUAUCAAAACAUAUGUUUAGUUAUGAUAUCAUGUUAGCAUUGUUUCUGAGGAUUUGAUUGCUUGCUUUGGGAAAGGGAUGUUGAGGUUACAUUAUUCAGUAAUGAUUUUUUUUUUUUUUCAAAUGUUCAAAUUAUGCAGCCUUUGAGCGGAUAUGGAGUGUCCAAAGUGUUGGAUUCCACACAUCCAAAUUAUAAGAAAGAUGACUUGGUCUGGGGCUUAACCAGUUGGGAGGAGUACAGUCUCAUCCAAUCACCACAACAUCUGAUUAAAAUUCUGGAUACAAAUGUGCCUCUGUCAUACUAUACUGGGAUUCUUGGUAAGUUGUUACUAAAUUUAUCGAUGUCCAGUUUGCAUGAGCCGAAAAUCGUGUUUUAUUCAAUGCAAUGAGAUAGGGAUAUAUAAUAUGCCUGCUUGAACGUCUAGCAUUUUGAAUUUUCAACAAUUGGUCCGUCUGUAUGGGCAUGUAACUGAAGGAUUUCAUUUGAGGAAUUUACUAUUGUUGCUGAUUAUUGGGUAUUUUUCUGUUGAUUCUAGGUAUGCCUGGUUUGACUGCAUAUGGUGGUUUAUAUGAGCUUUGCUCUCCUAAGAAAGGAGAGUAUGUCUAUGUAUCUGCAGCAUCUGGAGCUGUUGGUCAGCUAGUUGGGCAAUUUGCAAAGUUGGUUGGUUGCUAUGUUGUUGGAAGUGCAGGAAGCAAAGAAAAGGUGAGUUUGCACUCUUGACCCUUAAGCUCCAAAUAAAAACAUAAUAACUUCCAAAAGAAUUGUGCAUGUCACAGUAUUUGUGUUCUAACUGAUCAUGGAUAUUUGAUCAGUAGUCUAGUAGAAACAGACCUAUUAAUACAUAGUUGAUUCGUCCUCAAGAAAAUUUAGUUGAUAUAUGCUUGAAAUUAUAUUCUGUUUUUUAUGCCAGAUUAUAUUAUUAGAUGACUAUAUUAACCAGAUUCUUUUUCUUUGUGCUGUUUCUCAUUUGAUUACGUUUUCAACAUUAGGUCAAUCUGUUGAAGAACAAGUUUGGGUUUGAUGAUGCUUUUAACUAUAAGGAAGAGCCAGACUUGGAUGCAGCUCUUAAGAGGUUAGCACGAAUGAAUGCUUUAACCACUUUUCUCACUUCAUUAUUACAAUGCGCUGAUUGAUGUUAUCUGCGUUGGUCCUGUAAAUGUAAAACAGGACAAACAGAGAUCACUGAUCUCAUUUGUUACAUUGAUAUUUUCUACCAUUGCCAUACAUAGUAUAAACUUGGAAUGAAGAUAGAUAUUCAAUUCAGAGGGAAAUUUUCACUUGCAGCUAACAGAAUCAUGUUUGUGAUGUAUGUUUAUUUAGGAAAUGAAAAGAUUCGUUGCAUUAUUUUAUUCCAAGUUUGCUGAAAUCAUAUUUGUUUUCCCAGGUGCUUUCCUGAAGGCAUCGACAUCUAUUUCGAAAAUGUUGGGGGUAAGAUGCUUGAUGCAGUCCUACUCAACAUGAGAAUUCAUGGCCGCAUCGCCGUAUGCGGAAUGAUCUCACAGUACAACCUUGAGAAGCCUGAAGGCGUACACAACUUGAUGCAAGUAGUUGGAAAACGAAUUCGCAUGGAAGGGUUUCUUGCCGGUGAUUUCUACCACCAAUAUCCGAAAUUCUUGGAACUGGUUAUGCCGGCAAUCAAAGAAGGAAAGUUAGUAUAUGUCGAGGACAUAGCUGAAGGCCUGGAGAAAGCUCCAUCAGCCCUAGUUGGGAUAUUCACUGGGCAGAAUGUUGGAAAACAACUGGUUGUAGUUGCUCCUGAAUGAUAUGAUUACAAUAUGCUUUAAAAGUGGACUGUGCCAUGCACUUUAAAAGCUUAGUGAAGAUGCCUCUGUCUUAUUUUUGAUACAUGUUAUGUUUGUUUGAUCAAGUUGUACUCAGCUAUAAAUGAAAGAUUCAGAACAUGUGUAUGGUACUGGUUUCUAAAUCAAUGAACGCUUUGAAAUGUUAGUGUUUUCACUGGAGAAUGCAGUUUAAUUCAUCAACAAUGUCCCAACAAGACCCUCAAGAGUGGUAGCUUGCAAAGUUAAUUACUAUAUUUUUUUCUUUCCGAUAUAUUGUUCAUUUCAUAGAAAGUUUACAUUAAUUAAAGUCUCAUGUUUCUUUGAAAGGUAAGCAAGUGUGAAUGUUUCUAUCUAGAGCUGGAAAAUGCAUUUCCGUGCAACUUACUUGAUGAAUGAAGUUUUCAUCUCUGACCUUGAUGUUUCCCAGAGCUGCAUUCAUUUCAGCUGAUCUAUUUCAUUUCGUUUGCAAAGGAGUGACACAAAACCUCCUUUGUUAAGGGGAGAAUUUAGAGUGGCUUCAACGGUUAACAAAUAGCCUAAUGUAAGACUUAAUCAAUUUCCUGCCCGGUUGCUUACCACUACUUAUCACUUUAACGUAUGAAACCUAAUCAAGAUUCCUUUGAUGAUUUUUCUAUUUGCUAAUUGAUUGAUAAGCUCUUCAGUGAAGAUAUAGUGUCCGCAAGCCAUAUGUUGAUAGAGUUAGAGUUUGCAGAAGCUACUGUACCAUAUGUUGUUAGAGGCGGUAAAAACGGAGGCAGAUCAACACACAUUUAAAUUUCAAUGACAAUUUACUGGAAAUAAAUUUCCUAUGACCCUACAUGUGACUAAUUGAUGAGAACUUGACAAUGACAAAAGAAAGUGUAUGAGCUUUGCAGGCUGGCUUGCCAAUAUUGACUGUAUGGCACCAUCCGCAAGUAAGUAUCAUUACUGUUUAAUCAACUUGGUGGAGUCCACUGGGACCACCCCACAUGGUCAGUCUUAUCUCUACUCCUAAAUUUUCAAUAUUCCAUACAUCAAACCAAUUGCAGUUUUGAUAUCAAAUUCAAUUUUAUUGUUGGUGACGAUUCUGAUUCCUUUCAUUCUCACAAAACGGAACCAUGGUUGCUGUUGGAGAGAUCUUACUCAACGCCUUCCUUGAGGUGUUGUUUGACAGGUUGGCUUCUCGUAAUUUGCUCCGCUUUGUGCGUCAACUCCAAGGCGGGGUUGAUUCGGAGCUCAAGAAGUGGGAGAAAAAGCUGAAGAUGAUUCAGGCUGUGCUCUGCGAUGCAGAGGAGAAACAACUGACCGAUGAGGCUGUGAAGAUGUGGCUGGACGAACUCCAAGACUUAGCUUAUGACGCUGAGGACAUUCUUGAUGAGUUUGCUACUCAAGCUUUGGAAAGCAAGUUGAUGGCGCAAAACCAGGAUAGCUCUGGCCAGGUUCUCAGUCUCAUCCCGGCUAGUUUGAAUCCGAAUGCUAUUAUGUUCAAUUAUAGCAUGGGGUCCAAGAUUAAAGAUAUGACUAGCCGGCUGGAGCAACUCUGCCAAGAAAGAAUUGAACUUGGACUGCAACGGCUUACUGGAGGGGCGUCAUCAACCGCUGCUGCUGCACACCGGAGGCCACCCAGUUCGAGUGUCCGAACAGAACGUGAAGUAUUUGGAAGAGAAGAAGAUAAGGCCAAAAUUCUUGAUAUGGUCAAUACCCCAAGUGAUCACGCCAACUUUGUUGUAAUACCUAUUGUUGGAAUGGGCGGGAUAGGAAAAACAACUCUUGCUCGGGAGGUCUACAAUGACAAGGCAGUUGAGGAUUCCAAGUUUGACGUAAAAGCAUGGGUUUGUGUCUCCGACAACUUUGAUGUUUUCAACAUUUCAAAGGCACUUCUCGAGUCAAUCACCUCCGCAGCUAGUGAUCUCAAGACUUUAAAUGAAGUGCAGGUUCAACUGAAAAAAGCAGUGGACGGAAAAAGAUUCUUGCUGGUCUUAGAUGAUGUUUGGAACGAGGACUACAGCUUGUGGGUAGACUUAAAAGCUCCGUUCCUGGGUGCUGCACCAAACAGUAAGAUGAUCGUCACCACACGCAAUUUAAACGUUGCAUCAACAAUGGGACCAAUUGAACAUUAUAAUCUCAAGAGUCUGUUAGAUGAUGAUUGCUGGUCCAUUUUCAUACAGCAUGCAUUUGAAGGUAGAGAUCUUAACGCAUAUCAAAUUUCAGAAUCAUUCAGCAAGAAAGUUGUUGGCAAGUGUGGGGGCUUGCCUCUGGCAGCAAAAACGCUCGGGGGCCUUCUGCGCACAACAAGGCAUGAUGCGUGGGACGAUAUAUUGGAUAGCAAAAUAUGGGAUUUACAUCAACAAAGCAGCAUUCUCCCUGUGUUAAGAUUGAGUUACCAUCAUCUUCCGUCUCAUUUGAAAAGAUGUUUUGCUUUUUGUGCCAUCUUUCCAAAAGAUUAUGAAUUCACUGAGAAGGGGCUAACUUUCUUGUGGAUGGCUGGAGGUAUUAUUCGACAGUCAAGAAACAGUGAGCAGCUGGAAGAUUUGGGCAGCAAGUGCUUUCAUGAUCUAGUGUCAAGGUCUAUUUUUCAACAAACCAGCUCUGGUAGUUCUAAAUUUGUAAUGCACGACCUUAUCCAUGAUUUUGCUGAAUUGGUUUCUGGAGAGACCAUUUUAAGGUUAGAGGAAUCCACCAACUUGUCGUCAAGGAGAUUUGAAAGAGUUCGCCAUUCUUCCUAUGCCCGUGGUUGGCUUGAUGGUAAAAAUAAGUUUGAGGUUUUCUAUGAAAUUGAACAUCUGCGAACAUUCUUGCCAUUCUGCAUAAGAGGUGGCCCUAAUACUAGUUACGUAACUAGUUUACUUCUAUAUGAUUUGUUGCCGAAGUUUAAAAAGUUGAGGAUGCUAUCUUUAGAAGGAUACCAGAUUGGUGAGUUACCAAUUCCAUUUGAAGAUUUGAGACCUUUAAGGUUCCUCAACCUUGCCGACACUGACAUAAGAAGUUUACCCGAGUCAACAUGCAAAUUGCUGAACUUGGAAAUUUUGAUAUUACGAAAUUGUUCCCGUUUGAUAAAGCUUCCGCCCAAAAUGAGGAAUUUGAUCAAUUUACGCCAUCUCGAUAUAAAAGGUGCAAAGCUGCUGAAGGAGAUGCCAUUGGGAAUGAAAGCGUUGAGGAGUCUUCAAACAUUGUCCAAUUUUAUUGUAGGCAAGGGUGAAUCUGCAUCUGGUUUGGAAGAUUUAAAAAGUUUAAACUUUCUUUGUGAUGAACUCUGCAUUGCUGGAUUAGAGAGUGUGAAUAGUCCACAGAAUGCAAGAGAAACCGCAUUAUGCGAGAAGCACAAUCUUGAAGCAUUGACUCUAGAAUGGGGGUCUCAAUCUAACAGUCCUCGGGAUGCAGUACUAGAGGAGAAUGUACUUGACACUCUACAGCCUCAUAAACGUAUAAAAGAGCUGGCAAUCAGGCACUAUGGUGGUGCAAGAUUUCCACUUUGGAUCGGACAUCCUUCGUUCUCCGAGAUGAAGGUCCUUAAAUUGGAGAACUGUGACAAGUGUGUAUCUCUGCCAUCGCUUGGCCUGAUGAAUUCACUUAAGCACCUUGCUGUUAAAGGGCUGAAGAAACUAAAAAGCAUAGAGUCUGCGGUCUUUCCAUCAUUGGAGAUUCUAAGUUUUGAGAAUUUGCCAGAAUGGGAGCAUUGGGACACCAAUAUCAAUGGAAAUGUGCACGUUGAAAUAUUUCCUCAUCUCCAAGAACUUUCCAUUGCAGAAUGUCCCAAACUCUCUGGAGAACUGCCUGAGCUCCUGCCCUCCUUGGAGACACUUGUCGUUAGUAAAUGUGAACAGUUGGCAGUUCCAUUGUCUUGCUAUCCGAUGCUCUGCAGAUUAGAAGUUGAUGAGUGCAAAGAACUCGUGUGCGGGACUCCAAUUAAUUUUAAGUUGGUAAAGUCUUUGACCAUUUCAAAUAGUUCAUUAGACAUGAAUGGAUGCAAUGGGAUGCUAUACCAUGGUCCAGCUGGCUCUUCACUGUCUAAACGCAUGACUAUUACAAAUGUUUUGGAGUUUGGAAAAUUAUUGAAGCCUGGAUUUCAGAUAUUAGAAUAUUUGGUAAUUGGCAAUUCUGAACAGCUCAAGUCAUGGAGGCGGGCCAGGAGACCUAGACGUUUUAAUGAACCAGAACACGGGCUAAAAAUUCUCGCUUCCCCUGAAGAGGUAACAAUUGAAGAAAGUUGCGUAAAUCUUGUUUUGUUUGCAGAGAUCAAUUUCUUUCCCAGAAAUCUGCGCUCUCUUCUAAUUUUCAAUAACAUACCUUUAAAAUCCUUACCCGAGGAAAUGAUGGACAACAAUUCACAACUGGAAAGCUUGUGCAUCAGAAAUUGCGAUUCUCUAACAUUCAUCACAAGACACAAGCUACCUUCAUCUCUAAAAAGUAUAGCAAUUAAGAAUUGUGAGAAAUUGCAACGUCCGUUCGAUGAUGAAGAGGAUGCUUCUUCUUCUUCUUCUCCUUCAUCCUCGUCUUCCCCAGUGAUGCUGCAAUGCCUGACUAUAGAGAACUGCCCAGAGCUCACCAGUUUAUCAUCGGGAAUCCAAUUCCUUGAGGCGCUUGAAGUACUCGAGCUAAGGGAUUGUCGAAAGCUGGAGUCAUUACCGGAUGGCCUGCAAAAUCUUAACUGUUUACAGAGCAUUCAUAUAGAUGGAUGUCCAAGUCUUGUUUCCUUCCCAGAAAGAGGGCUUCCCAACACCAUUUCGAGAGUUUACAUUCGUGGUUGUGAGAAGCUUGAAGCCCUGCCCAACGACAUGCACAAACUCAACUCUCUCGAAACUUUAAACAUACGGAAAUGUCCAAAUCUUGUAUCGUUUCCAGAGGAAGGUUUUCCUACCAGUCUAGUAUCACUUACAAUUGGAUAUGUCAAAAUGUAUAAGACACUCGUCCAGUGGGGGUUGCAUAGGCUUACCUCUCUUACACACCUCGAGAUUAUUGGAUGUGAUGAUGAAGCAGAGUGUUUUCCAGACGAGGAGAUAGGAAUGAUGCUGCCCACCUCUCUCACUCAUCUGCAACUUUCGGAAUUCAAAAAAUUGAUAUCUCUCUCUUCGACGGGUUUUCAGAGCCUCAACUCUCUUCAAUCUUUGUGGAUAUUGGGUUGCCCAAAUCUCACAUCAUUCCCAGAGGUGGGCCUUCCAUCCUCACUUUUGGAAUUACACAUUGUCAAGUGUCCAAAGCUUAAAGAAGUUUGCAAAAGAGACCAAGGAGAAGAGUGGCCCAAAAUUGCUCACAUCCCUUGUUUUGAGAUAGACUGGAAAUUCAUAUACGAUCCAGAAUCAGAGGAGUAGAUUCUCCUAUUAAGGUCAGUUGAUUUUUUAUUAUCCGUUAUAACAAGCUCCUCCUUUUUUAUUUUUUUAAUAAUAAUUUAGCAGUUCUAUAUAAUUAUAAAUCCUCCGCCCUUAAUUGAAAAUGUCACUCAUUUGAUUCCAUUUUCACAAGUCAGAUCGUAUGUUGAGGUUAUUUGCAUUUUAUCGGUGUUUAUUAAGGUAAUUAGUGCGUUAUAGGUUGAUUACUCACAGAUUAAGUUAUAACAUUUAUCUUAAAAUUUAAUGUCAUAGACAGAGAUGAUUUUUUAAUCCAAAGUUUUCUUGAUUCACUUCAAUUAGCAUUUUCUUUUCCCCAGAUCAGGCACGCGGAGAGUUCCAAUCAAGAAUUGGAGCAUGUGAAUGGGAUUUUUGUGAAAACAUAAUGAUGCAGGAACUGGGAUCUCAAAGUCAACAGAAUUUUAUUUACUCAUUGACUUUUCAACUCCUGUGGUUAUUUAUGGGUGAAAGAAAGAUAAGGGCAAUUUCAAGAAAUUUGCAAACUCUGUCAAUUUCUUUUAAUUGUACCAAUUUGUCGUUUAUGCUUUGGUUUUAUUUUUUCAGUUUUGUUUAUUGCUUAGAUGGUAGCAUACUUGAAAUGAUACAUAGCCUUCACCGGCAGAAUUCUAGUCUUGGCUUUCACCUCUCUAACUCAUCUCAUCUGUUCCUAUUGGGAUUCCAGAAAUUGAAAUUUCUGUCAUCAAUGGGUUUCAAAGCCUCACCGCUCUCCGAUUUUUGUGGAUCGGGAAUUGCACAAAUCUCACAUCAUUUCCAGAGGUGGGCCUUCCAUCCUUGCUUUUUGGAAUUACAAAUUGGAAAAUGCUACUUUCCCCGGGUCAAAUCCCAGGUCAAACCCCGAAUUAAACCAAAACGACACCGUUUUGGUUUCUUUUUUUUGUCCUUUUUGCUUCCAUGAAACGUGGUCGUUUCAGCCAAACAAAAGCAAAUGUCUUCGUUUUUUACUUCCUCUCCUCUUCGAUUCUCCUCUUCGUUUUACCAACAGACCAACAGAGCACAAAUUGCAGAAGUCACUUGCACAUCAAUUCAUCACAAAAUGCAGAGUUUUACUAAAGAAAAAAACGAUGCCGUUUUUCUUGCCAAAUAUUUUCCAUUUCCUUCGUUCAUGGAGCUCCUGCCACCGCCAAAGCCAAAUAUUUCCCCUUUCAUUUCCUUCGUCAAUCAAGCUCCAGCCACUUGCUUCGUCGAUCGAGCUCUAGCCACAGCCAUUCGCAAAUCGCAGUCCACAAUCCGCGCCUGAAAUUGUCAUUCACAAUCCACAACUCACAACCAUGACUUCACACAGAGAACGACUCCCACAGCCUUCACGCGACAGCGAGAUCGAGCUCUUUAACAUUCGAAGAACAUAUCUGGUUGCGAAAGUUGAUUUUUAAUUUGCUUGCGAGCUGAGAUGCUUCGAAUUCUCUGUUUUUUUUUUUUUUUUGUAAAUUACUAAGCCAAAAGCUUUGCAUAAGCUUCUGCUUCGGUUUUGAAGAUUGUGAAGCUGGAAAUGUUUUUUCCCUUUUUAUAAAUGGAUAAUUGAAAGUUUGAACUUUACCUUCGUACUUUCUUUUUCAUAAAUUGCUCAUGGUGCAGUCUCAUUUUGCUAGUUGAAGAAACAGUUAAGGGGGUCUGUAGUUGGGAAGAAAGAGGAAACGAAAAUGAAAAGAAAAAGCUUAAGUCUCGGUGCGUUCAAGUAGCAUUUUUUCAAUUAAAAAAUUUAAUUCUCAAAACGGCGUCGUUUUCUAAAGUUUCGGGGUUUGACCCGGGAUUUGACCCGGGGUAAAUAGCAGAACUCUUACAAAUUUACAGUUGUCAGAAGCUUGAAAAAGUGUGUAAAAGAGAUCAAAAUUCUUGUCUUGGCUUUCACGUAGGGAUGGCAAAAAUCCCCACGGGGACGGGUACCCUCGGGGAUUUUCCCCAUUCGGGGAGGGUAUGGGGAUAAUUUCAUACCCAAUUUCUUAUUCGGGGAGGGGACGGGGAAAUUUUGUUACCCAAUUUCUUAUUCGGGGAGGGGACGGGGAUGAGGUGGAAUCCCCAUCCCCUACCCAUUUCCCCAUUUUAAUUUUUAAUUUUAUUUUAAUUUUUUAAAAUUACUAGUAAAUAAAUAAUAAAAUUUAAAUUAUAAAAUUAUAAAUAUUGGUAAAAAUAAAAAAUAUCAAAAUAUUUAUAUUAUUAAACUUUUAGGCUUAAUUAACUAAUUAAAGUCCUAAAUUUUUAUUUAGGACAUUAAAAAGACCGAGUAGAUUCUAUUAGCCCAAAAGUUUUUUAUUUUUAAUAUUCUUUAAAUAUUUUAAACUUAAAUCUAUUUUUUAUUUAUUUUUAGAUGUUAUAAUUGCCCACAUCGAAUCACAAUUUUAAUAUCUAAUCUAAUCUAAUCUAAUCUAAUAUUUACUCUUGAUUUGCUCCGAUUUAACUAUUGUGUUGUAAAGGGAAUAGUCCACAUUUAUAAAGUGCCCACGCCACCAUUAAAAAAGUUAAUUUUGAAUCUAAAUUCGAUUUUAUUUGUAACAAUUUUGUAUUAAACUAUUAAUUUGUUCAUGAUAGUUUGUAAAAGAAGUUUGUAUCCCUUGCAUGCUGUGUUACUUACUAAUUUAAUGUAUGUGACUUUUGUAAUGGAUAUUAAUGUAAGAUAUAUUUCAAAUUUUACUUUUAUUUGAAUUUUUUAUUUUAAUAUGAUUAACUCAAAAUCGAAAAAAAAAUAUUAGUUAUUCGGGGAUCGGGGACCCUCGGGGAUCCCCUGUUAUUAUUCGGGGAGGGGAUGGAGAUUCGCUCAAGUAAUUCUGACGGGAACGGGGAGGGGACGGGGACAUACGCAAAAUAUCGGGGAUGGGUACGGAGAGAUUGGUCCCCUCCCCUCCCCUCCCCAUUGCCAUCCCUACUUUCACGGAUAGUUUUUAUCACGUAACCACGUGAGGAAGCAUGUGCUGGAGCCUGAAUUCAGUUAGUUAAAGUUUGUUAACCACGUGUCAACAAACUGUAUAAUCUGGAAAAUAAGCUAGCUAUUGAAACAGGGUAUAAAGGCUGGUUUUUCAGGGACUAUCGAGAGCUGAUUCUAGAGUCUUGUAGAAAGAGGUUUGUGAGAGAGAAAGUGUCAUCUUGUUCUCUGUAAAAUCCGAUAUAGGGCUCUGUAACGAUCUCCAUUGUUGAAUCAAUAAAACUCAUCUAGAAGCUUCUCUCGUGGACGUAUUCUGAGCAAUCAAUGCACAGCUGAACCACGUAAUAUCUUGGUUUCUGUGGGUUCUUGUUUUGGUUCUUGAUAAAUUCUUGUUGUUGUAUUGAGGUGUGAUUUGAUCUGUCUAAACUUGUAUCUGUGCAACUUGAAUUGAUUUGAUGAUAAGAAUCUUGGGCAGUGAUCAGAUUCGUUUAGUUUAAAGAACAAGCUGAUUACUACCGUACCUAUGCAUGGACCUGCAACCUGUGCUGACAAAACUGAAACUGUGAGUUUGAGGUAAAAAGGUCCUGGACCCUCACAGUUUAACUUUGACUUGUUGCUUUCUGGAUAAACAUAUUUUAGAAAUUUGCAAUUUGUUGUUAAUUAUGGUAUGUGAUUUUCUUCUUUGUUUUCGCUUUUGUAGAAUCUACCGUAUUACAUAUUGGCAGUUGUAUCUGAGGUACCUUUUUUGCAUUUAACUUGCCUUUAUCUGUUUUGCCUGUUACUUAACAACACAAACACAUCAUUUCCCAAACAUUUGGAGAAGCAUCUCAAGAUGCUUAACAAACUUGACAAACUUCAAGAUGCUCCCAAGCCUUGAUUCUUCACAAUGGAAGACCUGUGAGUACACUUAUGCCCGCAAUUAUUGUGAAGUGAUUGCAACUUUGAUGCAGCGAAAUGGUUUGCUGAUGCAAAGCUUUAAAACUGUUAAGAAUUACCCUGCAGGCUUGUUGGAUGUUGUAUACUCCAAAAGCCACCAACACCAAGAACUAUAACAGCAAGACUAGGUUUGCAUUAAUUCAAUUAGCUGAAAUAAUGAUGCAAAUGGCACUAUCCAGCUCGACUUAGAGACUAGUCAGGUCAAUCAUCCAUUUCAUCAACAGUUAAUGUCAGGAUGGUGGCUAGCAGAGGAAACAAAGGAUAUGUUGGAAUCAAUAAGAACAGUGAGAAGCAUGAGAGGAGCUUUGAUUAUAAGUAGGCUCAAUGAACUAGUGUUGGUAAGUGGUAAUUAGAGCAAUUUGUGAGCUUAGUAGAGUUUCAAUAUUUUCUGUUUGGGAUAUAGUUGAUAAGUUGAUACUCUGAUUAAGAAGGCUGAUUAUAGUAGCUGACUAUAUUAACCGGGUUCUCUUUUUUGGUUUGCUGUUGUUUUUUCUUUCAAUAUCUUUUUCAACAUUAGGUUUAGCUGUUGAAGAACAAGCUUGGGUUUGAUUAUCAGGUAAGAACAAAUGAAUGCUUUAACCAUGUUUCUCACUUAUCACAAUGCACGGAUUGAAGGCGUCUGAGUUGAUCCUGAAAAUUUGAUGGAAACACUUCUCUGUUUUCAUAAAACAGGACAACCAGAAAUAUCUGAUCAUGCCUGAGAAUUCGUCGCAUUGAAAUUUUCUACCAUUGCCAAACAUAGAAUAAACCAGGGAUACAUUAGCUUAAGACUCAAUUUUGAGAAGGAAGUUUGUACUUGCAGACUAUAAAAUCAUGUCUACCUUGUAUGUUUCUGUGGGGAAUGAAAGAUUCUGUGUGUUCUUUUACUUCGGGUUUGCUGAAAUCACAUUUGUUUUCUCAGAUGCUUUCCGGAAGGUAACAACGUCAAUUUCAAAAAUGUUGGGGUAAGAUGCAUCAUGCAGUGCUGCUCAACAUGAGAAUUCCUGGCCGCAUUACCCGUAUGUGGAAUGAUCUCACACUACAACCUUGAGAAGGUUGUAAGGAGUACACAACUAGAUGCGAGUAGUUUCAAAAUGAAUUCACAUGGAAUUAUAUGUUGCCGCUUAUUACUAUCACGUCUAUCCGAAAAUUCUUGGAAUUUGUCACCGGCAUUGAAGGAUUGUAUACGUGAAGACAUAGCUGAUGGCCUUGCGAAAGCUCCAUCAGCACUUAUAUCGGAAACAGCUGGUUGUAGUUGCUCCUGAGUGAUAUGAUUAAUAGAUACUGUAAAAAUGAACUGUGCCACUCAUAUCGAAAACCAGCUGUUAUGAUGUGUUGGUAAUGUGUUUGAUGCUUGUUUGAUUUAUGUUGUAUUCGGCUAUAAAUCAAAGAUCAGAACAUGGGUGUGUUACUGGUUUCCAAAUCAAAAAAUGCCUUGUGAUGUUAGUGUUCACUGUUUUCACAGGAGACCAGGUUCCUUGUUAAUGAGUCAAGAAGAAGACAAGUGAAUCCAUGUCUGAGUUCAAAUGUGUCUUUUCUAUUUCUUUUACCGACACAUUUAUUUUGAUUUCUUUGACUAGAUGACUAAAGAGUAAAGAUAGAAGAAAUCAAAACAAAUGAGUCAGGUCCCACCUGGCCCAUUGGCCCAUCUCUCUUCCAGCCCAAAUCACUCUCAUUCGCUAUUUUGCCACCUUCAUUUCACUGCCCUCAUAGCUCCCCGUUCUCACGGUGGCUGCCAUCUUUCUGCUCACGCAUCUUUCAAAUUUCAAACCUAACAGCAUUCUGUUGCUCUGUCGUGGGUACUUCAACUUCUGUCACCUUCGGUAAGCUUAUCUCUGCCCCUCUGUGGCUGUCUCUCUCUUUACAAUGUUGUUUCUUAUUCAAUUUACAGAAUUGAAUUCACUGUUCAGUUUAUGGGUUAGAUUUUUAUUCAAAAUAAUAUUAAACCCACCUCAGAUUUUAUCCCGUAGUAUGUAAAGUUCAUGUAAAGUUUCCACCUUUACGACCGUCCGAUGUUUAAAGUUCUAAUUUUGUUCCGGGGUUUUAUCAGUGUAUUUAGAAAUUAUGUCCAUUGUUUUUAUGAAAAUGGAACUAUUUUCAUUUGUUUAUUUCUCUAUGGAUGAGAAAACCGGUCUUUAAGCUUUAUAAUCUUUAUUUGAUUAUUAGAUUUCUCUUUUGUUAUUCAGAUGAGUUCAGUUUUCCAAUUCUGUGCAAUUGUUUUGUUGCAUUUUUCAAUUUUAUCUUUUUCCAAUGCGACGUUUAUGUUUGUAUUUUCUUAAAAGUGGACAUGAAUUUUGAUUUGUUGUUGCUUUGUUGUGAUUGAGUAGCCAAUUUUAAGUCCAUAUUAAACUUUCUCAAUUAUUAGUUGAAUUAUUUGGAUUUGAAAUUUUAAGUUCUUAAAACCGCCAUUUUAACUUGUUUGUUAAUGGCUCUGUUGAGCUUCAACAUUUGUUUUCAAGAACAAAAUUGAUGGAACUAUAAACCUUCGUUUCUCACAUGCGGGCAACAUGUUAUGUUAGACAGAGUGAAAUCGACAGAAGAAACCAAAACAUUGGAAACAGAGACACAGAGAGAGAUCAGCAGAAAUGGCUUGGUGCAGAGUACGCUCAGCUUCAUCGACACUCUUCAUUAGGCUUCUCUGCCCUUUCAUUCUCAACAAUAACACUACUUAACGCUAUCAGUCCUGUGGUACUCUUGUUUCUAUACUUGUGGAAUCUCUUUUUUAAUCCUCAAAGUUUGAAUUAAAUUAUAUUGCCUCUGUAUUUCUGCAGAAACGGAAUCAGUUGGUGAUGACAUUAAUUCUCAAGUUGGAAGUUGCAUGCCACUUUCUUGUAUGCAUGUUGGGACCAUCAUCAACAACAUUGAGGUAAACUCAGCCAAGAUUUUGAAAAAGAAUCCACUUCAAGGUACUGCUUAGUUUCUGGAAAUGAGAAAUUGAUUGACACUAGACGUCAACCCACCAUUGAUACAGCGUCUAACCCCAGCCAUGAAGCUAAGAUGCUUAGGAAGGCUGGUCAGAGCCAUUGGUUGGGCCAAAGACCUGUGAUUAGAGGAGUACCCAUGAAUCCAGUUGAUCAUCCUCGUGGUCGAGGUGAGGGACAAGGCAAAAGUAGUGGUAAGCAUGGAAGGUGUUCACUUACACCUUGGGGCAAGCCUUGUAAGUGGUGUAAAACUGCAUCUCGUAAGAAGAAAAGGAAAUUUAGCCGUCUGAUAAUAUUGUCCUUCUGUGCUAUUUAGCCUUUUUAAUAUUGUUACAUUGUUUGUUAUAUCUUUGAUGUUAGUUUUGGACCAGCUUUUAACUGAUCCAUAAUGAAACUGAAGUUUAAUUUUCGAUUGAACUUUUACUGGUUUUACUCCUGUCAUUUCAAUUUAGCUUUGAUUUAAGAUGCUGAAUUCUGUGAUUGGAGUAUGUAGAUUGGAAAGAGAGAUAUUAUGGGAUAGAAUAUAGAUUUUGUGUUUUGGUUUCUCAUGUUUAGAGAUAUUCUGUUCUUUUUCAUUUAUUCAAUUUGGUUAGUGGUGAUCUCUUAAAGAGUUAAUGCAUGUGUGUUUAUGUACUUUUCUUUUGGCCUUGAUUCUAUUUCUUGGGGAGUUUAUACAGAUUCCUCUUUUAUGCUUCACAUGCCACAUGCCACAUGAAAGAUGAAAGCCUUUUGUGUGAUUAGAAUUGACUUGCAUCAUAGUAACUUUGAACCACUGUAACAUUUUUAUAAUAGCAGUCUGCGAUCUCCUUGAAGGAUUCAAAGCAUUUUUUUUGUUAGUCUUGGCUUGCAUUAAAAUCCUUUAUACCGAUUGGUUGGUCUCCUUUAAAGCAAUUCCUGUUUUAAGUAAUCAAAAUCUUGAUUCGGAAGUGUGUUUUAGCACUACUAAAGGUUCUUUUAAAUACUAAAUUGAUUGUGAGUCUUCUAUAUCAUCUGAUUGAAAUACAUGAAAGCGAUAUUGGCUACAAAAGUACACUUGGGGUUGUUUAUAAAGUCUUCAACAGGAUUUUUUUUUCCCCUUCCUCAUGGUUUAUUUUUUAGUUGUUGUUUAACAAAACACUUAAAAGGUUCUCUUUAUAGGUUUCUGAAAAUAAUUUUAACAUAACCAUUUUUCAGAAGCACUUUAGAUACCUGUGGCAUUUAGAAAAUUUUGUUCCAGCAUUCACAUAAUAUACAUAGAAAUUUGAAUUUAUUUAAUUAUGAGCAUGUGCUAGUGCCUAUUGGCAUCCACUUGUAUAUACAAAUGUAUUAUACAAUACAAUAUUAGCUUGACUGUAGCAUAGAGGAGAAUAGGGUCGGAAUUGGUCUGAAUUCUGAUCUUUGAAUAAAUAUAAUAGCUGAUUGAAGCUGCUCAUGUGACUCCAUUGUCAGCAGCUUACACAAGGUCUUUUAGCUUUUUAAAAAGUUUUGUGAUAUUUCAUAGUUCACAUGGAUUGCUACAGUAUAGAAUACCCAAUUAGGGCAUUUUUAAUUCCUAUGCAUAGGAGUCUUCCUUCAUGCGCACGCGCGUACACACAUAUAUUUCCCACUUCCGUUCACUCCAAAAGUGAAAAUUGCGGGCAAUUUUUAUCUUCAGUAAAAUUGGAGUAGAUGUUGUUCUUAUUGGCGCAAAUUUGCGUACCAUGUUUGUGGGACCCUUAACCUUGCGCCUUUGUUACAAUCAUAUGCAUUCAGGCUUUUGGUAGACCCUUGGAUAGUAUGAUCAGUGUAUUAGAAUUUAGAAUUCGUGUUUAUAAGGGUCAGUUUGGUAAUGUUAUAAUUUUUAAAAUAAUUACUGUUAGCUAUACUAUAGAAAUAAUCAGUUGUGAAUAAAAUCAGUUAAACAGUUGAUAAAUUUUGUUUUUAAGGUGUUGUGAGUUUUAAACAAUUUGUAUGUAUUUAGUAAAUCUCGCUUUUAAAGUAUUAUAAGAAUGCAAAGACUUAAAUAGAUAGAAAUCUAUAAAAUUUAUUUACAUGUGCAUUUAUACAAUAAUAUUUUAUGCAUGUAUAUAAUAAUUAAUAACAGAAAUAAAUAUUUUUAUUUUAUUAAUUAUAUAUUUUUCUUAUUAUCUCAAUAUAAUUGGUAAUAAUAAUCUUUUUAAUAGUACAUUUAUUAAUCAGUAAUCGAAAUGGGCUGGAAUCGGAAUGGGGAAUGAAAAUCAUAAUAAUUUGUUUACUUUAGCUGUAGGAAUCAAAAUCACAUGGAGCUAUAUUAUCAUUAAUAUAUUUAUUUUGUCUUGGAAUCGAAAUAGAUUGUUACAAAUUACUAAACUGAUUUUAUUAUUAUCAAUAUUAUUAUUAAACAAGGUAAAGGGAAUUUUUAAUUUUCACUAGGUGUAGAAAUGUCGAUUCACUUCUCAUUCUCAUUCUCUGUUCUCAUUCCCCCUCCUCAUAGGAUUACCAUUUCACAUUCUCAAAAAUUUAUAAUUGACUCACAUUUCAUUCUCAUUCCUCCUUAUUUUGGAAGUAAAUAAGUUAAAGAAUCAUAUUCCUUUAUUCUUGUUUUUCAUUCACAUUCCUUCUCCUUAUUUUGGAAGUAAAUAACUUAAAGAAUCAUAUUCCCUUAUUCUUGUUCUCGUUCUCGUUCUCAUUCUCAAUUAGUAAGCACACUACAAAUGCAAUGAUUUUGUUUCCUAAUUAAACAAGGAUAAUUUUUAGAUUUUUAUAAUAUAUGUUAAGAUAUAUGUAGAAUUGUAUUAAAUAUGAAACUGACUCCCAAAAUCAUAUUUUAAAAAACUAUUUUUUUCUUAUUUUUUGAAAUUUAUUGUAGGCUAGGGUGAUUUUAUCAAAGUAAUUUUUUUAAAAAUUUUCGGACCCAUUUGGGAUUGUUUUUGGAAGACUCAAAAAGGAUUUUGAAUAGCUAAAAUCUAAGUUUGGUGUUUUAUAAUUUUUUUUUAAAAAAAUUACUUCUGAUAAAAUUAUCUUAUCCACGUUAAAUUUUAAAAAGAAAGGAAAAAGUAAUUUUUUAAAAUCUGAUUUUAAGAAUCAUUUUUAUACUUAAUACAAUUUCAUAAAUAUCCUGAUAUAUAUCAUAAAAAUUCAAAAUUAUCUUUAUUAGUUAGGAAAUAAAAUCAAUAAUUUUAAAAAGAUUAUUAUUAUUUCUAAUUAUAUUGAGCUAACAAAAAGAAAUAAAAUUACUAAUAUAAAAUUUAUUUUAACUAUUAAUUAUUAUAUUUACCAAUAAAAAACAUUUUAUAUACACGUUUAUAAAUAUUUAAAUAAAAUUUAUUCAUGUCGAGUUCAACCAUUUAUAUUAUUACAGCAAUUUAACAACUGGUUGUCGUUGCUCGGGAAUUAUAGAAUUACCAUAUGUUGUAAAAAUGCACUAAGCCAUGCCAUGUGUUUGAUACAGGUUAUGCUUGUUCGAUUAAAUUGUACUCACCUAUAAAUCAAAGAUUCAGUACAUGUGCAUGUUAGUGGUCUUCAGAAUCCAGAAUAAUAAAUGCCUUGAAAUGCUUGAGUUCAAUGAUUUCGCAGAAGACCAAGUUCCUUGUUAAUGAGUCAGCAUGACUGAAUCCUUCACUAAGCCAAAUUUGUUUUCACUUUUAGUUUAGAAAUUGUCAUUAAUUAAGAAAGUGUUUGAUAAAAUGCUUUGGAAGGCACUGUUCGUUGGACGUUUGCCCAGAAUUUAUGAAAUCAUUGGUGUUUCAUCCUACUUGUAACACUCUUCUUUAUUUUCUAUUCUAACGAAGAAAUCUUUUAUUAGAAAAGUGACAAGAUUGCACCUUUCAUUUGUAUGUUAAGGAGGUGUAAAAUUUUCUCGUUAAAAUCCCAUCAUGAAAAAAACUCACGGGCAAAAACCUACUGCAAAUUAAAGAAAGAAGAGUAAAUCAUGAUAAAUACACUCUCUUUUACAAUGCAAGCGGAUGCUUCAAUGAGUGGAUCAUGCGCCAAACUUGUAUAUCGUUGUUGGUAGUGCUUUGUUGAAUCAAUAUGAUAGAUUUUCACUUUUCUUUUUUUUCUUUUCUUUUUUUUUUCCUUGUGGAUACGAAAAUGAUUUGGGUUAAACUAUACUUAAUGCCGGUUUGGUACGACUUCUCUACUAAUUAAAAGAGUUUUUUUUCUUAAAUGUUCAAAAAGAUUUUUUAUUAUAAAUUGUAAUUUGAGUGGAUUUCUUGGGAUUAAACAAGUUACAUUUUUGUCUCUAUAAAGAAGUUCAAGUUAUAGAUUUUGGCAAUAGAGAUGUAGAGGUUUUUUUUUUUUCAGAGAACUAAAUUGUGGAGACUAUCUUUAUUUGGUUAUACAACUUUUUUUUUUUUAAUUUCAUAACAUAAUUUUAAAAGACUUAUUUAAUAAAUUUGAUAUUUUUUUGUAAAAAUUAUCAUUCACGUCCAAACUACUGAAGAUUUUUUUGUUAAACGCACUACUUAAAAGUUAUAUUAAUUAUAAACUUUCUAAAAAAAAAAAACAAUUCAAAGAGUUAUAGCAAACAAAGUGCUAGUUAACUUCAGUCGAUAAUAAUCUUCUAAUCCGUCCUACAAAUGACUUUCGACAAGAGUGGUGCUACUCACAUCUCUUCAAAACCCAUUUGACACCCCGUUUUCUUUAUUUAAAAUUUUAUACAUUUGAAAAUUAUUUUUUCUUUUACUUGACACUCUUCAAAUUCUAAAACUAAGCUUCAAAGAACCUUCGUCAUUAAAUCUCAUUGCCUUCCUUUAUUCUUGUUACUUGAGAAGAAGAAUGAGAGUCUGGAAGAAUGAAAGAAAAUUCAGCGAGAUAGAAAUCUAGUAAUUUCAUACCAUGAUUCAGAAUUUUUUUUUUCUCAAAAGAAUCUACUAUUCUUCUAUAUUUUAUAUAAAAAAAAGAGGAAAAGAGGAAACUGAGAGACUCUUUGUUUAAUGCUUGAAAGUUAGAAAGAAAAGGUCAGGAAGCUGCCUGGUAAUGAGAGUGAUGCAUCAGCACUAAUUUCUAUCUCGAUAGCUACCAAUUACCACCCCUAGAAAGGCUGUUGAUCAACAAGCCAUAUCUACUGGUUUCCUUUCUUUAAAAGUUCUAAUGGUCCCCUUAAAAAUCUCUAUAUGCUCAGUCUUCUCAUGAUAUAUCUGAUUUUCGCUGAGAAUUAUAGCAAGCGCUUCAGAUAUCAUAAUACUUUGUGACUGACUACUGUGCAUGCUUAAUUAUAAGAUUAUUCCUUGUGGCCAAAUAAAAUGACCCCCUUUAGAGCCUCUGUAUUUGAAAAAGCAAGACAAUGAGCUUAAUUAUUGUCAAGGUCUCCAGUAGGAUACUCCUAAAUCCAUAUACCCACCCACCAGAACUCCAAUCUUGAAACUUAUAGAUCAAACCAUAACUUAAUGUGCCUGGCAACCAGGGAUAUGUCAGGCCUUUAAAAAACCACUACAUACAUUUGAGUCUGAAAUUGCUCCAAUUAGUAUUAUGAUUAUUAUUUUAAAAAACUCAACCUAAGCAAAGUGCCUCAGCAUACAAUAUUUAUUGACAACUAAAAAGUAAUAGUGGGUGGGGGUUGCCCUGGGUUUUGUUUAAAAAUUGAAGUAAAAAAUUUUCAAAUUUCAAAUUUCUAGUACAAAGAAAAUUGAUGACUAAAUUAAAUUCUGCAAAUUAAUUUCUAAUAUUACAUGAAAAUAUAUCAAGUUAAUUGGUAACAUUGUUAAUCACUUAAUCCUCAAUCUAAUACGUUAUGUAUUUGUUACUCUGUCUUAAAUCAAAAGUGGCGGUGAUUUAUUUUUAUUUUCACUAAUAAGAAAGGCAUGUUAGAGCUUUUAUUUUGUUGAAAAUGAACCAAAAAACUCCGAUUGGGAGAUUAUAAAUGUAUUUAACAAUAAUUUAACUUCCAUUUUGAAAGUCAUUAUAUUGUUUAUUCAGGAGAAGCGUUCUUUUAUAUUUUAUAGAUAUAAUGUUUGCUAAUCCUAAUUUAAGCUAAAGCAUAUGCAUUUCCUAAUUAAUUCUAAUUUAAGCUUAUUCAACUGCAUUCAAUUAAUGUUCGAUAAUACAAAUUCUAAAUACUAUAUACUCUAAGAAUUUUAAUCGUAAUGACAAGGUGAUCAUUUAAUUAUUACCGUUAAAUUAUAUAUGUAUGGUGGAGACGAGUCCACACGGUUUUGACGAGAAAUUAAAGACAAUAUUUAGUUAAGCUAGUAGUAUUUGUUCUGUUUAGUACGUCGUUUUACCAGCAAGCAUCCCGGCAAUGCACGCAUUAAUAAAAAAAUUUAUCUGUUUGGACUGAUUGGUAGUGAAAAAUUCCACAUACUUUAAAUUAAGAAAAUGCUAAGUAUCUUAAAGAAAACAAUUAAAAUAUUGUCACUUGAUGCUUGAAUCAUUAUUGUUAAAUAUCUCCGUUGAGUUGUAUUCCCCAGCUGUGAGUAUCAUUAUUGUCUUUGCUAUCUAAUCAAUUCAAUUUUCUUUCUGGAGACAAGAUUUUGAUUCCUUUCAUCGUUACAAAAACGGAACCAUGGUUGAUGUGGGAGAGAUCUUACUCAACGCCUUCUUUCAGGUGUUGUUCGACAGGUUGGCUUCCCGUGAUUUGCUCAGCUUUGUCCGUCAACUUGGAGGGGGGGUCGAUUCCGAGCUCAAGAAGUGGGAAAGAAAGCUGAAGAUGAUUCAGGCGGUGCUCAACGAUGCAGAGGAGAAGCAACUGACUGAUGAGGCUGUGAAGAUGUGGCUGGACGAUCUCCAAGACUUGGCUUAUGACGCUGAGGACAUUCUUGAUGAGUUUGCUACUCAAGCUUUGGAAAGCAAGUUGAUGGAGCAAAAUCAGGAUAGCUCUGGCCAGGUUCUCAGUUUCAUCCCGGCUAGUUUGAAUCCGAAUGCUAUUAUGUUCAAUUAUAGCAUGGGGUCCAAGAUUAAAGAUAUUACUAGCCGGCUGGAGCAACUCUGCCAAGAAAGAAUUGAACUUGGACUGCAGCGGAUUACUGGAGGGGCAUCAUCAACUGCUGCUGCUACACAGCAGAGGCCGCCCAGUUCGAGUGUCCCAACAGAACGUGAAGUAUUUGGAAGAGCAAAAGAUAAGGCCAAAAUUCUUGAUAUGGUAUUGGCCGAUACCCCAAGUGAUCAUGCCGACUUUGUUGUAAUACCCAUUGUUGGCAUGGGCGGGAUAGGAAAAACAACUCUCGCUCGGGAGGUUUACAAUGACAAGGCCGUUGGCGGUUCCAAGUUUGAUGUAAAAGCAUGGGUUUGCGUAUCUGACGUCUUUGAUGUUUUGGGCAUCUCAAAGGCACUUCUCGAGUCAAUCACCCGCAGGCCAUGUCUUCUAAACAGUUUAAAUGAAGUGCAGGUUGAAUUGAAAGUAGCUGUGGAUAAAAAAAGAUUCUUGCUGGUCUUAGAUGAUGUUUGGAACGAGGAGUACAGCUUGUGGGUAGACUUAAAAGCUCCGUUCCUGGUUGCUGCACCAAACAGUAAGAUGAUCGUCACCACACGCAAUUCAAAUGUUGCAUCAACAAUGGGGCCAGUUGAACAUUACAAUCUCAGGAGUCUAUCGGAUGAUGAUUGCUGGUCCAUUUUCAUAAAGCAUGCAUUUGAAUCUAGAGAUCUUAACGCACAUCAAAUUUCAGAAUCAUUCCGCAAGAAAGUUGUUGCCAAGUGUGGAGGCUUGGCCCUGGCAGCAAAAACACUCGGAGGCCUUCUGCGUACGACGAGGCAUGAUGCGUGGGAUGAUAUAUUAGAGAGCAAAAUAUGGGAUUUACCACGACAAAGUGGGGUUCUCCCAGUAUUAAGAUUGAGUUACCAUCAUCUUCCUUCUCAUUUGAAAAUGUGUUUUGCUUUCUGUGCAAUCUUUCCAAAAGAUUAUGAAUUCAAAGAGAAGGAGCUGACUUUUUUAUGGAUGGCCGGAGGAAUUAUUCGACAGUCAAGAAGCAAAGAGCGGCUAGAAGAUUUGGGCAGCAAGUGCUUCCAUGAUCUGGUGUCAAGGUCAAUUUUUCAGAAAUCAGCAAUCUCUGCUAGUUCUAAAUUUGUAAUCCAUGACCUUAUCCAUGAUCUUGCUGAAUUGGUCUCUGGAGAAACCAUAUUUAGGUUAGAGGAGGCCAAUACUCUGUCAAGAAGAUUUGAAAGGGUUCGCCAUUCCUCCUAUGCUUGUGGUGGAUAUGAUGGUAAAAAUAUGUUCGAUGUUUUCAAUGAAAUUGAACAUCUACGAACAUUCUUGCCAUUACGCUUACGCAUAAGAGGUGGCUUUAGUUCUGGUUACAUAAGUCGAACGGUCCUAUCUGACUUGCUGCCAAAGUUCAAAAGGUUGAGAAUGCUAUCUUUAGAAGGAUACUGUAUUGGCGAGUUACCAAUUCCAUUUGAAGAUUUGAGACUUUUAAGGUUUCUCAACCUUGCUGACACUGACAUAAGAAGUUUACCCGAGUCAACAUGCAAAUUGCUGAACUUGGAAAUUUUUAUAUUAAGAAAUUGUUCCCGUUUGAUAAAGCUUCCAGCCAAAAUGAGGAAUUUGAUCAAUUUACGCCAUCUGGAUAUAAGAGGUGCGAAGUUGCUGAAGGAGAUGCCAGUCGGAAUGAAAGAGCUGAAGAAGCUUCAAACAUUGUACAAUUUCAUUGUGGGCAAGGGUGAAACUGCAUCCGGUUUGGAAGAAUUAAAAAGUUUAAACUUUCUUUGUGAUGAACUUUGCAUUGCUGGAUUAGAGAAUGUGAAUAAUCCACAGAAUGCAAGAGAAGCGGCAUUAUGCGAGAAGCACAAUCUUGAAGCACUGACUCUAGAUUGGGGGUCUCAAUUUGACAAUUCUCGAGAUGGAGUAGUAGAAGAGCAUGUACUGGAAAUUCUACAGCCUCAUAAACGUAUAAAAAAGGUGGCAAUCAGGAACUAUAGAGGUGCAAGAUUUCCACAUUGGAUAGGAGAUCCUUUGUUCUCCAAAAUAGAGUUCCUUGAAUUGGAGAACUGUGACAAUUGUGUAUCUUUGCCAUCGCUUGGCCGUUUGAGUUCACUUAAACACCUUGCUGUUAAAGGGCUGAAGAAACUAAAAAGCAUAGAGUCUAAGGUUUAUGGGGAGGGUUUCUCAAUGCCUUUUCCAUCAUUGGAGAUUCUAAGUUUCGAGAAUUUGCCAGAAUGGGAGCAUUGGGACACCGAUAUCAAAGGAAAUGUACUUGUUGAAAUAUUUCCUCGUCUCCAUAAACUUUCCAUUGUGGAAUGUCCCAAACUCUCCGGAGAACUGCCUGAUCUCCUGCCCUCCUUGGAGACACUUGUUGUUAGUAAAUGUGAAAAGUUGGUAGUUCCAUUGUCUUGCUAUCCGAUGCUCUGCAGAUUAGAAGUUGAUGAGUGCAAGGAACUAGCGUGCGCGACUCCAAUUGAUUUUAAGUUGAUAAAGUCUGUGACUAUUUCAAAUUGUUCACUAGACAUGUAUGGAUGCAAGGGGAUGCUAUACAAUGGUCCAGCUGGCUCUUCACUGCCGAAAUCCAUGACUAUUACAAAUGUUUUGGCGUUUGGAAAAUUAUUGAAGCCUGAAUUUCAGAUAUUAGAAACUUUGGUAAUUGACAAUUCUGAACAGCUCAUGUCAUGGAGGCAGCGUGGGAAUUUCCGAGAAGAAUAUUUGGCCGUUCGCCGAAGGCUUAUCAAACCAUUACAAGGGCUAAAUAUGCUCGCUUCCCCAGAAGAGGUAACAAUUGAAGAAAGUUGUGUGAGUUUUGUUUUAUUUUCAGAGAUCAAUUUCUUUCCCAGAAAUCUGCGCUCUCUUCUAAUUUGCAGCAGCACAGCUUUAAAAUCCUUACCCGAUGAAAUGAUGGACAACAGUUCACAACUCAAAAGGUUGUAUAUCAGAGAUUGCGAUUCUCUAACAUUCAUCACAAGACGCAAGCUACCUUCAUCUCUAAAAAGUAUAGAGAUUCAGAAUUGUGAGAAACUGCGACAUUUGUUCGAUGAUAAAGAGGAUGCUUCUUCUUCUUCUCCUCCUUCAUCCUCGCCCUCCCCAGUGAUGCUGAAACACCUGAGUAUAAAUAAUUGCCCAGAGCUCACCAGUUUAUCAACAGGAAUCCAAUUACUUGAGGCGCUUGAACACCUCGACAUACGGGAUUGUCGAAAGCUGGAGUCAUUACCAGAUGGCCUUCACAAUCUUAACUGUUUACAGGAGAUUACUCUAAACAGUUGUCCAAGUCUUCUUAGAGGGCUUCCCAACACGAUUUCAAGGGUUGACAUUUACAGCUGUCCAAGUCUUGUUUCCUUCCCAGAAAGAGGACUUCCCAACACGAUUUCAAAGGUUGACAUUUUUAAUUGUGAGAAGCUCGAAGCCCUGCCCAAUGACAUGCACAAACUCAACUCUCUUCGAGAUUUAAGCAUAUUGGGGUGUCGAAAUCUUGUAUCCUUUCCAGAAGAAGGUUUUCCUACCAGUCUAACAUCACUUAGAAUUGGAGAUUUCAAAAUGUAUAAGACACUCAUCCAGUGGGGGUUGCACAGGCUUACCUCUCUUAGACGCCUCUAUAUCGUUGAUUGUGAUGACGAAGCAGAGUGUUUUCCAGACGAGGAGAUAGGAACGAUGCUGCCUACCUCCCUAACUCAUCUAUCCUUUCGGGGAUUCCGAAAUUUGAUAUCUCUGUCUUCGACGGGUUUUCAGAGCCUCAACUCUCUUCAAUACUUGUGGAUCAGGGAUUGCCCGAAUCUCACAUCAUUCCCAGAGGUGGGCCUUCCAUCCUCACUUUUGGCAUUAUGCAUUAUCGAUUGUCCAAAGCUUAAAAAAGCGUGCAAAAGAGAUCAAGGAAAAGAGUGGUCCAAAAUUGCUCACAUCCCUCGCAUUGACAUAGACAGGAAAUUCAUAUACGAUCCAGAAUCAGAGGAGUAGAUUCUACUAUUAAGGUCAGUUGAUUUGUAUUAUCCGCCAUAACAAGCUCCUCCUUUUUUUUUAAAUAAUAAUAAUAAUUCUUACCAAUUAAUGAUGGUAAGAUGUGUACUUAUUCUUUCUUCCGGACAACCUUGCCUUCUUUCUUCGGUAGCAUAUCUAAUGAAUAUUUCUCUGUUUAGUUAAGGAUGAAUGCUUGGAGUGGAGUAUUUGGUAACAUUUCUGCCGUAGAUGAAACCUUGAAGAAAUGCCUGCACUUCCUGAGACCAAAUACAGGUCUGAUUCACAACAACACCUGUCCCAGAAAAUAUGAUACAAGCCAAAGCCAUGUUCUGAAGCAGAAAUAACGCAUUUCAAUUUUUAUCUGGUAAAAAUACACAGCCCUCGCCUACAAAAUUCUUAUCUUGGCUUUCACGGAUAUUUUUAUCACGUAACCACGUGAGGAAGCAUGUGCUGGAGCCUGAAUUCAGUUAGUUAAAGUUUGUUAACCACGUGUCAACAAACUGUAUAAUCUGGAAAAUACGCUAGCUAUUGAAACAGGGUAUAAAGGCUGGUUUUUCAGGGACUAUCGAGAGCUGAUUCUAGAGUCUUGUAGAAAGAGGUUUGUGAGAGAGAAAGUGUCAUCUUGUUCUCUGUAAAAUCCGAUAUAGGGCUCUGUAACGAUCUCCAUUGUUGAAUCAAUAAAACUCAUCUAGAAGCUUCUCCCGUGGACGUAUUCUGAGCAUUCAAUGCACAGCUGAACCACGUAAUAUCUUGGUUUCAGUGGGUUCUUGUUUUGGUUCUUGAUAAAUUCUUGUUGUUGUAUUGAGGUGUGAUUUGAUGUGUCUAAACUUGCAUCUGUGCAACUUGAAUUGAUUUGAUGAUAAUAAUCUUGGGCAGUGAUCAGAUUCGUUUAGUUUAAAGAACAAGCUGAUUACUACCGUACCUAUGCAUGGACCUGUAACCUGUGCUGACAAAACUGAAACUAUGAGUUUGAGGUAAAAAGGUCCUGGACCCUCACAGUUUAACUUGGACUUGUAGCUUUCUGGAUAAACACAUUUUAGAAGUUUGCAAUUUGUUGUUAAUUACGGUAUGUGAUUUUCUUUUUUGUUUUCGCUUUUGUAGAAUCUACCGUAUUACAUAUUGGCAGUUGUAUCUGAGGUACCAUUUUUGCAUUUAACUUGCCUUUAUCUGUUUUGCCUGUUACUUAACAACACAUCAUUUCCCAAAGAUUUGGAGAAGCAUCUCAAGAUGCUUAACAAACUUGACAAACUUCAAGAUGCUCCCAAGCCUUGAUUCUUCACAAAGGAAGACCUGUGAGUACACUUAUGCCCGCAAUUAUUGUGAAGUGAUUGCAACUUUGAUGCAGCGAAACGGUUUGCUGGUGCAAAGCUUUAAAACUGUUAAGAAUUACCCUGCAGGCUUGUUGGAUGUUGUAUACUCCGAAAGCCACCAACACCAAGAACUAUAACAGCAAGACUAGGUUUGCAUUAAUUCAAUUAGCUGAAAUAAUGAUGCAAAUGGCACUAUCCAGCUCGACUUAGAGACUAGUCAGGUCAAUCAUCCAUUUCAUCAACAGUUAAUGUCAGGAUGGUGGCUAGCAGAGGAAACAAAGGAUAUGUUGGAAUCAAUAAGAACAGUGAGAAGCAUGAGAGGAGCUUUGAUUAUAAGUAGGCUCAAUGAACUAGUGUUGGUAAGUGGUAAUUAGAGCAAUUUGUGAGCUUAGUAGAGUUUCAAUAUUUUCUGUUUGGGAUAUAGUUGAUAAGUUGAUACUCUGAUAAAGAAGGCUGAUUAUAGUAGCUGACUAUAUUAACCGGGUUCUCUUUUUUGGUUUGCUGUUGUUUUUUCUUUCAAUAUCUUUUUCAACAUUAGGUUUAAGAACAAGCUUGGGUUUGAUUAUCAGGUAAGAACAAAUGAAUGCUUUAACCAUGUUUCUCACUUAUCACAAUGCACGGAUUGAAGGCGUCUGAGUUGAUCCUGAAACGUGCCUCAGCAAGUAUUAUGAUUAUUAUUUUAAAAAACUCAACCUAAGCAACGUGCCUCAGCAUACAAUAUUUAUUGACAACUAAAAAGUAAUAGUGGGUGGGGGUUGCCCUGGGUUUUGUUUAAAAAUUGAAGUAAAAAAUUUUCAAAUUUCAAAUUUCUAGUACAAAGAAAAUUGAUGACUAAAUUAAAUUCUGCAAAUUAAUUUCUAAUAUUACAUGAAAAUAUUAUCAAGUUAACUGGUAACAUCGUUAAUCACUUAAUUCUCAGUCUAAUACGUUAUGUAUUUGUUACUCUGUCUUAAAUCAAAAGUGGCGGUGAUUUAUUUUUAUUUUCACUAAUCAGAAAGGCAUGUUAGAGCUUUUAUUUUGUCGAAAAUGAACCAAAAAAACUCCGAUUGGGAGAUUAUAAAUGUAAUUAACAAUAAUUUAACUUCCAUUUUGAAAGUCAUUAUAUUGUUUAUUCAGGAGAAGCGUUCUUUUAUAUUUUAUAGAUAUAAUGUUUGCUAAUCCUAAUUUAAGCUAAAGCAUAUGCAUUUCCUAAUUAAUUCUAAUUUAAGCUUAUUCAACUGCAUUCAAUUAAUGUUCGAUAAUACAAAUUCUAAAUACUAUAUACUCUAAGAAUUUUAAUCGUAAUGACAAGGUGAUCAUUUAAUUAUUACCGUUAAAUUAUAUAUGUAUGGUGGAGACGAGUCCACACGGUUUUGACGAGAAAUUAAAGACAAUAUUUAGUUAAGCUAGUAGUAUUUGUUCUGUUUAGUACGUCGUUUUACCAGCAAGCAUCCCGGCAAUGCACGCAUUAAUAAAAACAUUUAUCUGUUUGGACUGACUGGUAGUGAAAAAUUCCACAUACUUUAAAUCAAGAAAAUGCUAAGCAUCUUAAAGAAAACAAUUAAAAUAUUGUCACUUGAUGCUUGAAUCAUUAUUGUUAAAUAUCUCCGUUGAGUUGUAUUCCCCAGUUGUGAGUAUCAUUAUUGUUGUUUGUGCGAUAUGUUUCGACGAAGACCAGCAGUGAUGAGCAGGCGUCUGGUAGCAGGGUUCCUCGAACAGGUAUAUCUUGCAAGAGUCUGGUAGCAGGGGGAGCAAGAGCAGGAGUAUCCUGCUCGUCCACGAGUACGUCAUCCACGAGGCCGGUCUCCUGUUGGGAGCGUAAAGCCAUUCCUGCUAUAUUCCUGCUAGCGGUUGAGUCGAGGAGACCCGGUCAACGACAGUUGACGAGACAUGCUCUCCAGUCCGAGAAUCAAGGCGCGAAGGCCACGCAACCACCCACGACUACGGAAAUGGAGCAUCCACUUUCGAGAAGUGGGAGGAUGACAAGCGCAAAGGGAGGAAAUGCAUGGGCUCAGAAGUGGCCUAUAAAAAGGUAACCAACGAAGGUAAAAGGGUUAGCAAUUUUGAGAUUAUAACAGAGACUAAGGAAAUUCUAAAGAAGAGAAAACUAUUAAAAAGCCAUAAGAUCUGUGGCAAGCGUUCCCAGAGCCUUCAUAUCUGACUUGAGCGUCGGAGGGUUUACGCCGGGAAAACAACCGGCGUGCUCUGACUUGUUUCUGUGGACGCAGGAAUACUUGGAGAAGAAAGCAUACAAGGAGAGAUCCUGGUCGAGGUGAGGUUGAUUGAGCAGAUAUCCUGGUCGUAGGAAGAGCGUAACCAGAAUCUCGCAUCAAUAUUUUGGCGCCGUCUGUGGGGAGCUGAGCAAAAAGUUUCUGUUGAUAGCAAAGAAGAGGAGUGAAGCAAGUGAAAAGCAAUGGAGACAGGAGGAAGUAGUGCACAAGGGGGUGAUAUGAGGCUUAACGAUUCCGUGACGCUGAGGGAGAUAGCCAGUGAAGCACGGGAAAAAGCCAUGUUCGACCGGAUGGAACGGAUGGAAAAGCAGAUGGAGACCUUGACAACCAUCCUACAUGAGCUGCGGAGCGAACGAAGGGUAACCCAGGAGGAAAGGGUGAGAGGUGGUGGAGUGGCACCAGGUCCCGAUAGUGCGAGGAGAAGUCAAACCACCGGGAGAUUUGGUGGUGAGAGAGGUAACAUACCUCUGCAGGGAAAUUGCAUAGAGAGGAAGAGCAGUCCCCGGCAAGACAGAUUUUUGACGAGGACGACGGGGUGGCGAAUGCAGAGGAAGCAGAGUUGAGGCAAUACUUGCAUGAUGUAGUGCAAGAGCGGGAUCAAGUCGCAGCACGUGACCCUGGUCGUGCAGAGCAGCUGGAGGAGGAAGUGUGCAGGCUAGCGCAGAUAAUUGACGACAUACAAGGAAGGAGCAGAGCUCCUGGUUGGAGGAUAAUGCUGGACGGAGAAUCACCGCUCGCAGCAGAGAUCAUGAGGGCAGUUAUUCCAAGAGAUUUCCGCCUCCCAGACCUUAGAUAUUCGGGAUGAACUGAUCCGCUGGUGCACAUAGAGCGCUUCAACGACAUAACUGGGGUACAAGGAUUAUCUCAAUCCUAAAGGUGCAGGGUGUUCCCACUAUCCCUUGAGGGACGCGCACGAGAGUGGUACAGGAAACUUCCUCGGGGGAGCAUUAAAACCUUCGAGCAGAUGUGCCAGGAAUUUGCAGAACAGUUCCGUGGGGCAAUGGCACCAGAAGAUGACAUGAUGGAGUUGAAAAACAUGAAGCAGGGGGAACAAGAAACACUUCGGGAAUUCAUCAAGAGGUUUCACCGUGCUGUCCUCGACUUGGGAGCCUUCAACCACCCUCAAACGUUAAGGGGAUUGAAAGAAGGGGUGAAGAUAGGAAGGCUGUGGUACAACUUGAGAAGCCCAGUUAUUCAGACGUAUGCGGCCGCAUACGAGCAGGCUAAGAGAGACAUUGAGAUUGAAGAGGAGAAGGCAGCACAGAUUAAGACAGACCAGUUAGAAGGGUGGGGGAGGAAAGAGAAGAAAGCAUUACCGGGGAAUGGGCCGAUCAGGAGGAGGAACCACCAGGCCUCGAGUAGUGGAGCAGAAGGUCGGGUAACUGCUUACCAGCCUCAUCAGAGGCCACUACAGUAUCAGCACAGCAGGGCGCAACCUCCUCGUUCCCCAGCUGGGGAGCCUUGGAGAAGGCAUGACUCGGCGUAUGGUGGUCUUCAUCAACACUCCCACGGUAGUAGAAGGGGCAGACCAGAAGCGCUGCCACCGCCUCCAACUCAGAACGGAGCAAAUAGAGAAAGGGCAGUGCACCUGAUCGACCAGAACCAGGACUAUGGGCGAUAUACUUCCUUGAAGAUGUCCCUGGCCGAGGUGUACGAGGCCAUAAAGGAUCGAGGGUCGUUAUACCUCCCUGCCCCAAUAACAAAGCUACCCAGCAGGAGGGAUAGGGGACGCUAUUGUAAGUUCCAUGGCACUCAUGGCCACACCACAGCAGAUUACAGGGAUCUCAAGACCCAGGUUGAAGAUUUGGUGAGAAAUCGGUAUCUGGACGAGUUUAUAGAUGGGACCUUCCCAAUGGUAGCCUCGACCAGCGAAUGGGAGCAGAGUGACAGGAACUUGAGGCGCGAGCAGCCUGCAGUAAGGGUGAUAGCUGGGGGCCCAACAUUGGCCGGAGAUUCCAACAGGUUGAGGAAGAAUUACGCUAGAUACGCCAUGACCAGCAAAGAUGUAUUCUUCACCACCCCAGCAGCCAAACGUGCAAGAGUCAGGCAAGUGCCAAUUAUGUGGACAGAUGAGGAUGAAGAAGGGAUUCUAUACCCCCACGAGGAUGCUUUGGUCAUCAAGGCCACUGUUGCCAGCAAGAAGUUUGACAGGAUACUGGUUGACACAGGGAGCUCAGUUGAUGUGUUGUUUAAGUCAACCCUGGAGGAGAUGGGAAUAGCAGACCUGAAGUUGGAUUACACCAAUACCUCCUUGAAGGGGUUUGGAGGAGGAAAGUUGGUCCCUCUGGGCGUGGUCGAGCUGCCUAUCACGAUUGGGAGCUCCCCGACAGAAGGGACAAUGAUACUGGACUUUGUGGUAGUGGAUGAGGAAGGUCCUUAUCAGAUGAUCCUAGGCCGGCCAUUUCUGACGAUGAGCAAAGCGGUGCUGUCCAGCCAUUAUCUGGCUCUCAAGUACCGGGUGAAUGGGGUAGUUGGAGUGGUACGAGGAGACCAGAGGAUCGCAAGAAGCUGCUACUCCUCGGCAGCAAAGGAAGCAAUGCAGAUAACAUCCCUUGAUACCCGAGUGGAAGCCAGGAAUGGCAGCUAGUUGGACCCGGAGUUUACAAGCUGGUUCGCACGGAUGGCCACAAGGUGAAACGCCCAUGGAGCGCGACACACCUCAGGAAAUAUUUCUAGUAAGACUUACUCAUCUUUUAAAGUUAUUUCUGUUCGUGCCCGUUGUUUUCUAUUUUUCAUUUCUUAUUUCAAAGCAAUCUCAUGUAAGCCGAAUUCAAUAAUAAAUGAAUCAAUGAGGAGUUUCAGUCAACUACACUGUUCAAGAAAUUAUCAAAGGCAUGCAAAGGCUAGUCAAGUCUCAAAGCCUGUUUAUGGCGAGACCAGAAGCCAAGCGUGCCAGGAUCUGCUCGACCACGAGAAGGCGAGCAGAGUCCCAAGCUUUCAAGAAAUUAUCAAUGGCAUGCAAAGGCUCACCAAGUCUCAAAGCCUGUUUAUGGCGAGACCAGAAGCCAAGCGUACCAGGAUCUGCUUGACCACGAGAAGGCGAGCAGAGUCCCAAGCUUUCAAGAAAUUAUCAAAGGCAUGCAAAGGCUCACCAAGUCUCAAAGCCGGUUUAUGACGAGACCAGAAGCCAAGCGUUCCAGGAUCUGCUCGACCACGAGAAGGCGAGCAGAGUCCCAAGCUUUCAAGAAAUUAUCAAAGGCAUGCAAAGGCUCACCAAGUUUCAAAGCCUGUUUAUGACGAGACCAGAAGCCAAGCGUGCCAGGAUCUGCUCGACCACGAGAAGGCGAGCAGAGUCCCAAGCUUUCAAGAAAUUAUCAAAGGCAUGCAAAGGCUCACCAAGUCUCAAAGCCUGUUUAUGGCGAGACCAGAAGCCAAACGUGCCAGGAUCUGCUUGACCACGAGAAGGCGAGCAGAGUCCCAAGCUUUCAAGAAAUUAUCUAAGGCAUGCAAAGGCUCGCCAAGUCUCAAAGCCUGUUUUAUGGCGAGAUAGAAGCCAAGCGUACCAGGAUCUGCUCGACCACGUGAAGGUGAGCAGAAUCCCCAAGCAUCGGAAUAUUUUCCAAGGCAUGCAAAGGCUCGCCAAGUCUCAAAGCCUGUUUUAUGGCGAGACAGAAGCCAAGCAUGCCAGGAUCUGCUCGACCGCGCGAAGGCGAGCAGAAUCUCAAGCAUUGAAGAAUUUUCCAAGGCAUGUGGCAAAACCAUAUGCCGAGCCAGAACCUGCUAAACUAGACGAAGACGAGCAGAUUCUCAGACGAAAAAUAACUCAUGAUUACAACACAAGAAAGUAAUCAAAAACAUUUUUAUUAAUUUGUUAAUAAUUAACAGAGGAGAUAAUCUUCACAAACAUUGUUCAUUACAAUACAAGAAAUAUAUUAAGAGGACGGUGGAUCCGUAAGCCGAGCAGCCUCAGUCGGUUGGUCCACCUCAGGUGCUGGGGGAGUAUCACCGGUCGCGUCCGGGGGGGUGCUUGCCUCACCCACAUCAACAGGAACGGCACGAGGAGGAGAGUUUUCCUCAACUACGAUUGGUUCCACCGUUUCGGCAUCUUCCUUUGCAGCCUCCUCGUCCAUAUGUUGGGCGACACCAGUUGCAAGGUCGUCCAUCUUCAGAUCAGGAUGCUGCUUCCCGAGGACGACCAUGAUGCAACGAUAGGAAUGCCGAAGCCCCUAGUCGUACUGGUUGUCGGCCUCCCUCUCCAAGUUCUCGACCUGAGCUCGGUGGGAAUCGCGGAGAGAUUCGAGCUGAGCCUCAUAUAUAGCCUUCUGCCUUUGCAGAUCCUCCUCGACCUUGGUCAGCUCCUCCUCGAGGGUAAUGGCUUUUGCUUGAGCAAGAGAUUCUUGCUCUAUCAGCUUGAGGUUCUCAACAUUCAGCUCCCCUGCUUUCUUCUCGGCAGCGUCAGCUCUGGUCGUCGCCGAUUGAAUGUCCUCCUUAAUCUUGCGGUCGUAGCGGCCAACCUUCGCCUUGUAAUAGGUGGUCAUGCAGCUGAGGUAGAAAGCGCUAUACUGCAUGGCCCCCACCAGCUCACCCAAGGUGCAGCCGUCAAAGUCCUCCAGGUCCUUCUUGCUCACGAGUUUAGAUAACUCAUUGAGGUAGGGGACCAAGUGUUCUGCUUGGCUGUCAGGUAAGCGAGAUCGAGGCCCGACAGGAGGAGAAGAGGAAGCAGGAUCCGUGGCUGCUCCACUAGUUUCCCCAACUUUGGCAGGAGCAGGAGGUAAAGUCUUCAAGGGAGAGACUUGCUGUACGAUGUUGGCCUGCUUUGCAGAAGGGGCGUCCUUGUUCUGGUCCCUCUUCGUGGCUUGAGGUUGAGAACGUUUCCUGUUCAGAGCCCCAAUCACAGCGUCCUCCAUCUUAUGGCCAGGGAGUACCAAGCGAGACUCGAGCAAGUUGUAAACAGUUAUCAAUUCUCGGCUCGGGCAAGAGUUGGCUAGUAUAGCCUCGACCCGUUUGAGCUGAUCAGGUUGGAGCGAGAAGUGAACACCCCAAGAACCUGCAACACAAACAAACAUUUGAUUAGAGACAAACCAGUAAAGUGCAAACAACAAGGGAGACAAGACAUCUAAUACGAGCAGGCAACCUGGGACCAUGAAACGGGGUGGGACGCGACAAUCCUUCCCGUCUAUUUGUGCAACUUGACCCCAAGGACCCCCAGCAAAAAAGAAUUUCCUCUUCCAAGUCCCACCACCACCAGUUGGAAGAUCAGUUAUGGGUUUCUUGCUCUUGGUACUAGAUUGGAAGUAGUACCAGCCGGCAUCUUUGGGGCUGCUCUUUAGCUGGUACAGGUGCUUCACCUCAUCAACCGUGGGCUCGCUUUGGCAACAUCUGUCCCACAAUAUGAACAGACCAGAGAGCACCCUCCACCCAUUGGGGUUCAGUUGACCAGGAGCUAGAUUGAGCCCGUGGAGUAUGCGAGCAAAAUAGGGUUGCAAGGGGCACCUUAACCCGUACUUAAAACUCUCCUGGAACAAGGUGACAUAUCCCCUAGGAGGCCUGCUAGGACUAUCUUUUUUUCCUGGGAUCCUAAGGAGUACUUCACCAGGAAUAUGAUACCUGAGCCAGAGGUCAUCCAGCUCGUUGAAUGUGGUCGUGCAGGUCAUGUAAUCAAUAGCAUAAUCCCGCAACAAGGCUCUACCUCCUACUGUACUACGCCCUUCUGGUCGCAGUGUUCCCGGUGAAGAUCCCUCACCAGAGUCACCUCCUUGAUCCUCACUUAGGGUGUCUUCCGAGCCAGAAGGUCCUUCCUCGCCACUACUUCCGCUCGUGGAGGUUGUUUGGGGGGACAUCCUCCUAGCGCUAGUCCCGACACUAGACCUAGUGGGCUCUAAGGGGAUCCCGGGGUCAAAAGCAGAAUCAGUGAGCAGACUAGGCAAGAAACCUAGUUCGUCGUCAUCAGUCUCAAUGACUUUCUCCUUACCCUUCGACAUUCCCUAAGUUCUAACCAAAACACCACCACCGACUACAACCCCAAGUAAAGCAAAGAGAAAAGAAAUUAUCUACAACUAUCCGAGACCGAGGAGAUAGAAGUAAUACCUGAAGUAAUGGUUCAGUUAGAGAAAGGCAGGGGAGGAGACUUUUAUGCCGAGACUUCUUUGCCGGAGAGACAGAGACAGAGAUGGAGUAAAUGACGAAUUUUCCCUUUGAGAGGUUUUGGGUUUUCCUAAUGGAGAAUGAACUUUUGGAUUGCCAGCAUUUAAUAGCAUCGAAUCCCAAGGGUCUCGUAACCGUCGGUUUAAAAUUCAAAUAGAUGGGUAGAUUUCUGCCACAUCACCUGGUCCACAAUUAAAUGCGACACGACUCUUGGCAGCCUUUUCCUAUCCCGCGCGAGCAAGAACUGUCGAGUUUCUACUGUUGGCUCACUACGCUACCCAACACAAGAAACUGGGGGACUGGUGUUUGUGCGAUAUGUUUCGACGAAGACUAGCAGUGAUGAGCAGGCGUCUGGUAGCAGGGUUCCUCGAACAGGUAUAUCUUGCAAGAGUCUGGUAGCCGGGGGAGCAAGAGCAGGAGUAUCCUGCUCGUCCACGAGUACGUCAUCCACGAGGCCGGUCUCCUGUUGGGAGCGUAAAGCCAUUCCUGCUAUAUUUCUGCUAGCGGUUGAGUCGAGGAGACCCGGUCAACGACAGUUGAUGAGACAUGCUCUUCAGUUCGAGAAUCAAGGCGCGAAGGCCACGCAACCACCCACGACUACGGAAAUGGAGCAUCCACUUUCGAGAAGUGGGAGGAUGACAAGCGCAAAGGGAGGAAAUGCAUGGGCUCAGAAGUGGCCUAUAAAAAGGUAACCAACGAAGGUAAAAGGGUUAGCAAUUUUGAGAUUAUAACAGAGACUAAGGAAAUUCUAAAGAAGAGAAAACUAUUAAAAAGCCAUAAGAUCUGUGGCAAGCGUUCCCAGAGCCUUCAUAUCUGACUUGAGCGUCGGAGGGUUUACGCCGGGAAAACAACCGGCGUGCUCUGACUUGUUUCUGUGGACGCAGGAAUACUUGGAGAAGAAAGCAUACGAGGAGAGAUCCUGGUCGAGGUGAGGUUGAUCGAGCAGAUAUCCUGGUCGUAGGAAGAGCGUAACCAGAAUCUCGCAUCAACAAUUGUCUUUGCUCUCUAAUCUAUUCAAUUUUCUUUCUGGAGACAAGAUUUUGAUUCCUUUCAUCGUUACAAAAACGGAACCAUGGUUGAUGUGGGAGAGAUCUUACUCAACGCCUUCUUUUAGGUGAUGUUCGACAGGUUGGCUUCCCGUGAUUUGCUCAGCUUUGUCCGUCAACUUGGAGGGGGGGUCGAUUCCGAGCUCAAGAAGUGGGAAAGAAAGCUGAAGAUGAUUCAGGCGGUGCUCAACGAUGCAGAGGAGAAGCAACUGACGGACGAGGCUGUGAAGAUGUGGCUGGACGAUCUCCAAGACUUGGCUUAUGACGCUGAGGACAUUCUUGAUGAGUUUGCUACUCAAGCUUUGGAAAGCAAGUUGAUGGCGCAAAAUCAGGAUAGCUCUGGCCAACUUCUCAGUUUCAUCCAGGCUAGUUUGAAUCCGAAUGCUAUUAUGUUCAAUUAUAGCAUGGGGUCCAAGAUUAAAGAUAUCACUAGCCGGCUGGAGCAACUCUGCCAAGAAAGAAUUGAACUUGGACUGCAACGGAUUACUGGAGGGGCAUCAUCAACUACUGCUGCUGCACACCAGAGGCUACCCGGUUCAAUUGUCCCAACAGAACGUGAAGUAUUUGGAAGAGAAGAAGAUAAGGCCAAAAUUCUUGAUAUGGUAUUGGCCGAUACCCUAAGUGAUCAUGCCAACUUUGCUGUAAUACCCGUUGUUGGCAUGGGCGGGAUAGGAAAAACAACUCUCGCUCGGGAGGUUUACAAUGACAAGGCCGUUGGCGGUUCCAAGUUUGAUGUAAAAGCAUGGGUUUGCGUAUCUGAUGUCUUUGAUGUUUUGGGCAUCUCAAAGGCACUUCUCGAGUCAAUCACCCGCAGGCCUUGUCUUCUAAACAGUUUAAAUGAAGUGCAGGUUGAAUUGAAAGUAGCUGUGGAUAAAAAAAGAUUCUUGCUGGUCUUAGAUGAUGUUUGGAACGAGGACUACAGCUUGUGGGUAGACUUAAAAGCUCCGUUCCUGGCUGCUGCACCAAACAGUAAGAUGAUCGUCACCACACGCAAUUCAAAUGUUGCAUCAACAAUGGGACCAAUUGAACAUUACAAUCUCAAGAGUUUGUCAGAUGAUGAUUGUUGGUCCAUUUUCAUAAAGCAUGCAUUUGAAUAUAGAGAUCUUAACGCACAUCAAAUUUCAGAAUCGUUCCGCGGGAAAGUUGUUGCCAAGUGUGGAGGCUUGGCCCUGGCAGCAAAAACACUCGGAGGCCUUCUGCAUACGACGAGGCAUGAUGCGUGGGAUGAUACGUUAGAGAGCAAAAUAUGGGAUUUACCUCAACAAAGUGGGGUUCUCCCCGUAUUAAGAUUGAGUUACCAUCAUCUUCCUUCUCAUUUGAAAAGAUGUUUUGCUUACUGUGCAAUCUUUCCAAAAGAUUAUGAAUUCAAUCAGAAGGAGCUGACUUUCUUAUGGAUGGCUGGAGGAAUUAUUCGACAGUCACGAAACAGUGAGCAGCUGGAAGAUUUGGGCAGCAAGUGCUUUCAAGAUCUAGUGUCAAGGUCUAUUUUUCAACAAACCAGCUCUGGUAGUUCUAAAUUUGUAAUGCCCUAUCUUAUCCAUGAUCUUGCUGAAUUGGUUUCUAGAGGGACCAUUUUCAAGUUAGAGGAGUCCACCAACUUGUCGUCGAGGAGAUUUGAAAGAGUUCGCCAUUCUUCCUAUGCCCGCGGUUGGCAUGACGGUAAAAAUAAGUUUGAGGUUUUCUAUGAAAUUGAACAUCUACUAACAUUCUUGCCAUCACGCAUAAGAGGUGGCACUAAUACGAGUUACAUAACUCGAACGGUUCUAUCUGAUUUGUUGCUGAAUUUCAAAAGUUUGAGGAUGUUAUCUUUACAAGGAUACUGUAUUGGUGAGUUACCAAUUUCAUUUGAAGAUUUGAGACUUUUAAGGUUUCUCAACCUUGCUUACACUGACAUAAGAAGUUAUCUGAGUCAACAUGCAAAUUGCUGAACUUGGAAAUUUUGAUAUUAAGAAAUUGUUCUCGUUUGAUAAAGCUUCCACCCAAAAUGAGGAAUUUGAUCAAUUUACGCCAUCUCGAUAUAAGAGGUGCGAAGUUGCUGAAGGAGAUGCCAUUCGGAAUGAAAGAGUUGAAGAAGCUUCAAACAUUGUCCAAUUUUAUUGUGGGCAAGGGUGAAACUGCAUCUUGUUUGGAAGAUUUAAAAUGUUUAAACUUUCUUUGUGAUAAACUUUGCAUUGCUGGAUUAGAGAAUGUUAAUAAUCCACAGAAUGCAAGAGAAGCCGCAUUAUGUGAGAAACACAAUCUUGAAGCAUUGACUCUGGAUUAGGGGUUUCAAUUUGACAAUUCCUGAGGAGUAGUAGAAGAGCAUGUACUGGAAAAUCUACAGCCUCAUAAAUGUAUAAAAAAGGUGGCGAUCCGGAACUAUGGUGGUGCAAGAUUUCCCCUUUGGAUAGGAGAUCCUUUGUUCUCCAGGAUAGAGCUCCUAAAAUUGGAGAACUGUGACAAUUGUGUAUCUUUGCCAUCGCUUGGCCUAUUGAGUUCACUUAGACGGCUUGCUGUUAAAGGGCUGAAUAAACUAAAAAGCAUAGGGUCUGAGGUUUAUGGGGAGGGUUUCUCAAUGCCUUUUCCAUCAUUGGAGAUUCUAAGUUUCGAGAAUUUGCCAGAAUGGGAGCAUUGGGACACCGAUGUCAAAGGAAAUGUGCUUGUUGAAAUAUUUCCUCGUCUCCAUCAACUUUCCAUUGUGGAAUGUCCCAAACUCUCGGGAGAACUGCCUGAGCUCCUGCCCUCCUUGGAGACACUUUUUGUUAGUAAAUGUGAAAAGUUGGUAGUUCCAUUGUCUUGCUAUCCGAUGCUCUGCAGAUUAGAAGUUGAUGAGUGCAAGGAACUAGCAUGCGGGACUCCAAUUGAUUUUAAGUUGAUAACGUCUGUGACUAUUUCAAAUAGUUCCUUAGACAUGAAUGGAUGCAAGGGGAUGCUAUACGAUGGUCCAGCUGGCUCUUCACUACCAAAGCCUAUGAUUACUACAAAUGUUUCGGAGUUUGGAAAAUUAUUGAAGCCUGGAUUUCAGAUAUUAGAAACUUUGGUAAUUGCCAAUUCUGAACAGCUCAAGUCAUGGAGGCAGAAUGGGGAUUUUCCGGAAAAAUACACGGCCCCUGAACAUAGGUUUAAGAAACCAGUACGAGGGCUGAAUAUGCUCGCUUCCCCUGAAGAGGUAACAAUUGAAGAAAGUUGCGUACGUCUUGUUUUGUUUCCAGAGAUCAAUUUCUUUCCCAGAAAUCUGCGCUCUCUUCUAAUUAACAACAACACUGCUUUCAAAUCCUUACCCGAGGAAAUGAUGGAAAACAAUUCACAACUCGAAAGGUUGUAUAUCAGAGAUUGCGACUCUCUAACAUUCAUCGCAAGACGGAGGCUACCAGCAUCUCUUAAAAGGCUUGAGAUAGAAAAUUGUGAGAAAUUGCAACGUCUGUUCGAUGAUGAAGAGGAUGCUUCUUCUUCUUCACCUUCACCCUCGUCUUCCCCAGUGAUGCUGCAACACCUGAGUAUAGAGAACUGCCCAGAGCUCACCAGUUUAUCAUCGGGUGUCCAAUUCCUUGAGGCGCUUGAAGACCUCGACAUACAGGGUUGUCCAAAGCUGGAGUCAUUACCGGAUGGCCUGCCCAAUCUUAAAUGUUUACAGAGCAUUUAUAUACGGGGAUGUCCAAGUCUUGUUUCCUUCCCAGAAAGAGGGCUUCCCAACACGAUUUCAAGGGUUGACAUUUGCAGUUGUGACAAGCUCAAAGCCUUGCCCAAUGAUUUGCACAAACUCAACUCUCUUCGAGAUUUAAGAAUACGGCUGUGUCGAAAUCUUGUAUCGUUUCCAGAAGAAGGUUUUCCUACCAAUCUAACAUCACUUACAAUUGGAAAUUUCAAAAUGUAUAAGACACUCGUCCAGUGGGGGUUGCACGGGCUUACCUCUCUUAAACGCCUCUCGAUCAGUGGAUGUCAUGAAGCAGAGUGUUUUCCAGACGAGGAGAUAGGAAUGACGCUGCCCACCUCUCUCACUCAACUGCUCCUUUAGGGAUUCGAAAAACUGAUAUCUCUGUCUUCGACGGGUUUUCAAAGCCUCAACUCUCUUCAAUACUUAUUGAUCUGGGGUUGCCCAAAUCUCACAUCAUUCCCAGAGGCGGGUCUUCCAUCCUCACUUUUGGAUUUAGGCAUUUACAAUUGUCCAAAGCUUAAAAGAGCGUGCAAAAGAGAUCAAGGAAAAGAGUGGCCCAAAAUUGCUCACAUCCCUCGCAUUGAGAUAGACAGAAAAUUCAUAUACGAUCCAGAAUCAGAGGAGUAGAUUCUAUUACAAAGGUCAGUUGAUUUCUAUUAUCCUCUAUAACAAGCUCCUCUUAAUUUUUUUUUUCUAAGUAAUAAUUUUGCAGUUCUGUAUAAUUAUUAAUCGUCUGCUCUUAAUUGAAAAUGUCACUCACUUGAUUCCGUUUUCACUAGUCAAAUUGUAUGUUGAGGCUAUUUGCUUUUUAAUUAUAACACUUAUCUUAAAAUUUAAUACCAAAUUUUUUUGAUUCACUUCAAUUAGCAUUUUGUUUUCCCCAAAUUAGGCAAGCCGAGAGCUUCAUUAACUAGAGUUUUUUAUUUUUCGGACCUUGCAUCUGAAAGGUUCAGUGUAUUUUUUUUUUUUUCAAAUUUAUUGUUCAGAUCUCAGACGAGUAUACGGUUUAGAUUACAAAACACCUAUGAUUAAUUUCUUUUUUUUUUUUUUAAUUUCAGGGAGAAGAAGUGGUCAGUUUCAAUCCGGAAUUGGAAUAUGGCAAUUUGGUUCAAGCACACACACCUGGUCACUUGGUCAGUGAACCUGAACUUUACGCAGUUUUUUCAACUCAGUGAUUUUUGGAACGCAUAUUGGUGUAAGGAAAUCAAUAGAAAUUUAUGCAUAGUCAAAUUCUGAUAUUUGCUAUAAUAUUAUACAUUCUAAAGUUUCUCCAGUUUGUUCUCAGAUUACCAUCAUUUUUUGCCUUCACCAAAAAAAAAUCGAGUGGCUUUCCAGUGGAUAUUUAAUCGGAGGUAUGACUGGAUUUUUUUCACUUCUGUAAAUCUUGCAUUUUAAACUGGCAAAUUUAACUUUAAUUUUAAUACGACUUGUUUGAGGGAAAUACUCCGACGAGACCAGACGUGAUGAGCAGAUGUUUGGUGGCAGAAGUCUGCGAGCAGGUGUGUCCUGUAAGAGCCAGGUAGCAGGGAAACAGGGGCAGAAAUAUCCUGCUCAUCCACGAGCAUGUCAUCCGCGAGGCCAAUUUCCUGUAAGAAACAUAAAGCCAUUCCUGCUGUAUUCUUGCUAAGGGUUGAUUCGAGGAGACCCGGUCAACGACAGUUGGCGAGGCAUGCUCUCCAGCCCGAGAAUCUAGGCACGAAGGCCACGCAACCACCCACGACUACGGAAAUGGGGAAUCCACGUUCGAGAGGUGGGAGGAUAACAGACGUAGACUGCGGAAAACUGGGAUUCAGAGGAAGCCUAUAAAAAGGUAGCCAACGAAGGUAAAAGGGUUAGCAAUUUUGAUUCUAAAAGAGAGAAAACAACCUAACAACCAUAAGAUUUUUGGCAAGCGUUCCCCGAACCUUCAUAUCUGACUUGAGCGUCGGAGGGUUUGCGCCGGGAAAACAACCGGCGUACUCUGACCUGUCUGUGUGCGCAGGAACCUCUGGAGAAGAAGCUUUACGAGGAGAGAUCCUGGUCGUGGUGAAGUUGAUCGAGCAGAGACCCUGGUCGUAGAACGAGGAGAACCAGAAUCUCGCAUCAACACGACUUUGUUGGUGCCUUGUGUUCCAGAAACUAGAAUGAUGUGUAGUUUUCAGAUUAAGGGGCUUGUAAAUUCUCUAGUAAGAAUCCAAUAAUUUGCUUUUGCACAUUCAUUUUAUUUGUGGAUCCUUGCAUCUGAAUUUGAUCAAUCCAAAAGGAAUUGCUUUUAGACAGAAGAAGAAUUGCAGUACCUAGCCUACGACAUAGUAAAUGGACCUGCAAACCUGUAACUAUUAGUUUGAGGUAAAAAAUUCAUGACCCUCACAUGUUAACUUCUUCUAGUUACUUUCAUCAAAAACACAUUUAAGAAAUUUGCAAUUUUUUGUUAGUUUUGUAUACCGAUGUUGUUUUCUGUUUUAGCAUUUGUAUAAUCUACUGUAUUAUAUUUUGGCGGUUGCAGUAUCUGAGGUAUCUUUUGCAUUUAACUUGCUUUAUUUGUUUUGCUUGUGACUUAAGAACACCAAUAUUUGCCAGAGAUUUAGAGAAGCAUAUCAAGAUGCUUGGCAAACUUGACAAACUUCAAGAUCCUUCAUUCUUCACGACCCAAAACUUGUGAGUACACUUAUGCCCGCAAUUAUUGUGAAACGCUUGCAAUUUUGAUGCAGCGAAAUGGUUUGUUGAUGCAAAGGUUUAAACUUUUAAGAUUUACACUGCAGGGUAGUUGGAUGCUGUAUAGUCGAACGGCCACCAACAUCAAGAACUAUAACUCCAAGACCGGGUUUGCAUUAAUUCAAUCAGCUGAAAUAAUGAUGCAAAUGACACUAUCAGCUGGACUUAGAGACCAGUCAGAUCAAUCAUCCUUUUAUCAACAGUUAAUGUCAUGAUGGUGUCUAUCGGAGGAAACAAAGGAUGUGUCGGAAUCAAUAUGAACAGUGAGAAGAAUGAGAGGAGCUUUGAUUAUAAGUAGGCUCAAUGAACUCAUGCUGGUAAGUGGUAAUUAAAGAAAUUUGUGCGCUUAGUAGCAUUCAAUAUUUUCUGUUUGGGAUAUAGUUGAUGAGUUGAUACUCUGAUUAAGAAGCCUGAUUAUAGUAGCUGACUUUUUUUUUGUGGUUUGCUGUUGUUUAUUCUUUCGAUUAAUUUCAACAUUAGGUUGAUCUGUUGAAGAACAAACUUGGGUUUGAUUAUGCUUUAACUACAAGGAAGAGCCAGACUUGGAUGCAGGCGUUCAGCUUUUAAUGGGUAAGAACAAAUGUAUGCUUUAACCAUGUUUCUCACUUAUUACAAUGCACACAUUGAAGGCAUCUGAGCUGAUCCUGAAAAUGUGAUGGAAAUACUUCUCUGUUUACAUAAAACAGACAAAUAGAGAUCUCUGAUCAUGCCUGAGAAUUCGUUGCAUUUAAAAUUUCUACCAUUGCCAAAAAUAGAAUAAACUACGGAUACAUUAGCUUAAGACUCAAUUUUGAGAAGGAAGUUUGCACAUGCAGCCUAAAAAAUCACGUCCGUGUUGUAUACUUGUAUGUUUCUUUGGGAAAUGAAAGAUUCUGUGUUCUUUUAUUUCAAGUUUGCUGAAAUCACAUUUGUUUUCUUAGAUGCUUUUGGGAAGGUAACAACAUCAAUUUCAUAAAUGCUGGGGUAAGAUGCAUCACGCAGUGCUACUCAACAUGAGAAUUCCCGGCCGCAUUACCUGUAUGUUGAGUGAUCGCACAGUACAACCUUUAGAAGCUUGUAAGGAGUAGACAACUAGAUGCGAAUAGUUUCAAUAUGGAUUCGCAUCAAAUGAUCUCUUGCCAGUGAUUACUAUAACCUCUAUCCCAAAAUUCUUGGAACUGGUCAUACCAAUAAUGAAGUAUUGUGUACGUUGAAGACGUAGCUCAAGGCCUUGCGAAAGCUCCGUCAGCCUUUGUAUUGGAAAACAGUUGGUUGUAGUUGCUUCUGAAUGAUAUUAUUAAUAGAUACUGUAAAAAUGAAGUGUGCCACUCAUUUUCAGAGCCCUGUUAAGAUGUGUUGGUAAUGUGUUUGAAGGUUGUUUGAUUUGUGUUGUAUUCAGCUAUAAAUCAAAGAUUCAGAACAUGGUUAUGUUACUGGUUUCCAAAUAAAAAAAUUGCCUUGUGAUGUUAGUGUUCAUUGUUUUCACAGGAGAUCAGGUUCCCUGUUGAUGAAUCAAGAAGGCAAACGCAUCCAUGCCUUAAGUUCAAAUGUGUCUCUUCUAUUUUCUAUUACUGACUCCUUUAUUUUGAUUUCUUCAUUGUAAUGGAAUUGGUUUUCAUUCCAAAUUAGUCAAAACCUCCUAGAGUCAUUAAGUUCUGUUAGCAUUUGAAGAUAGAACUAGAACUAAAUGAUUGACUGGAUUAAAUUCCGAUAAAGAAUUAAGUUAUGUAUUUAGAGAUAUUUUGUUUUUUUUUUCAUUUGUUCAAUUUGGUUAGUGGUGAUUUCUUAAAGACUCAAUCCAUGUGCGUUUAUGCAUUUUUCUUUUGCCUUAAUUUCUGUUUCUUGGGGAGUUUAUACAGAUUCUUAUUUUAUGCUUCACAUGCCACAUGAAAGAUCGAAGCAUUUUGUGUGAUUAGAACUGACUUGCAUCACAGUAACUUUAAACCACUGCCACAUUUUUAUAAUAACAGUCUGAGAUCUCCCUGAAGGAUUCAAAGCAUUUUAUUUUAUAUUAACCUCCUUUAAGUGGGUUUCGACACUACCACAAGUUCUUUAAAUACUAAAACGAUUUUGAGUCUUUUGUAUCAUCUGAUUGAAAUACCUGAAAGCACUCGUGGCUGCAAAAAUAUAUCGAUUUUGAGUAUGGCGUGCAUGUAAAUUAUAUCGAUUUUUUCUAUAUGACAAGUAAGACUCUCUUUUACAAUGGCACGGAUGCGUCAUUGAGUAAUCAUGAUUCUUGCUGGUAGUGCUUUGUUGUAUCAAUCUGCUAGCUAUUCAGCUUUCUUUCUUUCUUUCUUCUUUUUUUUUUUUUUUUUUUGUUUUCAAAUAGCUUGUGGUUGUAGAAAUAUUUCAAUUAAACUAUACUUAAGUACUUAUUUAGUAUAACUUCUUUACUAGCCAAAAUAAUUUUUUUUUGGUUUUUUAUAAUUUAAUUAUACUUUAACUAGAGUUUUUGGGAUUAAACAAGUGAUAAUUUCUCUCUAUUAAGAAAAACUCAAAAUUUUUUAAUUACUAGAAUGCGUCUAAAUUAAAUUACAAUUAUAGACACUAAAAUAUAGUAAAUUUUUUUUUUUACUCUUUAAAACUGUCUUUACAUUCGAUAUCAUAUUUUUUUCUUAAAAUCUAAAUUGAUAUUUUUAUUUUAUUUUUGAUUAAUCUUAGAACACAUAUAAAGUGAUUCAUAUUGAUUUUAUACUAACAAACUAUCAUAGCACAUUCGAAAAUAAUUAACUCGUUCUUAUUUGCAUAGUGAAAAAGGCAAAUAGCUCACCCAAAUGUUAAGGAACUGGAGAGCUGCUGCUGGAGACGAAAGGAUGUGAAAAGCAUGGUAAAGAAAAAUUGCAUAAUUCUCACUUAGAAGAGGAAGAAAAAAAAAAUACAAUUAGAAUGAGAGGUAGCCAGUAGCCAGUAGCCGCCACCACCACCAGUCAAACUAUUUCGACACACUAAUACUGUAAUACAUAUCAAAAUGCAAUAUCGGUCCUAACAAAAUGAAAAUAAAAAUUCAUUACGAAUAUGUGUUAAAGAUAUCCCAAGUAUUGAUGUGAUUGAAAUAUUUGAGAUUGAAGUAGAAAUAAGACUCAAAAUCAAUUGAGAGGAAUAAAUGAGAAACUCUAAUACUAAUAAAAUAUAUUCACAAAUCCUAAUGCUAAUUAAAAUCACGGAUUAAAAAAAAUAAUAUGAAUGAAUUACAGGCGCAACUGUUUCAUUAAAAAAUUAAUAAAAUCGUGUAUUAAUAUUUUGUACACAUACAUUUUUCCAUAUAUAACUUUUGGUAAUUUAGUUUUCCACUUAUCAUUUUUACUCCAAAAAAAUAAUUGAGAAUAUUAUUUAUGUUUUGGUGCAAAAUAUUUAAACAACAUAAAAAUUUUCAGUUUAAUAAAUCUAAACAAUUCUCAAGUUAUAAAUGAAUUUAAUGGGUUUAAUUAGUAAAAAUACUAUUAUUUUAUAAAUUGGGUUUAGUAAUGGUAUAUUGGGUAUUUAAAUGGGUUUGUUGAGUAAAUUUUAAAAUUUUAAAGUUCAAGGGUAGGUUUAUUUAGUAAAUGGGUUAAUGCAGCAAUUUUCAAACUAAAUUUUUGGAAAAAGAGGCUAUUGAGUUUUUUUUAAGAAAAAGAAUUAAAAUGUUGAGAAUACCUUUAUUUAAUUUUAUAAUCUAAUUUUAAAAAAUUUACCCAAUAAAUUUUAUAAUUUUUUAUAAAAAUUAUCAUUAACAUCCAAACAGCUGAAGAUUAAAAAAAAAAAAAGAAGGGAACUGUACUAGCAAAAGUUAGAUUAACAAUAAAUUUAGUCCAAAGAAUAAAGUUAUAGCUAAAAAGUGCUCCUAUCCUAUUUUUCUCUAUUUUAACAAUAAUCUUCCAAUCCAUUUUACAAUGGACUUAACAAAUGGGCUCAAUCUCUAAACUUCAUUUUCUUUUGCUAACCCAUGGCCAUUAGCCAGAAAGCCUAAAACAAUUUUAGGAUCACAUGUGUAAAUGGAACCCCAAGAUUGAUCAAGAAUUAACAAGACAAGAUGAAGAGAUGAUCUUGUAACUAAGAAUGAAGAAAUUGAAUCAAGACAGUACUCUAGUAAAACCCAGAAAACAGAGCUUGAAGAAUCACGCACAAAGCAGUAAAUUUGUAAAACCAGAAUUGGAGCUUCACUUCUCAAGAUAGACGAAACAGGAUACAAUCUAGCUUUGGUCAACUUCGUUUGGCCACGUCAUAAAGUCUUCCCCCACAGUCUUUCCCGCCAAAACAGAAAAGCUUUAAAAGCCAUUUACCCUCCUGAGUUACUUGCUCCUAUUACAUCAAGGCCCUGUAAGUCUAUAUUUAUUAUUACAAAAGCACCCUUAAACCGAGAUUUGAGAUAUUUUUUCAAAGAUCGAAGCGCAUGAUUUCACGGCUAUGUUGCAUAGUGAAUUUUAGUGCUUUACAGUUAAGGGAUAGUUUAAAUUCAUUACAAAGCAUUCGCAAAGAAAUUGUUUUUAAAUGAAACUCCUCGUCUUGACCAGAUUAUUUAUUAUUAUUAAAAAAAAAAUGUUCAAAACUUAGCCAAAGUGAUAAACUCGUAAUUAUUCUACAAAGGGAACAAUUUUGAACGGUGGGAAAUUCCAUAAUUAUGCUUUUCUGUGAAUUAUUUUAAAUAAAAUUAUAAAAAUUAAUAUAAAAUUAUAAUAAUGAUAGAGCCACAAACUCUUGUACAAAUUUAUUUUAUACAAACUCAUGUGGCAUGAUAAGAUUGGUUGAAUUAAAUAUUACUUGGCCCACAUGAUUUGUUUUUAUUAUUUUAUAUUUUUAUUCAACCAAUAAAUUAAUACCACGUCAGUUUGUACAAAAUAAAUUUAUACAAAAAUUUGUGACUCGAUCAUCACUCAUAAAAUUAAUACCCGGUAAAGACUGUAGAGAGACAAGUGCCCCCAACAGAAUCAAGUGAAUAUGCCCCACAAAGAUCACAUGAUCAUUUCUGUUCUUUUUCUUUUUGAUAAUUUUAUCUGUGGUUUCAACUUUUAUGCUUUAUUGUCGUAUCCCGUUGAGGGCUCCGCUGCACCCAUUACAACUUACCCCUAAAUUGCCUCUUACUAACUAAACCGUUAGAUUUUAUGGAAGCACGUUCAAUGUUGAAUUUUAAUUAUGUCAUCGAAUUUCGUUUAGCUCCUUAAACUCCAUUUUAUUUGUAAUUUCUUCAUAAAAUAUUCAAAGCUUCAUCAAGCUCCUGAUGGACCAUCAUGGCUAGGGGUGCAUUAGAGCCGAACUGAAAUAUGUUAGUUCAGUUCAGUUUGGUCAGUUUAAAUCGAAUGGUUUAGAAUAUAUAAACUGAUCAAUUUUAAUUUUGAAUUGAACCGAACCGAAAAUCAAUUGGUUCACUAUUAGUAUUUUUGUAUAAACAAGAAUGAUUAGUGAUUAUAAUUAAAUUGGACUAAAAAAAAUUCAAACUAAGGUGAAAAAUAUCAAAUCUUAGACAAUAUAAAAAAAAAUAUUAAAUUUUUUUAACCGAAACGAACCGAAUUAUUUUGACUCAGUUUGGUUCAUAAUUUUUUAAACCAAACUGAUUUAUUCCCACCCCCUAAUCGUGGCUCUCUAUCUUUAGUCAUUCACCCUUGAGUUUGAUGCCAAUUGUUGGGUUUCAAAUGAUUAUACACUCAAAUGGAACCCUCAUAACAAAAAACUAACAGAAACAAUAAGAACACGAUGUUAAAAUCUUAAAUCAAUCGCAAAAAAGCACCCAAAACAGAUCGAUUAGGAACAGUUAAGAACAAAAGAUUUGAUGGUUCAAAAUCAUAAUGUGACCUACGUACUUUCAUCCAAGAAUCAUACUAAUUGCUUUACUAGUUGUCAAACUCAAGAUCACAAGAUUGUUUAUCACUCUACAUAAAAAUUUUUUUUAGAAGAAAUACUCCCCAAUUUUUCUCUUAAUAGUUAUGAAUCAACACCCCUAGGAAGCCUGUUGAUUUACUUUUCCUUAUUUCCUAUGAUCGGUUGCUGCAACUUAAUCCUUGCCAAGCUCCAACAUAGUCCAAACACUUUUAACGGUACAGGCAUAGUGCACCUUCAGAAACUUUACAGCUCCUCUUAAAACCUCAGGCAUCGUAAGCACAUUAAGCAGCCGACAACACUCUUCUUCAUUUCUUCAUUGUCAAUUUCCUUCUUGGAACAUUGCUCCAUUGAGAGUCUGCUAGAAUUGCUCCAAUUAUUAUUAUUAUUUAAAAAAAAAAGAAAACCCUGCAAUAAGAGUAUAAGACUAAGCAACGGUCCUUUUUUUUUCCCCAUUCUUGAACCUAAAGUAUUUGAGUAUGCAAAUUAAUAAAUAAAUUCAUUUAUUUUUAUUAAAAUUUUGUAAAAUUAUAAUUUUUAAUAAAAAUAAUUAUUAAAAUUUUGUAAAAUCUAAAUUUAGAAAAAUUCAGUUGGGCACCUCUAUUUGAGAUUUAUUUUUUAUUAAAUUUAGGGAUAUUUUUAUAAUUAUAAUUUUUAAUUUUAAAAGUUUUUAUAAGAUAAAAUAGUCUUUUAAUUUAUUUAGGGGGUAAAAUUGGUGUUUUAUUAAAAUUAUUUAAUUGUGUUAAUGCAAAAGUGGCUAUUUGAUACAAAUGUGAAAAGAAAGGUGGUGCAAAAUAUAUGUUAAAAUUUUAUAUUGGUUGGAUGAACAUAAGCUAAAAUAAAGGUGGUGCAAUGAUAAUUUCCCUAUCCUAAAACUUAAUUGACUUAAUUCUUACGGUGCAAGGAAGAGGUUUCCAAGUUUAAAUCUAAAGGCUUGUAUUUAAUUUGGGGUUGGGAAAGCACUGAGAAAUAAAUGUAACUAAGGAAAAAAAAAAAGUCACGCAGUCCAAAUAAGUAGAUAUAUUUAAUAUGAGGUGGGGAUGGGUGAACUGUAAUUCAGAAAAAAAUAAAAUAAAAUUUUAUAUAAAGUUGAGGGUGUGUUUUAAUGGUUUCUUAUGCUGCGUUUAUUUUUUGGACUAGAGUGAGAAUUCUAAAAAGUGAGAAUCCUAUGAUUAGGUGUGUGGAGUGGGAGUGGGAGUAUGGUAUUUACUUAGACUAAAUAAAAGUAUGGAUUGUCAAUCAGAAUCUCAAUUAUUUGUUACUUUGUCUUGGAUUGAGAGUAAAUUAUUUUAAAUUACAAUUUUAUCCUUAUGUAAAGAAUUAUAAUUUGUAAUUAAAAAAUUAAUAAAAAUAUAUUGGAAAAUAAAAUAAAUAUUUUAUUAUAUUUAUAAAAUAAUAAUAAUUAAUAAAAUUCUUAAUUAUGUAAAUCAUAAUUUUUUAUUAAUUUAAAUUUAAAUUAUGUGAAUAAAAUUAUUAAUAAUAGCAACACAAAUGAAACAUUAUUAUUAAUAAUAUAGUAUAAAAUUAAUAUUUUUUUAGAAUAAAAUAUUUAUUAUUAUUAAAUAAAUAAAUAAUAUUUAUUAAAAUUAAUGUUUAAUAUUAUUAAUUUAAAUAUAAUAUUUAUUUAUUUUUAUUUUAUUUUAUUAAAUUUAAUAAAAUAAAUAUGUUAUAAUUAUUAUUUUUAAUAAAUAUGAUAUUAUUUAUUUUAUUAAAUAUUAUUUAUUUAUUUUAAUUAUGAGGGUAAAAAUGGAAGAGGGGGAGUGGAUUCCCACUCCCACCUCCCCCCAUGGGAGUGGGAAUCCCACUCUCCCCUUAAAAAUGGUAAGUAAAUAUUAGAAUGGGAAGAAUCUACACUCUACACUUUCUAGAAAAUAAACACUACCUUUAUUUAAAUCGAUUUGUUGGAUAUUUAGCUAAAAUGAGAGUAGCUCUCUAAUAAUUAUUGCAUUAUUACAAACAUAUCCAACGGUUAUAAUAGCGCGCUGAAUCAAUGCUUCAGAAGGAUGACAGUCUGAGUGAAAAGGAAAUAAACGCUUUCAAUUGAAUUACUACCACUACACUCCAAUACUCUAUUAUUGUUUGUGUGCUUGCUUGUGGACCUUUUUACUUCUUACUAUCAUUAUUGAAUUCCAUUUCCAAAUUUUCAGCAUACUUUUGCUUUCUUUCAGUAUCUUCAGUUUCUCUUUUGCUUGCUAUCAAUUCAGUUUUCUUCUUGUGAAGAUCGAACGGAACCAUGGUUGCUGUGGGAGAGAUCUUACUCAACGCCUUCUUUCAGGUGUUGUUUGACAGGUUGGCUUCCCGUGAUUUGCUCAGCUUUGUCCGUCAACUUGGAGGCGGGGACGAUUCCGAGCUCAAGAAGUGGGAAAGAAAGCUGAAGAUGAUUCAGGCGGUGCUCAACGAUGCAGAGGAGAAGCAACUGACCGACGAGGCCGUGAAGAUGUGGCUGGACGAUCUCCAAGACUUGGCUUAUGACGCUGAGGACAUUCUUGAGGAGUUUGCUACUCAAGCUUUGGAAAGCAAGUUGAUGGCGAAAAAUCAGGAUCGCAUUGGCCAGGUUCUUAGUUUCAUACCGGCUAGUUUGAAUCCGAAUGCUAUUAUGUCCAAUUAUAGCAUGGGAUCCAAGAUUAAAGAUAUUACUAGCCGGUUGGAGCAACUCUGCCAAGAUAGAAUUGAACUUGGGCUGCAACGGAUUGCUGGAGGGGCAUCAUCAACUACUUCUGCUGCACAUCAGAGGCGAGACAGUUCGAGUGUCCCAACAGAACGUGAAGUAUUUGGAAGAGAAGAAGAUAAGGCCAAAAUUCUUGAUAUGGUAUUGACCGAUACCCCAAGUGAUCGUGCCAACUUUGUUGUAAUACCCAUUGUUGGCAUGGGCGGGAUAGGAAAAACAACUCUUGCCCGGGAGGUCUACAAUGACAAGGCCGUUGAAGAUUCCAAGUUUGAUGUAAAAGCAUGGGUUUGUGUCUCUGAUGUCUUUGAUAUUUUGGGCAUCUCAAAGGCACUUCUCCAGUCAAUCACCUCCGCAGCUAGUGAUCUCAAGACUUUAAAUGAGGUGCAGGUUCAACUGAAAAAAGCAGUUGACGGAAAAAGAUUCUUGCUGGUCUUAGAUGAUGUUUGGAACGAGAACUACAACUUGUGGGAAGACUUAAAAGCUCCGUUCCUGGAUGCUGCACCAAACAGCAAGAUGAUCGUCACCACACGCAAUUCAAGUGUUGCAUCAACAAUGAGACCCAUUGAACAUUUCAAUCUCAAGAGUCUGUUGGAUGACGAUUGCUGGUCCAUUUUUAUAAAGCAUGCAGUUGAAGGUGGAGAUCUUAACGAGGAUCAAAUUUCAGAAUCAUUCCGCAAGAAAGUUGUUGGCAAGUGUGGAGGCUUGCCUCUGGCAGCAAAAACUCUCGGGGGCCUUCUGCGUACGACGAGGCAUGAUGGGUGGGAUGGUAUAUUGGAUAGCAAAAUAUGGGAAUUACAUCAACAUAGCAGCAUUCUCCCUGUGUUAAGAUUGAGUUACCAUCAUCUUCCGUCUCAUUUGAAAAGAUGUUUUGCUUUUUGUGCCAUCUUUCCAAAAGAUUAUGAAUUCACUGAGAAGGAGCUGACUUUCUUAUGGAUGGCUGGAGGUAUUAUUCGACAGUCAAGAAACAAUGAGCAGCUGGAAGAUUUGGGCAGCAAGUGCUUUGGUGAUCUAGUGUCAAGGUCAAUUUUUCAACAAACAGCAAUCUCUGAUAGUUCUAAAUUUGUAAUGCACGACCUUAUCCAUGAUCUUGCUGAAUUGGUCUCUGGAGGAACCAUAUUUAGGUCAGAGGAGGCCAAUACUCUAUCAAGAAGAUUUGAAAGGGUUCGCCAUUCUUCCUAUACCCGUGAUUGGUAUGAUGGUAAAAAUAAGUUCGAGGUUUUCAAUGAAAUUGAACAUCUACGAACAUUCUUGCCGUUAAGAGGUAACUAUUGUACUAGUUACAUAACUCGACCGAUUCUAUCUGAUAUGCUGCCAAAGUUCAAAAGGUUGAGAACGCUAUCUUUACAAGGAUACUGUAUUGGUGAGUUACCAAUUCCAUUUGAAGAUUUGAGACUUUUAAGGUUCCUCAACCUUGCUGACACUGACAUAAGAAGUUUACCUGACUCAACAUGCAAAUUGCUGAACUUGGAAAUUCUGAUAUUAAGAAAUUGUUCCCGUUUGAUAAAGCUUCCGCAGAAAAUGAGGAAUUUGAUCAAUUUAUGCCAUCUGGAUAUAAGAGGUGCGAAGUUGCUGAAGGAGAUGCCAGUCGGAAUGAAAGAGCUGAAGAAGCUUCAAACAUUGUCCAAUUUUAUUGUAGGCAAGGGUGAAUCCGCAUCUGGUUUGGAAGAUUUAAAAAGUUUAAACCUUCUUUGUGAUGAACUUUGCAUUGCUGGAUUAGAGAAUGUGAAUAAUCCACAGAAUGCAAGAGAAGCCGCAUUAUGUGAGAAGCACAAUCUUGAAGCAUUGACUCUAACAUGGUGGCCUCAAUUUGACAGUCCUCGAGGUGUAGUAGUGGAAGAGAAUGUACUUGACGUUUUGCAGCCUCAUAAAUGUAUAAAAAAGGUGGCAAUCAGGAACUAUGGUGGUGCAAGAUUUCCACCUUGGAUAGGAGAUACUUUAUUCUCCAAGAUAGAGCUCCUUGAAUUGAAGAACUGUGACAAUUGUGUGUCUUUGCCAUCGCUUGGCCUAUUGAGUUCACUUAAACACCUUGCUGUUAAAGGGCUGAAGAAACUAAAAAGCAUAGAGUCUGAGGUUUAUGGGGAGGGUUUGUCAAUGCCUUUUCCAUCGUUGGAGGUUCUAAGUUUUGAGAAUUUGCCUGAAUGGGAGUAUUGGGACACCAAUAUCAGAGGAAAUGUGCUCGUUGAAAUGUUUCCUCGUCUCCAUAAACUUUCCAUUGUGGAAUGUCCAAAACUCUCUGGGGAACUGCCUGAGCUCCUGCCCUCCUUGGAGACACUUGUUGUUAUUAAAUGUGAAAAUUUGGUAGUUCCAUUGUCUCGCUAUCCGAUGCUCUGCAGAUUAGAAGUUGAUGAGUGCAAGGAACUAGCGUGCGGGACUCCAAUUGAUUUCAAGUUGAUAAAGUCUGUGACUAUUUCAAAUAGUUCCUUAGACAUGGAUGGAUGCAAGGGGAUGCUAUACGAUGGUCCAGCUAGCUCUUCACUGCCAAAGCCCACGAUUACUACAAAUGUUUUGGAGUUUGGAAAAUUAUUGAAGCCUGGAUUUCAGAUAUUAGAAACGUUGGUAAUUGGCAAUUCUGAACAGCUCAAGUCAUGGAGGCAGCAUGGGGAUUUUCUAGAAGAAUAUAUGGUCGCUCGCCAAAGGUUUAAGAAACCAGUACAAGGGCUGAAUAUGCUCGCUUCCCCUGAAGAGGUAACAAUUGAAGAAAGUUGCGUACGUCUUGUUUUGUUUCCAGAGAUCAAUUUCUUUCCCAGAAAUCUGCGCUCUCUUCUAAUUAACAACAACACUGCUUUCAAAUCCUUACCCGAGGAAAUGAUGGAAAACAAUUCACAACUCGAAAGGUUGUAUAUCAGAGAUUGCGACUCUCUAACAUUCAUCGCAAGACGGAGGCUACCAGCAUCUCUUAAAAGGCUUGAGAUAGAAAAUUGUGAGAAAUUGCAACGUCUGUUCGAUGAUGAAGAGGAUGCUUCUUCUUCUUCUUCUCCUUCAUCCUCGUCUUCCCCAGUGAUGCUGCAACGCCUGAAUAUAAAGAACUGCCCAGAGCUCACCAGUUUAUCAUCGGGUGUCCAAUUCCUUGAGGCGCUUGAAGGCCUCGAGAUAUGGGAUUGUCCAAAGCUGGAGUCAAUACCGGAUGGCCUGCACAAUCUUAAAUGUUUACAGAGCAUUCAUAUAGAUGGAUGUCCAAGUCUUGUUUCCUUGCCCAAUGACAUGCACAAACUGAACUCUCUUCGAGAUUUAAACAUACGGGCGUGUCCAAUAUCGUUUCCAGAAGAAGGUUGUCCUACCAAUCUAACAUCACUUACACUUGGAUAUGUCGAAAUGUAUAAGACACUCGUCCAGUGGGGGUUGCACAGGCUUACCUCUCUUAGAAGCCUCGACAUUUUUGGAUGUGAUGAUGAAGCAGAGUGUUUUCCAGACGAGGAGAUAGGAAUGACGCUGCCCACCUCUCUCACUCAUCUGCACCUUUUUGAUUUCGAAAAAUUGAGAUCUCUGUCUUCGACGGGUUUUCAGAGCCUCACCUCUCUUCAAUCUUUGGAUAUCUGGUUUUGCCCAAAUCUCACAUCAUUCCCAAAGGUGGGCUUUCCAUCCUCACUUGUGGAAUUACGCAUUAGAGAUUGUCCAAAGCUUAAAAAAGCGUGCAAAAGAGAUCAAGGAAAAGAGUGGCCCAAAAUUGCUCACAUCCCUUGCGUUGAGAUAGACGAUAAAUUCAUAUACCAUCCAAAAUCAGAGGUGUAGAGUGUAUUAUUAAGGUCAGUUGAUUUAUGUUAUCCACCAUAACAAGCUCCUCCUUUUUUUUUAAAUAAUAAUUUUGCAGUCACUCGCGUGAUUCCGUUUUCACAAGUCAGAUUGUAUGUUGAGGCUAUUUGCCUUUUAAUCGCAGAUUAAAUUAUAACACUUAUCUUAAAAUUUAAUACCAUAGACAGAUAGACGAUUUUUUAAUCCAAAGUUUUUUUAUUCACUUCAGUUAGCAUUUUUUUUUUCCCCAAAUCAUGCAAGCCGAGAGUUUCAAUCAACAGAAUUUUAUUCACUCAUUGACUUUUCAACUGCUGUGGUUAUUUAUGGGUGAAAGAUAAAUUUCUUAGAUGGUAGAUAUAUCGACAUUUUAGAUUUCAGAUAUUUGUCACCAAUUUCAUUCCUUUUUUUAAAAUUUUUUUUAAGCAAGUUUGACUAAUUUUAACCAGAAUUGGAGUAUAAUAUUUUGGAGCAAGCAUACUUGAAAUUUCUGUCUUCAAUUUUUUUGAUGCUUUUUUAAUUUUGAUCUAGUAAAAAUACAUAGCCUUCACCGGCAGGAUUCUAGUCUUGGCUUUCACCUCUCUAACUCAUCUGUCCCUAUUGGGAUUCCAGAAAUUUAAAUUUCUGUCUUCAAUGGGUUUUCAAAGCCUCACCUCUCUUCGAUUUUUGUGGAUUGGGAAUUGCACAAAUCUCACAUCAUUUCCCGAGGUCGAGGAAAAGAGCGGCCCAAACUAUCAGCGGUGUUGAUUCUCUUAUUAAGGUCAGCUGAUUUCUAUUAUCCACUCUGACAAUCUCCUAUUAGUGUUUUUUUUUUAAAAAAUUUGCAGUUCUGUAUAAUUGAAAUGCCACUCACUUGUUUCCUUCUUCACAGGUCAGAUAGUAUGUUAAAGCUAUUAGUGCUGCCUCAUAGGUUGAUUACUCACAGAUGAAAUCAUAACUUUUAUCUUAAAAUUUAAUAGCAUACACAGAUAGACGAUUUUUAGUCCAAAGUUUUUUUUAUUCACUUCAAUCAAAAUUUUAGAUUGCAGAUUUUUGUCGAGUAUUUUCAUUCCAAUUUUUUCAUUUUUUAUUUUAAACCAGAAUUGGAGUAUAAAAUUUUGGAGCGCGCAUACUCUGAUGCAUGCAAUUAACUGUUUUUAAUCGUUGGAUUUUGAAAUUAAUGAUGGUAAGAUGUGUACUUAUUCUUUCUUCCAACAACCUUGCCUUCUUUCUUCGGUCGCAUAUCUAAUGAAUAUUUCUCUGUUUAGUUAAGGAUGAAUGCUUGGAGUGGGGUACUUGGUAACAUUUCUGCCUUAGAUGAAUCCUUGAAGAAAUGCCCGCAGUUCCUGAGACCAAAUACAGGUCUGAUUCAAAACAGCACCUUUCCCAGAAAAUAUGAUCCAAGGCAAAGUCAUGUUCUGAUAAUGUUUCCUUAAGUACUAAGUUGCAAGGAAACUUGAUUCAUUAACUACAGUUUUUUAUUUUUAGGACCUUGUAUCUGAAAGGUUCAGUGUUUUUUUUUUUCAAAUUUAUUGUUCAGAUCUCAGAGGAGUAUAUGGUUUAGAUUACAAAACACCCAUGAUUAAUUUCAUUUUUUUUUUAAUUUCAGGGAGAAGAAGUGGUCAGUUUCAAUCCGGAAUUGGAAUAUGGCAAUUUGGUUCAAGCAAACACACCUGGUCACUUGGUCAGUGGUCACUUGGUCAGCGAACCUGAACUUUACGCAGUUUUUUCAACUCAGUGAUUUUUGGAACGCAUAUUGGUGUAAGGAAAUCAAAAGAAAUUUAUGCAUUGUCAAAUUCUGAUAUUUGCUAUAUAUUAUACAUUCUAAAGUUUCUCCAGUUUGUUCUCAGAUUACCAUCAUUUUUUGCUUUCACCAACCAAACAAAAACAAAAUGAGUGGCUUUCCGGUGGAUAUUUAAUCGGAGGUAUGACUGGAUUUUUUUCACUUCUGUAAAUCUUGCAUUUUAAACUGGCAAAUUUAACUUUAAUUUUAAUAGGACUUUGUUGGUACCUUGUGUUCCAGAAACUAGAAAGAUGUGUAGUUUUCAGAUAAAGGGGCUUGUAAAUUCUCUAGUAAGAAUCCAAUAAUUUGCUUUUGCACGUUCAUUUUAUUUGUGGAUCCUUGCAUCUGAAUUUGAUCAAUCCAAAAGGAAUUGCUUUUAGACAGAAGAAGAAUAGCAGUACCUAGCCUAUGACAUAGUAUAUGGACCUGCAAACCUGAAACUAUUAGUUUGAGGUAAAAAAUUCAUGACCCUCACAUGUUAACUUCUUCUAGUUACUUUCAUGAAAAACACAUUUAAGAAAUUUGCAAUUUUUUGUUAGUUUCGUAUCCGAUGUUGUUUUCUGUUUUAGCAUUUGUAGAAUCUACUGUAUUAUAUUUUGGCAGUUGCAGUAUCUGAGGUAUGUUUUGCAUUUAACUUGCUUUGUUUGUUUUGCUUGUGACUUAAGAACACCAAUAUUUGCCAGAGAUUUAGAGAAGCAUAUCAAGAUGCUUGGCAAACUUGACAAACUUCAAGAUCCUCCAUUCUUCACAACGCAAAACUUGUGAGUACACCUAUGCCCGCAAUUAUUGUGAAAUGCUUGCAAUUUUGAUGCACUGAAAUGGUUUGUUGAUGCAAAGGUUUAAACUUUUAAGAUUCACCCUGCAGGGUAGUUGGAUGCUGUAUAAUCGAAAAGCGACCAACAUCAAGAAUUAUGACUCCAAGACCGGGUUUGCAUUAAUUCAAUCAGCUGAAAUCAUGAUGCAAAUGACACUAUCAGCUGGACUUAGAGACCAGUCAGAUCAAUCAUCCUUUUAUCAACAGUUAAUGUCAUGAUGGUGGCUAUCGGAGGAAACAAAGGAUGUGUCGGAAUCAAUAUGAACAGUGAGAAGAAUGAGAGGAGCUUUGAUUACAAGUAGGCUCAAUGAACUCAUGCUGGUAAGUGGUAAUUAAAGAAAUUUGUACGCUUAGUAGAGUUUCAAUAUUUUCUGUUUGGGAUAUAGUUGAUAAUUUGAUACUCUGAUUAAGAAGCCUGAUUAUAGUAGCUGACUUUUUUUUUGUGGUUUGCUGUUGUUUAUUCUUUCGAUUAAUUUCAACAUUAGGUUGAUCUGUUGAAGAACAAACUUGGGUUUGAUUAUGCUUUAACUACAAGGAAGAGCCAGGCUUGGAUGCAGGCGUUCAGCUUUUAAUGGGUAAGAACAUAUGUAUGCUUUAACCAUGUUUCUCACUUAUUACAAUGCAUGCAUUGAAGGCAUCUGAGCUGAUCCUGAAAAUGUGAUGGAAAUACUUCUCUGUUUACAUAAAACAGGACAAGAGAUCUCUGAUCAUGCCUGAGAAUUCGUUGCAUUUAAAAUUUCUACCAUUGCCAAAAAUAGAAUAAACUAGGGAUAGAUUAGCUUAAGACUCAAUUUUGAGAAGGAAGUUUGCACAUGCAGCCUAAAAAAUCAUGUCCGUGUUGUAUACUUGUAUGUUUCUUUGGGAAAUGAAAGAUUCUGUGUGUUCUUUUGUUUCAAGUUUGCUGAAAUCACAUUUGUUUUCUUAGAUGCUUUUGGGAAGGUAACAACAUCAAUUUCAUAAAUGCUGGGGUAAGAUGCAUCACGCAGUGCUACUCAACAUGAGAAUUCCCGGCCGCAUUACCUGUAUGUUGAGUGAUCGCACAGUACAACCUUUAGAAGCUUGUAAGGAGUAGACAACUAGAUGCGAAUAGUUUCAAUAUGGAUUCGCAUCAAAUGAUCUCUUGCCAGUGAUUACUAUAACCCCUAUCCCAAAAUUCUUGGCAUUGGUCAUACCAAUAAUGAAGUAUUGUGUACGUUGAAGACAUAGCUCAAGGCCUUGCGAAAGCUCCGUCAGCCUUUGUAUUGGAAAACAGUUGGUUGUAGUUGCUUCUGAGUGAUAUUAUUAAUAGAUACUGUAAAAAUGAACUGUGCCACUCAUUUUCAGAGCCCUGUUAAGAUGUGUUGGUAAUGUGUUUGAAGGUUGUUUGAUUUAUGUUGUAUUCAGCUACAAAUCAAAGAUUCAGAACAUGGUUAUGUUACUGGUUUCCAAAUCAAAAAAAUGCCUUGUGAUGUUAGUGUUCAUUUUUUUCACAGGAGAUCAGGUUCCCUGUUGAUGAAUCAAGAAGGCAAACGCAUCCAUGUCUUAAGUUCAAAUGUGUCUCUUCUAUUUUCUAUUACUGACUCCUUUAUUUUGAUUUCUUCAUUGUAAUGGAAUUGGUUUUUUAUUCCAAAUUAGUCAAAACCUCCUAGAGUCAUUAAGUUCUGUUAGCAUUUGAAGAUAGAACUAGAACUAAAUGAUUGACUGGAUUAAAUUCCGAUAAAGAAUUAAGUUAUAUAUUUAGAGAUAUUAUGUUUUUUUUUUUUUCAUUUGUUCAAUUUGGUUAGUGGUGAUUUCUUAAAGACUCAAUCCAUGUGCGUUUAUGCAUUUUUCUUUUGCCUUAAUUUCUGUUUCUUGGGGAGUUUAUACAGAUUCUUAUUUUAUGCUUCACAUGCCACAUGAAAGAUCGAAGCCUUUUGUGUGAUUAGAACUGACUUGCAUCACAGUAACUUUAAAUCACUGCGACAUUUUUAUAAUAACAGUCUGAGAUCUCCCUGCAGGAUUCAAAGCAUUUUAUUUUAUAUUAAACUCCUUUACGUGGGUUUGGACACUACCACAAGUUCUUUAAAUACUAAAACGAUUUUAAGUCUUUUGUAUCAUCUGAUUUAAAUACAUGAAAGCACUCGUGGCUGCAAAAAUACAGUUGGGGCUAUUUCUAAAGUCUUCAACAGCAUUUUCUUUUUAACCUUUAUCCUCAUGGUUGUUUUUGCAGUUGUUCUUUAAGAAAACAUUUAAAAGGUUCUCUUUAUGGAUUUUUGAAAAUAAUUUUAACAUGAGCAAUUUUCAGAAGCACUUUAGAUGUCUGGCAUUUAGGAAAUUUUAUUUCGGUGUCACAUAAAAUACUUAGGAAGUUAAAUUUAUUUAUUUAUGAGCAUGUGCCAGUGCCCAGUGGCAUCCUCUUCACUUGUGAUAGUCAAAUGUAUUAUACGAUACAAUAUUAGCUUGACUGUAGCACAGAGGAGAAUAGGGUUGGUGUUGGUCUGAACCAGCUUAUGUAACAGCUGCCAAAGGAUAAUUUAAUUGUACUUUGAGUAAAGCUUUUGCGAAUUAAACAAGUGAUAAUUUGUUUUUAUUAAGAAAAACUUAAGGAAUUAGGCUAUUUUAACUGACCAAAUUACACAUUAAAAAUUCAUUUACAAAAAUAGUUUUUAGUUAUUAAAAUAUUCCUAAAUUAAAUUAUAAUUAUGGACACUAAAAUAUUUUUUUUAUAUUUUACUCUUUGAAACUGUCUUUAUAUUCGAUAUUAUAUUUUUUUCUUAAACUCUAAAUUGAUUUUUUUUUUUGAUUAAUUUUAAAACACCUAUAAAGUGAUUCAUAUUGAUUUUAUACUAACAAACUAUUAUAGCACAUUCGAAAAAUAAUUAAAUCGUUCUUAUUUACAUAGUGAAAAUGCAAAUAGCUCGUUCAAAUGUUAAGGAAUUGGAGAGCUGCUGCUGGAGAUGAAAGAUGUGAAUUAAACAUCAGAAAAAAAAUUAUGUUUACUAUCUUGCCAGACCAAGCACCGAAAAGCAUCGUAAAGAAAAAUUAGAUAAUUUAGAAGAUAAAGCACGUGGAAUGGAGGCAGAAAGCAAGUAAUGAUAACUCUUUCGACAAACUAAUAUAUACCAAAAUGCAAUAUCAAAAAUGAAAAUAAAAAUUCAUUACGAAUACGUGUUAAAGAUAUCCCAAGUAUAGAUGUGACUGAAAUAUUUGAGAUUGAAGAAGAAUUAAGACUCAAAAUCAAUUGGGAGGAAUAAAUGAGAAACCUCAAUACCAAAAAAUACACGCGCAAAUCCUAAUACUAAUUGUAAUUGCAGAUAAAUAGCAUAAUACGAAUAAAUUCCAUGGGCAACUAUUUCAUUGAGAAAUUAAUUAAAUCGUGUAUUAAUAUUUUGUAUACAUAUAUUUUUCUAUAUAUGACUUUCGGUAAUUUAAUUUUCCACUUAUCAUUUUUACUCCAAAAAAAUAAUUGAGAAUAUUAUUUAUGUUUUGGUGCAAAAUAUUUGAACAAUAUACAAAUUUUCAGUUUAAUAAAUCUAAACAUCUAUUAAGUUAUAAAUGAAUUUAAUGGGUUUAAUUAAUAAAAUUACUAUUAUUAUAUAAAUUGGAUUUAGUAAUGGUACAUUGGGUGGGUUUGUUGAGUAAAUUUUAAAAUUUUGAAAUUUAAGGAUGGGUUUAUUUAGUAAAUGAGUUAAGGGAGUAGUUUGUUGGGAUUCACAUAACGCCACCAAAUUCAAAUGUAAAAUUUAUGGAAAAAGAAGCUAUUGAGUUAUUCUUUUUAAAAAAAGAAUUAAAAUGUCAAGAAUACCUUUAUUUAAUUUUAUAAUCUUAUUUUAUAGUCAUAUUUUAUUUCCACCUUAACAUAAUUUUAAAAAACCUUAACUAAUAAAUUCUAUAUUUUUUUUAUAAAAGUUAUCAUUAAUAUCCAAACGGCUAAAGAUUUUUUUUUUUAAAAAAAAAGAAACUAUGCUUACAAAAGUUGUAUACAUUAACAAUAAAUUUAGUCCAAAGAAUAAAGUUAUUCCAAACAAGCACUCCUAUUCAUCUUGCUAAUGAAUCAAGAUGACUGAAUCCAUUCUCUAAGCCAAAUCUAUUUUCACUUCUAGGUCAGAAAUUGUCAUUAAAAAAGUGUUUGAUAAAAUAUGCUCUGGGAACACUAAUUCGUCAGAUGGUUACUCCAAGUUUAUGAAAUCAAUGGGGUUUCAUCAUAUUCAUAACAUUCUUCUUUAAUGUCUAUUCUAACAAAGAAAUUACUAGAAAACUUUUACUAGAAAAACUAACCACAAUUCAUCAUUCAUUUAUAUCUUAAGUAAGCGUAAGAUUUUAUCAUUAAAAUCUCAUCAUGAAAAAACUCAUGGGAGAAAAACUAUAAAAAUUGAAGAAAAAAGAGUAUGGCGUGCAUGUAAAUUAUAUCGAUUUUAUCUAUAUGACAAAUAAGACUCUCUUUUACAAUGGCACGGAUGCUUCAUUGAGUAAUCAUGAUUCUUGCUGGUAGUGCUUUGUUGUAUCAAUCUGCUAGCUAUUCAGCUUUCUUUCUUUCUUUCUUCUUUUUAUUUUUUUUGUUUUCAAAUAGCUUGUGGUUGUAGAAAUAUUUCAAUUAAACUAUACUUAAGUACUUAUUUGGUAUAACUUCUUUACUAGCCAAAAGAUUUUUUUUUUGGUUUUUUAUAAUUUAAUUAUACUUUAACUAGAGUUUUUGGGAUUAAACAAGUGAUAAUUUCUCUCUGUUAAGAAAAACUCAAACGGUAGGGUUAUCUCAAUCCACCAAACUAUUUAUUAAAAAUCCACUUAUGAAAAUAAUUUUUAAUUAUUAGAAUGCCUCUAAAUUAAAUUACAAUUAUAGACACUAAAAUAUAGUAAAAAAAAUUUUUUUUUACUCUUUAAAACUGUCUUUACAUUCGAUAUCAUAUCUUUUUCUUAAAAUCUAAAUUGAUUUUUUUUUUAUUAAUCUCAGAACACAUAUGAAGUGAUUCAUAUUGGUUUUAUACUAACAAACUAUCAUAGCACAUUCGAAAAUAAUUAACUCGUUCUUAUUUGCAUAGUGAAAAGGCAAAUAGUUCAUCCAAAUGUUAAAGAAUUGGAGAGCUGCUGCUGGAGAUGAAAGAUGUGAAAAGCAUGGUAAAGAAAAAUUACAUAAUUCUCACUUAGAUGAGGAAGAAAAAAAAAAGAAUACAAUUAGAAUGAGAGGUAGCCAAUAGCCACUAGCCGCCGCCACCGCCACCAGUGAAACUAUUUCACAUAAUAGAAGAUAAAGCACGCGUAAUGGAGGCAAAAAGCAAUUAAUGAUAACUCUUUUCGACACACUAAUACAUAUCAAAAUGCAAUAUCGGUCCUAACAAAAUGAAAAUAAAAAUUCAUUACGAAUAUGCGUUAAACAUAUCCCAAGUAUUGAUGAUGUGAUUGAAAUAUUUGAGAUUGAAGUAUAAAUAAGACUCAAAAUUAAUUGAGAGGAAUAAAUGAGAAACUCUAAUACUAAUAAAAUACAUUCACAAAUCCUAAUGCUAAUUAAAAUCACGGAUUAAAAAAAAUAAUAUGAAUGAAUUACAGGCGCAACUGUUUCAUUAAGAAAUUAAUUAAAUCGUGUAUUAAUAUUUUGUACACAUACAUUUUUCCAUAUAUAACUUUUGGUAAUUUAGUUUUCCACUUAUCAUUUUACUCCAAAAAAAUAAUUGAGAAUAUUAUUUAUGUUUUGGUGCAAAAUAUUUAAACAACGUAUAAAUUUUCAGUUUAAUAAAUCUAAACAUUUCUCAAGUUGUAAAUGAAUUUAAUGGGUUUAGUUAGUAAAAAUGCUAUUAUUAUAUAAAUUGGGUUUAGUAAUGGUAUAUUGGGCAUUUAAAUGGGUUUGUUGAGUAAAUUUUAAAAUUUUAAAAUUUAAGGGUGGGUUUAUUUUAGUAAAUGGGUUAAGGCAGCAAUUUCCCAAACUAAAAUUUUUAGAAAAAGAGGCUAUUUAGUUUUUUUUUUUAAAAAGAAUUAAGAUGUUGAGAAUACCUUUAUUUACUUUUAUAAUCUUAUUUUAAAAAAUUUACCCAAUAAAUUUUAUAAUUUUUUACAAAAAUUAUCAUUAACAUCCAAACAGCUAAAGAUUAAAAAAAAAAAAAAAGAAGGGAACUGUACUAGCAAAAGUUAGAUUAACAAUAAAUUUAGUCCAAAGAAUAAAGUUAUAGCUAAAAAGUGCUCCUAUCCUAUUUUUCUCUAUUUUAACAAUAAUCUUCCAAUCCAUUUUACAAUGGACUUAACAAAUGGGCUCAAUCUCUAAACUUCAUUUUCUUUUGCUAACCCAUGGCCAUUAGCCAGAAAGCCUAAAACAAUUUUAGGAUCACAUGUGUAAAUGGAACUCCAAGAUUGAUCAAGAAUUAACAAGACAAGAUGAAGAGAUGAUCUUGUAACUAAGAAUGAAGAAAUUGAAUCAAGACAGUACUCUAGUAAAACCCAGAAAACAGAGCUUGAAGAAUCACGCACAAAGCAGUAAAUUUGUAAAACCAGAAUUGGAGCUUCACUUCUCAAGAUAGACGAAACAGGAUACAAUCUAGCUUUGGUCAACUUCGUUUGGCCACGUCAUAAAGUCUUCCCCCACAGUCUUUCCCGCCAAAACAGAAAAGCUUUAAAAGCCAUUUACCCUCCUGAGUUACUUGCUCCUAUUACAUCAAGGCCCUGUAAGUCUAUAUUUAUUAUUACAAAAGCACCCUUAAACCGAGAUUUGAGAUAUUUUUUCAAAGAUCGAAGCGCAUGAUUUCACGGCUAUGUUGCAUAGUGAAUUUUAGUGCUUUACAGUUAAGGGAUAGUUUAAAUUCAUUACAAAGCAUUCGCAAAGAAAUUGUUUUUAAAUGAAACUCCUCGUCUUGACCAGAUUAUUUAUUAUUAUUAAAAAAAAAUGUUCAAAACUUAGCCAAAGUGAUAAACUCGUAAUUAUUCUACAAAGGGAACAAUUUUGAACGGUGGGAAAUUCCAUAAUUAUGCUUUUCUGUGAAUUAUUUUAAAUAAAAUUAUAAAAAUUAAUAUAAAAUUAUAAUAAUGAUAGAGCCACAAAUUCUUGUACAAAUUUAUUUUAUACAAACUCAUGUGGCAUGAUAAGAUUGGUUGAAUUAAAUAUUACUUGGCCCACAUGAUUUGUUUUUAUUAUUUUAUAUUUUUAUUCAACCAAUAAAUUAAUACCACGUCAGUUUGUACAAAAUAAAUUUAUACAAAAAUUUGUGACUCGAUCAUCACUCAUAAAAUUAAUACCCGGUAAAGACUGUAGAGAGACAAGUGCCCCCAACAGAAUCAAGUGAAUAUGCCCCACAAAGAUCACAUGAUCAUUUCUGUUCUUUUUCUUUUUGAUAAUUUUAUCUGUGGUUUCAACUUUUAUGCUUUAUUGUCGUAUCCCGUUGAGGGCUCCGCUGCACCCAUUACAACUUACCCCUAAAUUGCCUCUUACUAACUAAACCGUUAGAUUUUAUGGAAGCACGUUCAAUGUUGAAUUUUAAUUAUGUCAUCGAAUUUCGUUUAGCUCCUUAAACUCCAUUUUAUUUGUAAUUUCUUCAUAAAAUAUUCAAAGCUUCAUCAAGCUCCUGAUGGACCAUCAUGGCUAGGGGUGCAUUAGAGCCGAACUGAAAUAUGUUAGUUCAGUUCAGUUUGGUCAGUUUAAAUCGAAUGGUUUAGAAUAUAUAAACUGAUCAAUUUUAAUUUUGAAUUGAACCGAACCGAAAAUCAAUUGGUUCACUAUUAGUAUUUUUGUAUAAACAAGAAUGAUUAGUGAUUAUAAUUAAAUUGGACUAAAAAAAAUUCAAACUAAGGUGAAAAAUAUCAAAUCUUAGACAAUAUAAAAAAAAAUAUUAAAUUUUUUUAACCGAAACGAACCGAAUUAUUUUGACUCAGUUUGGUUCAUAAUUUUUUAAACCAAACUGAUUUAUUCCCACCCCCUAAUCGUGGCUCUCUAUCUUUAGUCAUUCACCCUUGAGUUUGAUGCCAAUUGUUGGGUUUCAAAUGAUUAUACACUCAAAUGGAACCCUCAUAACAAAAAACUAACAGAAACAAUAAGAACACGAUGUUAAAAUCUUAAAUCAAUCGCAACGGUCCUUUUUUUUCCCCAUUCUUGAACCUAAAGUAUUUGAGUAUGCAAAUUAAUAAAUAAAUUCAUUUAUUUUUAUUAAAAUUUUGUAAAAUUAUAAUUUUUAAUAAAAAUAAUUAUUAAAAUUUUGUAAAAUCUAAAUUUAGAAAAAUUCAGUUGGGCACCUCUAUUUGAGAUUUAUUUUUUAUUAAAUUUAGGGAUAUUUUUAUAAUUAUAAUUUUUAAUUUUAAAAGUUUUUAUAAGAUAAAAUAGUCUUUUAAUUUAUUUAGGGGUAAAAUUGAUGUUUUAUUAAAAUUAUUUAAUUGUGUUAAUGCAAAAGUGACUAUUUGAUACAAAUGUGAAAAGAAAGGUGGUGCAAAAUAUAUGUUAAAAUUUUAUAUUGGUUGGAUGAACAUAAGCUAAAAUAAAGGUGGUGCAAUGAUAAUUUCCCUAUCCUAAAACUUAAUUGACUUAAUUCUUAUGGUGCAAGGAAGAGGUUUCCAAGUUUAAAUCUAAAGGCUUGUAUUUAAUUUGGGGUUGGGAAAGCACUGAGAAAUAAAUGUAACUAAGGAAAAAAAAAAAGUCAUGCAGUCCAAAUAAGUAGACAUAUUUAAUAUGAGGUGGGGAUGGGUGAACUGUAAUUCAGAAAAAAUAAAAUAAAAUUUCAUAUAAAGUUGAGGGUGUGUUUUAAUGGUUUCUUAUGCUGCGUUUACUUUUUGGACUAGAGUGAGAAUUCUGAGAAGUGGGAAUCCUGUGAUUAGGUGUGUGGAGUGGGAAUGAGAGUAGGGUAUUUACUUAGACUAAAUAAAAAUAUGGAUUGUCAAUCAGAAUCUCAAUUAUUUGUUACUUUGUCUUGGAUUGAGAGUAAAUUAUUUUAAAUUACAAUUUUAUCCUUAUGUAAAGAAUUAUAAUUUGUAAUUAAAAAAUUAAUAAAAAUAUAUUGGAAAAUAAAAUAAAUAUUUUAUUAUAUUUAUAAAAUAAUAAUAAUUAAUAAAAUUCUUAAUUAUGUAAAUCAUAAUUUUUUAUUAAUUUAAAUUUAAAUUAUGUGAAUAAAAAUUAUUAAUAAUAGCAACACAAAUGAAACAUUAUUAUUGAUAAUAUAGUAUAAAAUUAAUAUUUUUUUAGAAUAAAAUAUUUAUUAUUAUUAAAUAAAUAAAUAAUAUUUAUUAAAAUUAAUGUUUAAUAUUAUUAAUUUAAAUAUAAUAUUUAUUUAUUUUUAUUUUAUUUUAUUAAAUUUAAUAAAAUAAAUAUGUUAUAAUUAUUAUUUUUAAUAAAUAUGACAUUAUUUAUUUUAUUAAAUAUUAUUUAUUUAUUUUAAUUAUGAGGGUAAAAAUAAAAGAGGGGGAGUGGAUUCCCACUCCCACCUCCCCCCAUGGGAGUGGGAAUCCCACUCUCCCCUUAAAAAUGAUAAGUAAACACUAGAAUGGGAAGAAUCCACACUCUACACUUUCUAAAAAAUAAACACUACCUUAAUUUAAAUUGAUUUGUUGGAUAUUUAGCUAAAAUGAGAGUAGCUCUCUAAUAAUUAUUGCAUUAUUACAAACAUAUCCAACGGUUAUAUAUGCUUGCCUGUGGAAAUAAAAGUCCCAAGUUUCUUUGAAAGGUAAGCUAGUGUGAAUGUUUUCAUCCGUGCAACUUACUUGAUGAAUGAAGUUUUCAUCCCUGACCUUGAUGUUUCUGGUGGCUACAAUCAUUUCAGCUGAUCUAUUCCAUUUUGUUAAGGUGAGAAUUUAGAGUGGCUUUAACUGUUAGCAAAUAGCCUAAUGUAAGACUUGAUCAACUUCCUGCCCUGUUGUAUGCUUAUGAAUUUUGAUAGAGUUAUGAGUUUGCAGAAGCUACUGUAUUAUAUGUUGUUAGAGGCUGUAAAAAUGAGGCAGAUCAAACACACAUUUAAAUUUCAAUGACAAUUUACUAGAAGUAAAUUUCCUAUGACCCUCCAGGUGACUAAUCAAUGAGAACUUGACAAUAACAAAAGAAAGUGUAUGAGCUUUGCAGGCGGGCACGCCAAUCUUGACUGCAUGGCACCAUCCGCCAUUUGCAAGUGAAUAUCAUUAUUGUUUAAUCAACAUGGUGGAGUCCACUGGGACCACACCACAUGGUCAGUCUUAUCUCUAUUCCUCAAUUUUCAGUAUUCCAUACAUCAAAACAAUUUCAGUUUUGUUAUCAAUUAUAAUUUCAUUGUUGGAGACGAUUCUGAUUCCUUUCUUUCUGACAAAACGGAACCAUGGUUGCUGUGGGAGAGAUCUUACUCAACGCCUUCUUUCAGGUGUUGUUUGACAGGUUGGCUUCCCGUGAUUUGCUCAGCUUUGUCCGUCAACUUGGAGGCGGGGUCGAUUCCGAGCUCAAGAAGUGGGAAAGAAAGCUGAAGAUGAUUCAGGCGGUGCUCAACGAUGCAGAGGAGAAGCAACAGACUGACGAGGCUGUGAAGAUGUGGCUGGACGAUCUCCAAGACUUGGCUUAUGACACUGAGGACAUUCUUGAUGAGUUUGCUACUCAAGCCUUGGAAAGCAAGUUGAUGGCGCAAAAUCACGAUAGUUCUGGCCAGGUUCUCAGUUUCAUCCCGGCUGGUUUGAAUCCGAAUGCUAUUAUGUUCAAUUAUAGCAUGGGGUCCAAGAUUAAAGAUAUCACUAGCCGGCUGGAGCAACUCUGCCAAGAAAGAAUUGAACUUGGACUGCAACGGAUUACCGGAGAGGCAUCAUCAACUGCUGCUGCUGCUGCACACCAGAGGCCACCCAGUUCGAGUGUCCCAACAGAACGUGAAGUAUUUGGAAGAGAAGAAGAUAAGGCCAAAAUUCUUGAUAUGGUAUUGGCCGAUACCCCAAGUGAUCAUGCAAACUUUGUUGUAAUACCCAUUGUUGGCAUGGGCGGGAUAGGAAAAACAACUCUUGCCCGGGAAGUCUACAAUGACAAGGCCGUUGAAGAUUCCAAGUUUGAUGUAAAAGCAUGGGUUUGCGUAUCUGACGUCUUUGAUGUUUUGGGCAUCUCAAAGGCACUUCUCGAGUCAAUCACCCGCAGGCCUUGUCUUCUAAACAGUUUAAAUGACGUGCAGGUUGAGCUGAAAGCAGCUGUGGAUAAAAAAAGGUUCCUGCUGGUCUUAGAUGAUGUUUGGAACGAGGACUACAGCUUAUGGGUAGACUUAAAAGCUCCGUUACUGGUUGCUGCACCAAACAGCAAGAUGAUCGUCACCACACGCAAUUCAAGUGUUGCAUCAACAAUGAGACCCAUCGAUCGUCACCACACGCAAUUCAAGUAUUACGAUCUCAAGAGUCUGUUAGAUGAUGAUUGCUGGUCCAUUUUCAUAAACCAUGCAUUUGAAUCUACAGACCUUAGCGCACAUCGAAUUUCAGAAUCAUUCCGCGAGAAAGUUGUUGGCAAGUGUGGGGGCUUGCCUCUAGCAGCAAAAACACUCGGGGGCCUUCUUCGUACUAAAACGCAUGCUGAGUGGGACGGUAUAUUGGAUAGCAAAAUAUGGGAUUUACCUCGGCAAAGCAGCAUUCUCCCCGUGUUAAGAUUGAGUUACCAUCAUCUUCCUUCUCAUUUGAAAAGAUGUUUUGCUUUUUGUGCCAUCUUUCCAAAAGAUUAUGCAUUCACUGAGAGGGAGCUGACUUUCUUAUGGAUGGCUGGAGGUAUUAUUCGACAGUCAAGAAACAAUGAGCAGCUGGAAGAUUUGGGCAGCAAGUGCUUUGGUGAUCUAGUGUCGAGGUCAAUUUUUCAACAAACAGCAAUCUCUGAUAGUUCUAAAUUUGUAAUGCACGACCUUAUCCAUGAUCUUGCUCAAUUGGUCUCUGGAGAAACCAUAUUUAGGUUAGAGGAGGCCAAUACUCUGUCAAGAAGAUUUGAAAGGGUUCGCCAUUCCUCCUAUGCCCGUGAUUGGUGUGAUGGUAGAAAUAAGUUGGAGGUUUUCAAUGAAAUUGAACAUCUACGAACAUUCUUGCCAUUUUGCAUAAGAGGUGGCGUUACUUCUGGUUGGAUAACUAGCACGGUUCACUACGAUUUGUUGCCGAAGUUCAAAAGGUUGAGGAUGCUGUCUUUAGAAGGAUACCAUAUUGGUGAGUUACCAAUUCCAUUUGAAGAUUUGAGACUUUUAAGGUUCCUCAACCUUGCUGACACUGACAUAAGAAGUUUACCUGAGUCAACAUGCAAAUUGUUGAACUUGGAAAUUCUGAUAUUAAGAAAUUGUUCCCGUUUGACAAAGCUUCCCCAGAAAAUGAGGAAUUUGAUCAAUUUACGUCAUCUGGAUAUAAGAGGUGCAAAGCAGCUGAAGGAGAUGCCAUUUGGAAUGAAAGAGUUGAAGAAGCUUCAAACGUUGUCCAAUUUUAUUGUAGGCAAGGGUGAAUCUGCAUCUGGUUUGGAAGAUUUAAAAAGUUUAGACCUUCUAUGUGAUGAACUCUGCAUUGCUGGAUUAGAGAAUGUGAAUAGUCCACAGAAUGCAAGAGAAGCCACAUUAUGUGAGAAGCACAAUCUUGAAGCAUUGACCCUAGAAUGGGGGUCUCAAUCUGACAGUCCUCGGGAUGCAGUACUAGAAGAGAAGGUACUUGACACUCUACAGCCUCAUGAACGUAUAAAAGAGCUGGCAAUCAGGAACUAUGGUGGUGCAAGAUUUCCACCUUGGAUCAGAGAUCCUUCGUUUCCCGAGAUGAAGGUCCUUAAAUUGGAGAACUGUGACGAUUGUGAAUAUCUGCCAUCACUUGGCCUGUUGAGUUCACUUAAGCACCUUGCUGUUAAAGGGCUGAAGAAACUAAAAAGCAUAGGGUCUGAGGUUUAUGGGGAGGGUUUGUCAAUGCCUUUUCCAUCAUUGGAGGUUCUAAGUUUUGAGAAUUUGCCUGAAUGGGAGUAUUGGGACACCAAUAUCAGAGGAAAUGUGCUCGUUGAAAUGUUUCCUCGUCUCCAUAAACUUUCCAUUGUGGAAUGUCCCAAACUCUCUGGGGAACUGCCUGAGCUCCUGCCCUCCUUGGAGACACUUGUUGUUAGUAAAUGUGAAAAGUUGGUAGUUCCAUUGUCUCGCUAUCCGAUGCUCUGCAGAUUAGAAGUUGAUGAGUGCAAGGAACUAGCAUGCGGGACUCCAAUUGAUUUUAAGUUGAUAGAGUCUGUGACUAUUUCAAAUAGUUCCUUAGACAUGAAUGGAUGCAAGGGGAUGCUAUACGAUGGUCCAGCUGGCUCUUCACUGCCAAAGCCUAUGAUUACUACAAAUGUUUCGGAGUUUGGAAAAUUAUUGAAGCCUGGAUGUCAAAUAUUAGAAACUUUAGUAAUUGGCAAUUCUGGACGGCUCAAGUCAUGGAGGCAGCAUGGGGAUUUUCUAGAAGAAUAUAUGGUCGCUCACCAAAGGUUUAAGAAACCAGUACAAGGGCUAAAUAUGCUCGCUUCCCCUGAAGAGGUAACAAUUGAAGAAAGUUGUGUGAGUUUUGUUUUGUUUCCAGAGAUCAAUUUCUUUCCCAGAAAUCUGCGCUCUCUUCUAAUUUGCAACAGCACUGCUUUGAAAUCCUUACCCGAGGAAAUGAUGGAAAACAAUUCACAACUGGAAAGGUUGUAUAUCAGAGAUUGCGACUCUCUAACAUUCAUCGCAAGACAGAGGCUACCAGCAUCUGUUAAAAGGCUUGAGAUAGAAAAUUGUGAGAAAUUGCAACGUCUGUUCGAUGAUGAAGAGGAUGCUUCUUCUUCUUCUUCUUCUCCUUCAUCCUCGUCUUCCCCAGUGAUGCUGCAACACCUGAUAAUAGGGAAAUGCCCAAAGCUCACCAGUUUAUUAUCGGGUGUCCAAUUCCUUGAGGCGCUUGAAUUCCUCAAGAUAGAGCAUUGUCCAAAGCUGGAGUCAAUACCGGAUGGCCUGCCCAAUCUUAAAUGUUUACAGAGCAUUUAUUUACUCAAUUGUCCAAGUCUUGUUUCCUUCCCAGAAAGAGGGCUUCCCCACACCAUUUCAUUUGUUUGCAUUUGCGGAUGUGACAAGCUUGAAGCCCUGCCCAAUGACAUGCACAAACUCAACUCUCUUCGACAUUUAAGCAUACAGCUCUGUCCAAAUCUUGUAUCGUUUCCAGAAGAAGGUUUUCCUACCAAUCUAACAUCACUUACAAUUGGAGAUUUCAAAAUGUAUAAGAUACUCGUCCAGUGGGGGUUGCACAGGUUUACCUCUCUUAGACGCCUCUAUAUCGUUGAUUGUGAUGACGAAGCAGAGUAUUUUCCAGACGAGGAUAUAGGAAUGACGCUGCCCACCUCUCUCACUCAACUGGAACUUUCGGGAUUCAAAAAAUUGAUAUCUCUGUCUUCGACGGGUUUUCAGAGCCUCACCUCUCUUCAAAGAUUGCGGAUCUGGGAUUGCCCAAAUCUCACAUCAUUUCCAGAGGUGGGCCUUCCAUCCUCACUUUUGGAAUUACACAUUUACAAAUGUCCAAAGCUUAAAAAAGCGUGCAAAAGAGAUCAAGGAAAAGAGUGGCCCAAAAUUGCUGACAUCCCUUGCGUUGAGAUAGACAAUAAAUUCAUAUACGAUCCAGAAUAAGAGGAGUAGAUUCUACUAUUAAGGUCAGUUGAUUUGUAUUAUCCGCUAUAACAAGCUCCUCCUUUUUUUUUUUUAAAUAAUAAUUUUGCAGUCACUCACGUGAUUCCGUUUUCACAAGUCAGAUUGUAUGUUGAGGCUAUUUGCCUUUUAGUCGCAGAUUAAAUUAUAACACUUAUCUUAAAAUUUAAUACCAUAGACAGAUAGACGAUUUUUUAAUCCAAAGUUUUUUUUAUUCACUUCAGUUAGCAUUUUUUUUUUUCCCCAAAUCAUGCAAGCCGAGAGUUUCAAUCAAGAAUUGGAGCAUGGGAAUGGAAUUUUUGUGAAAACAUAAUGGAUGAACGAACAUUUCAUCUGUGAUCUCAAAGUCAACAGAAUUUUAUUCACUCAAUGACUUUUCAACUGCUGUGGUUAUUUAUGGGUGAAAGAAAGAUAAGGGCAAUUACAAAAAAUUUGCAAAAUUUGUCAAUUUCUUAGAUGGUAGAUAUAUCGACAUUUUAGAUUUCAGAUAUUUGUCACCAAUUUCAUUCCUUUUUUUUUAUUUUUUCAAGCAAGUUUGACUAAUUUUAACCAGAAUUGGAGUAUAAUAUUUUGGAGCAAGCAUACUUGAAAUUUCUGUCUUCAAUAUUUUGAUGCUUUUUUAAUUUUGGAUCUAGUAAAAAUACAUAGCCUUCACCGGCAGGAUUCUAGUCUUGGCUUUCACCUCUCUAACUCAUCCGGCCCCAUUGGGAUUCCAGAAAUUGAAAUUUCUGUCUUCAAGGGGUUUUCAAAGCCUCGCCUCCCUUCGAUUUUUGUGGAUCGGGAAUUGCACAAAUCUUACAUCAUUUCCCGAGGUCGAGGAAAAGAGCGGCCCAAACUUGCUCGCAUCCCUUGGGUUAUGAUAGAUGGAAAAUUCAUAUACGAUCCAGAGUCAGAGGUGUUGAUUCUCUUAUUAAGGUCAGCUGAUUUCUAUUAUCCACUCUGACAAUCUCCUAUUAGUGUUUUUCCCUUUUUUUUUUUCAAAAUUUUGCAGUUCCGUAUAAUUGAAAAUGCCACUCACUUGUUUCCUAUUAGUAUGUUGAGGCUAUUUGCUUUCUAUCGGUGUUUGUUAAGGUAAUUACUCACAGAUGAAAUUAUAACUUUUAUCUUAAAAUUUAUUGCCAUUGACAGAUGGACGAUUUUUAGUCCAAAGUUUUGUUAUUAACUUCAAUCAAAAUUUUAGAUUGCAGAUUUUUGUCAAUUAUUUCAUUUUUUAUUUUUAUUUUAAAGCAGAAUUGGAGUAUAACAUUUGGAGCGCGCAUACUCUGAUGCAUGCAAUUAACUGUUUUUAAUCGUUGGAUUUUGAAAUUAAUGAUGGUAAGAUGUGUACUUAUUUUUUCUUCCGGACAACCUUGCCUUCUUUCUUCGGUAGCAUAUCUAAUGAAUAUUUCUCUGUUUAGUUAAGGAUGAAUGCUUGGAGUGGUCUGAUUCACAACAACACCUCUUCCAGAAAAUAUGAUACAAGGCAAAGCCAUGUUCUGAAGCAGAAAUGAUACAGCAGUUGCGGUACCCGAGGUACCUUUUGCAUUUAACUUGCCUUUAUUUGUUUUGCUUGUGACUUAAGAACACAUCAUUUCCCAGAGAUUUGGAGAAGCAUCUCAAGAUGCUUAACAAACUUGACAAGCUUCAAGAUGCACUUGCUCCCAAGCAUUGAUUCUUCACAAUGGAAAACCUGUGAGUACACUUAUGCCCGCAAUUAUUGUUAAGUGUUUGCAAUUUUGAUGCAGCGAAAUGGUUUGUGGAUGCAAAGCUUUAAAACUGUUAAGAACUACCCUGCAGGCUUGUUGGAUGUUGUAUACUUCAAAAGCCACCAACACCAAGAACUACAACAGCAAGACUAGGUUUGCGUUGCUUCAAUCAGCUGAAAUAAUGAUGCAAAUGACACUAUCAAGCUGGACUUAGAGACUUGUCAGGUCAAUCAUCCAUUUCAUCAACAGUUAAUGUCAUGAUGGUGGCUAUCAGAGGAAACAAAAGAUCUGUUGGAAUCAAUUCAAACAGUGAGAAGCAUGAGAGGAGCAUUGAUUAUAAAUAGGCUCAAUGAGCUCAUGCUGGUAAGUGGUAAUUAAGAAAUUUGUGAGCUUAGUAUAGUUUCAAUUUUUUUCUGUUUGGGAUAUAGUUGAUAAGUUGAUACUCUGAUUAAGAAGCCUGAUUAUAGUAGCUGACUGUGCUAACUGCGUUCUUUUAUUUUUUAUUUUUUUGGUUUGCCGUCGUUUUUUCUUUUGAUUAUUUGUUCAACAUUAGAUUGAUCUGUUGAAGACUACGAGGAAGAUCCAGACUUGGAUGCAGGCGUGCAGCUCGUAAUAGGUGAGAACAAAUGAAUGCUUUAACCAUGUUUCUCACUUAUGACAAUGCACGGAUCAAAGGCAUCUGAGUUGAUCCUGAAAAUGUGAUGGAAAUAGGUCUCUGUUUUCAUAAAACAGAACAAAUAGAGAUCUCUGAUCACGCCUGAGAAUUCAUUGCAUUGAAAUUUCUACCAUUGGCAAACAUAGAAUAAACUGGGGAUACAUUAGCUUUAGACUCUAUUUUGAGGAGGAAGUUUGUACUUGCAGCCUAUAAAAUCAUAUCCCUGUUGUAUGUUUCUUUGGGAAAUGAAAGAUUCUGUGUGUUCUUUUAUUUCAAGUUUGCUGAAAUCACAUUUGUUUUCUAAGAUGCUUUACAGAAGGUACCAACAUCAUUUUCAAAAAUGCUGGGGUAAGAUACAUCGUGCAGUGCUCCUCAACAUGAGAAUUCCUGGCCGCAUUACCCAUAUGUGGAAUGAUCUGAGAGUACAACCGUGAGAAUGUUGUAAGGAGUACACAACCAGAUGUGAGUAGUUUGAAAAUGAAUUCGCAUGGAAUGAUUUCUUGCCAGUGCAGAAAUGGCUUGGUUCAAAAUAUGCUCAGCUUCAUUGACACUCUUCGGUAGGCCUCUCCGUCCUUCCAUUCUUAACUACAAUACUACUCUUGUCUGUCUAGUUAUGGAAUCUCUCUUUUAAUCCUCAAAGUUUGAAUUAUAUUAUAUUGCCUCUGUGUUACCGCAGAAACUGAGUCAGUUGGUGAUCCUUCAAAACAAGAAAAACCAAAAACAGAUACAGCGCGCGAUAAGAUAAUGAGACAGAUGGCUCCCGUUGCUGCAUGCCACUUGCUUGUGUGCGUAUUGGGACCAUCAUCAACAACAUUGACGUAAACCCAGCUCAAGGUGGGAAGCUAGUUCGAGCUGCAGGGACGUUAACCAAGAUUUUGAGAAAGAACCCACUUCAAGGUGUUGCUUAGUUAGGCUACGUUGUGGAAAUGAGAAAGUGAUUGACCCUAGAUGUCGCGCCACCAUUGGUACAGUGUCUAACCCCAGCCAUGGAGCUAAAAAGCUUAGUAAGGCAGGUCAGAGAAGUUGGUUGGGUCGAAGAGCUGUGGUUAGAGGAGUAGCCAUGAUUCCAGUUGAUCACCCUCAUGUUGAACAAAGCAAAAGUAGCGGUAACAAUGGAAGGUGUUCACUCACACCUUGGGGCAAGCCUUGUAAGUCUGGGAAUUAAACUGCAUCUCCUAAGAAGAAAGAGAAAUCAGCUGUCUGAUAAUAUUGUCCUUUUCUGCUAUUUGGUCUUUUUAACAUUGUUACACUGUUUUUACAUCUUUGAGGUUAGUUUUAGACCAAUUUUUAACUGAUCCAUAAUGAAACUGAAGUUUAAUUUUUGAUUAAACUUUCACUGGUUUUACUCUUCUGUCACUUCAAUUUAGCAUUGAUUUAAGAUACUGAAUUCUGUGCUUGGAGCUUGUAAAUUGGAAAGAGAUAUUUUGGGAUAGAAUGUAGAUUUUGUGUUUUGCUUUCUCAAGCUAGUUGUGACUUCUUAAAAGAGUCAAUCCAUGUCUUUAUAUAUUUUUCUUUUGUCUUGAUUCUGUUUCUUCAUACAGAUUCUUAUUUUAUGCUUCACAUACCACAUGAAAGAUGAAAGCCUUUUCUGUGAUUAGAAUUGACUUGCAUUAUAGUAACUUUAAACCACUUGGAUAUUUUUAUAAUAGCAGUCUGAGAUCUCCUUAAAGGAUUCAAAAGCAUCCACUGGCAUCCACUUUACUCGUAUCGGUCAAAAGUUUUGUGCAAUACAAUAUUAGCUUGACUGUAGCGCAGAGGAGAACAGGUUGGUGUUGGUCUGAAUUCUGAUAUUUGAAUAAAUAUAACAGCUCAUGUGACUCCACCACUUUUUACUUGUUCUGUAGUCUGUACCUACCUCCAUUGUCGGCACUGCCCAUACAAGGUCUUUUAGCUUUUUAAAAAGUUUCAUGAUAUUCCAUAGUUCACAUGGAUUUCUACAGUUUGUAGAAAACCUAAUUAGGGCACAUUUAAUUACUAUGCAGAAGAUUCUUUUAUCUUGCUCACCAAUAAUUCUUUGUACUUAUUUGAAAGAUGUGUUUCAAAAAAAUAAAAAAAAACUAUUUGAAAGAUGAGAAAUCCCUUAGCCGAACGACAAACUCAUCUAUCAGUCCUAUCAAAAAAAAAAAAACUCAUGUUUUAGUGGUUUUUUUUUUUCACUUGUAUUCAGUCGCACAAGUGAAGAUUGUGGGCAAUUUUUUCCUUGAGUAAAAUUGGAAUAGAUGUUUUUAUUGACACAAAUUUUUGAGCUAUGUUUGGGAAACCCUUAGACUUAAGACUUUGUUACGAUGAUAUGUAUCUAAGCUUUCAACAGACCGUUGAGGUCUUAUUAUCAAAAUACUAGAAAUUUACAAUUCAAUUUUGGUAAGGACCAAUUUAAUAAUGCUGUAAUUUUUAAAAUAAUUACCGUUAACUGUGUUGUAAAAAUAAUCAAUUAUGAAGAAAAUUAAUUAAACAUUUAGUAAACUUUAUUUUUACAAGUGCUUUGAAUUUUAAAAAUAGUCAUAUGUGUUCAGAAAAUCUCACUUCUAAAAUAGUAUAAGAAUGGAAAAAACUUAAAAAGACAAAUGUAUAAUAUUUAUUUACACAUGCAUUUAUAAAUAUGUGUAUAUAAUAACAUUUUAUGUGUACAUAUAAUAAUUGAUAACUAAAAUAAAUAUUUUUAUUUAUUAAUUAUUUUUUUGUCUCAAUGUAAUUGGUAAUACUUUUUUUUAAUCUUCUCAUCCUAAGUUUUUUUAUUGUUUUGUACAAAAUUCAAGGUUUGGACUUUUAUAAAAUGUCCACUCAAAAAUAAAUUGUUUUCUAACUAAGAUUUGUUGCUAAUGUAUAACUCAAAGUAAUACUAGCUAUUUGUAAUUUUAUUUCAAAAUUUUUAUUCAAAUGAUAUGGUAACUAAUGUACAUUAGUUGAUAGCAAUUUUUUUUUUUUUACAAUAUUCAAAUCAAUCAAUUGCAUCAUCUCAACAUUUUUAUGAUGUCGUGUUAUUUUAAACGAAUUUUUUAUUUUUAUAUAAAAUUUAUUAUGUUUAACAUCAUUUGCAUAACUUGACCUUUUUUUUUUCCUACAAAUAUUAAGUCAAAUUUACUCACCCUAUAUUUCUAUCUAAAAUCUACCUAAAACUCAUGCAUCACUGUAAAACAAAUCCAAAGAUUGCGGUACGUUUUUCUUGGUAACAAAUCAAUAAUUAGGUCAAGUACUACUACUAAGCGUGCUCAAUUAAUUCUAAAAUACUACGGUGAUCAAAAUCAUACUUGACGCAAGAGGAUAAGGGCUAAACCUCAAUUAGGCAUUAUUCAUCCAAAAUUCGUUGACCCGGCAUUCUUUGCAAGUUGUAGCACGGGACAGCUAAGAUUAGCAAAUGCUGUGGACCAUAUGCCCCCAUACAUUUGUGACAUGUGAAACUUGGCAUUAAAGGAAAGGCAACGUGUUAAAAUUUAAUAGCGCCCAAUUCUUCAUUGAAUGAUUAUCAGAUCCAAUGAGCAUCCUUUGAUUGGAUUAUUUUAAGUCAAUUAUUGGUGGAUUGGGGCCCACUUGACUCUACCAAAUCGGGCUCCACCAUAUCACCUAUUAACGACCACCUGUCCUUAUCAUAAAUAGCAAAUGUCACUUGUUUUAUUUUGUAUUUUACCAAAAGCAAAGUCACUAUGAACCCAAAUGAAAGUGACCCCAAUUUUGGGGGUCAUGAGCUUUGGAUUAUUAUGGACACAAGAGACAAGCGCAAAGUUUCUCAUUUAUCACCGGAUAAGAUUUAAGUUAUCAACCCAACAUUAAUAAAUUCUGCUUAAAGUAAAGUUUGAAGCUUCAUUUUGCGAAUAUUCAAUGGUUAACAUUUAAGUAAUUAACCUGAUAUUAAUCCAAUUAAACUUUUUAUGUAAUCCAAGUCAAAAAUAUGUUGAUAAACCUAAAUUAAUCUAAUUGGACAUAUUAUUUCAACUUGAAAAGGCGAAUCUAUCAUUUUUCAAUUAAUUUUGAAUCAAGCUAUGUAAAAUAUAAGCUUAUUAAAGACAUAUUUUUAUCAUGUUAAAAUAUCGAAAUACUUCUUACUCGUUUCGUAAUAACAUUAACAAACCUUUUGGUAAAUUUGACAGUCCAAUCAAUUCAGUUGGUUUUUUGUUAUUGAAACUCCAACAAAAUUCAUCACGAUUAUUAAAAACCCAUUAAAAAAAAAUGAAGGUAACUAUUUAAAAAAUUCUAAUUGAAUUAUUUAACAACUACAUUUCAACUAAAUUGUGUUGCUAAUUAACUUCCUCAACUUAAACUAUAUUUUUCUCAAUUAAUUCAUAACAAAUAAUGUUAGAUAUUUUAUUCGAAUAAUAACAUUCAACAUCCUUAUUCUUUAUGAUUAUUGCAUAAAAACAUAUUUUAUCCAUUUACAUCACAUAUGUUCCUAAAUUGUAUAAGAAAAUCACCAAAUUUACUCUUGUAAGUUACUAUAUCAAUGAACAUGAAAUUCACUAAUCAUUAAAGUCUCGGAAUGACAUCAUGAGAGGGAUUCAGUUACAUUUAUUGAUAGGAUUAGAUAUAUGUCUUCUCAAAUAUUAGUAGGAGCAAUUUAACAGAUGCAGCUACUAAAAAUAUAGAAUUACUUAUCUCGUCAAUAACUAACGAUAUUUUUUAUCUAUGCUCAAUAAAUUGUAAUAUUUGUAGAUUGUAACAAUUGUUAAAAAAAAAGAGCUCCCUGAGACUAAAUGACAAAAGGACUGUUUUGAAAUAGAUAGAUAAAAUAUGCCCUUAUUUGAGAAAAUGUAAAACACUAGGGAUCUAAAUGUUAUUAUAAUCCCAUGCACAAAAAUACCAAAAAUAACUAAUAACAACUAACCGAAAAUCCCAGGCGUCAUAUUCCUUUUUUCCGCGUUUUAAAAUGCCCUCUGAUUCAUUCACAGUCAGACGCUGUCGGCAUUUCUCUUCUCUCCCUCUCUCUCCACGUAUUAAAACAUGUAAAGUACGGAAAAAUUUAAAAAAAAUUUUAAAAUUACAUAAUUUAAAAGAUAUAAAAUUAUAAAUUUUUAAAAUUAUACGGUUUUAAAAUUUUUUUAAAUUUUUUCGUAUUUUAAAAUUUCAGACUAAAAAAUUAUUAUACGAAUACUUCGUAUAACCGCUUUGCGCUUAAAAUCUGUGCCUAACAAACUCACGAAAUCACUCCUCAUUUUCCUCUCUCCCUCUCCUCCUCUCAUUCCCUUUCAAAUCCUUCCACCACCUUCCCCGCCUCUCUCUCUUUCUCUCUCCCCUCACCGCCACAGCUCAACUUUUCCAUGUAAACCACCACGGGCGCCGUCGUUUCAACCUCCCACUCAUCCGACGUCGUUUUGUGUGAAUAAGAUAACGAUUUAAAUUAAAAUACGAAAAUGGAGAACUUAACGGCGCAGUUGAAGCGAGGGAUAUCGCGGCAGUUCUCGACGGGAUCGCUGCGGCGGAGCCUGACGAGGCAGAUGUCGAGGCAGUCGUCGUUCGAUCCGAGGAGGAAUAACAUGAGGUUUAGCUUCGGGAGGCAGUCGUCGUUGGAUCCGAUACGCAGGAGUCCGGUUCAGGACGAGUUGACGGUGCCGGAGAACCUUGACUCGACGAUGCAGCUGUUGUUUAUGGCAUGCAGAGGUGACGUCAAGGGAGUCGAGGAUUUGCUGAACGAAGGCAGUGAUGUCAACAGCAUUGAUCUUGACGGACGGUUUUGGCGAGAAAUCAAAGAAUUAAGAGACAAUAUUUAGUUAAGCUAAUAGUAUUUGUUCUGUUUAGUACGUCGUUUUACCAACAAGCAUCCCGGCAUUGCACGCAUUAAUAAAUUUUUUUUAUCUGUUUGGACUGAUGGUGGUAAAAAAUUCCACAUACUUUAUAUUAAAAAGGAAAAAGGACAAACACACCCCUAACGUCAACUUGGAGGGGGGUCGAUUCCGAGCUCAAGAAGUGGGAAAGAAGAAAGCUGAAGAUGAUUCAGGCGGUGCUCAAUGGUGGGUAUGACGGCAAAAAUAAGUUGGAGGUUUUCUAUGAAUUUGAACAUCUAAGAACAUUCUUCCCAUUACACAUAAGAGGUGGCUCCAAAACUGGUUACAUAACUCGUAUGGUUCUAACUGAUUUGUUGCCGAAGUUUAAAAGGUUGAGGGUGCUAUCUUUACAAGGAUACCAUAUUGGACCAAUUCCAUUUGAAGAUUUGAGACUUCAAAGUAUAAUUACCCAAAGUGUAUACAAUAAAAGCCAAAUUUAAGAAAUUCCUGAACCUUGCUGACACUGACAUAAGAAGUUUACCAGAGUCAACAUGCUCAAUGUUGAACUUGGAAAUUUUGAUAUUAAGAAAUUGUUUCCGUUUGAUGAUACUCCCACCCAAAAUGAGGAACUUGGUUAAUUUACACCCAGACUCUUUUCUUUUGACAUGGGGUUAACGAUCAAAGUUGGUUUCGUGCGGUAUAUAUUUACAAAUUGAUAGGUAUGCCUGGUGUUGAUGCAGGAUUCCGGUUCUUCUCGUUCUACGACCAGGAUCUCUGCUCGAUCAACUUCGUCACGACCAGGAGGUCUCCUCGCAAGACUUUUUCUCCAGAGAUUCCUGCGCACACAGACAAGUCAGAGUACGCCGGUUGUUUUCCCGGCGCAAACCCUCCGACGCUCAAGUCAGAUAUGAAGGUUCGGGGAACGCUUGCCACCGAUCUUAUGGCUUUUUCGUGGUUUUCUCUUCUUUUUAAUUCCUUUUCUAAUGAGAAAAAUGCCAACCCUUUUACCUCGUCGGCUACCUUUUUAUAGGCUUCCUCUGAAUCCCAGUUUUCCGCUCUUUUCGAGACGGUAUGGGACUCUGACUGCUGUGUUAUGGGCAAACGUGGGAUCUUGCGUGUUACGCCACCGUUCUGGGAAAAGCGCGGCAGUCGUGGUUCUGUGAGAUCUUGCGUGUUACGCCACGGUUCUGGGGAAAGCGUGGCUGUCGUGCUUAGGUUCUCGGGCUGGAGAGCAUGUCUCGUCAACUGCCGUCGACCGGGUCUCCUCGCCUCUCGACCUCUAGCCGGAAUGACCUUAUGCCUCUUACAGGAAAUUGGCCUCGCGGAUGACCUGCUCGUGGACGAGCAGGAUAUUUCUGCUCCUGUUCCCCCGCGUACCAGGCUUUUACGGGACACACCGGUUCGCAGAACUCUGCCAUCAGAUAUCUGCUCACCGUGCCUGGUCUCGUCGACGUAUUUCUCCCAAACACCGGUCCCCCAGUUUCUGGUGUUGGGUAAUGUAGUGGACCAGCAGUAGAAACUCGUUAGUACUCGCCCGCGUGGGAUUGGAAAAGGCUGCCAAGAGUCAUGUCGCAUUUAAUUGCGGACGAGGUGACGUGGCAGAAAUCCCCCCCUCCAUUUGAAUUUCAAACCGACGGUUAUGAGAUCCUCGGGAUUCAGCGCCGUUAAAUGCUGGCAACCCAAGAGUCCGUCCUCAUUAGGAAAACCAAAUCCUCUCGAACGGCAUAUUCGUCAUUCACUCCGUCUCCGUCUCUGUCUCCCCGGCAAAGAGGUUCCGGCAUAAAAGCCCUCCAUCUCUGAUUUUCACCGACUGAACCGUUACUUCAGGUAUUUCUUCUAUCUCCUUGGUCUCGGAUAGUUGUAGAUAAUUUCUCUUCUCUUCUGUUGGGUAGUAGUUGGUGGUGUUGUGGUUAGAGCUUAGGGAAUGUCGAAAGGCAAAGAGAAGGUCAUUGAGGUUGGUGACGACGAGUUGGACUUCCUGCCUAGUCUGCUCACCGAUCCUGCUUUUGACCCCGGGAUCCCCUUAGAGCCCAUUAGGUCUAGUGUCGGGACUAGUGCUAGGAGGAUGUCUCCCCAAACAACCUCUACGAGCGGAAGUAAUGGUGAGGAGAGAUCUUCUGGCUCCGAGGAUACUUUGAGUGAGAAUGGCGAAGGUGACUCUGGUGAGGUGUCUCCAUCUGGAACAUCACGACCAGAAGAACGGGGUAUAGUAGGAGGCAGAGCCUUGUCGCGCGAUUAUGCCAUUGAUUACAUGACGUGCACGACCUCGUUUGACGAGCUCAAUGACCUCCGGCUUAGGUAUAGCAUUCCUGGUGAGAUACCUCUCAAGGUCCCAGGAAAGAAGGAUGCUCCCAGCCGGCCUCCUAGGGGAUAUGUUACCCUGUAUCUGGACAGCUUUAAGUACGGGCUGAGGUGUCCCUUGCAACCUUACUUUGCCCGGAUACUUAACGGGCUAAAUCUAGCUCCUGGUCAGCUGAAUCCCAAUGGGUGGAGAGUGCUCUCUGGUCUGUUCAUAUUGUGGGACAGAUGUUGCCAAAGCGAGCCCACGGUUGAUGAGGUGAAGCACCUGUACCAGCUAAAGAGCAGCCCCAAAGAUGCCGUCUGGUACUACUUCCAAUCUAGCACCAAGAGCAGGAAACCUAUAACCGACCUCCCUACUGGUGGUGGUGGGAAUUGGAAGAGAAAAUUCUUUUUUGCUGGGGGUCCUUGGGGUCAGGUUGCACAAAUGGACGGGAAGGAUUAUCGGGUCCCACCCCGUUUCACGGUCCCAGGUUGCCUGCUCGCUUUAGAUGUCUUGUAUCCACAAUUGUUAUUGCUUUAUUGGCUUGUCUCUAACCAAGUGUCUGUUUGCGUUGUAGUUUCUUGGGGUGUUCACUUCCCGCUCCCACCUGACCAGCUCAAACGGGUCAAGGCUGUGCUCGCCAAUUCCUGCUCGAGUCGAGAACUGCUAACUACAUACAACUUGCUCGAAUCUCGCUUGAUACUUCCUGGCCAUAGGAUGGAGGACGCCGUGAUUGGGGCUCUGACCCGAAAACGUUCUCGACCUCCAACCACGAAGAGGGACCAGGGUAAGGAUGCCCCUGCUGCAAAGCGGGCCAGCAUCGUGCAGCAGGUCCCACCCUUGGAGAUUUUACCUCCUGCUCCUGAAAAAGUCGGGGAAGCUAGUGGAGCAGCCACAGAUCCUGCUUCCUCAUCUGUUCCUGUCGGGCCUCGAUCUCGCUUACCUGACAGCCGAGCAGAACACCUGGUCCCCUACCUCAAUGAGUUGUCUAAACUCGUGAGCAAGAAGGACCUGGAGGACUUCGACGGCUGCACCUUGGGUGAGCUGGUGGGGGCCAUGCAGCAUAGCGCUUUCCACCUCAGCUGCAUGACCACCUAUUACAAGGCUAAGGUUGGUCGAUACGAUCGGAAAAUGAAGGGGGAUAUUCAAUCGGCGACGACCAGAGCUGACAUUGCCGAGAAGAAAGCAGGGGAGCUGAACCUCGAGAAUCUGAAGCUGAUAGAGCAAGAAUCACUUGCUCAAGCAAAGACCAUUACCCUCGAGGAGGAGCUUACCAAGGUCAAGGAGGAUCUGCAAAGGCAGAAGGCUAUGUAUGAGGCCCAGCUCGAAUCUCUCCGGGACUCCAACCGAGCUCAGGUCGAGAACUUGGAGAGGGAGGCAGAGAAUCAGUACGACCAGGGACUUCGGCAUUCCUAUCGUUGCAUCAUGGCCGUCCUCGGGAAGCAACACCCUGAUCUGAAGAUGGAUGACCUUGCGGCUGGUGUUGCCCAACAUAUGGACGAGGAGGCGGCCAAGGAAGAUGCUGAAGGGGUAGAGCCGAUCGUGAUCGAGGAGGAAAGCUCUCCUCCUCGUGCAGUCCCUGCUGAUGUUGGCGAGGCGAGCACCCCUCCGGACGCAACUGGCGAUACCCCUCCCGCACCUGAGGAGGUCCAGUCAACCGAUGCUGCUCGGCUCACUGAUCUACCAUCUUUUUGAUAUAUUUCUUUUUGUAUUGUAAUAAACAACGUUUAUGAAAUUUAUCCCCUCUGUUAGCCAUUAACACAUUAAUAAAGAUGUUUUUUGAUUACUUUCUCGUCUUGUAAUCAUCACUUAUUUUCCGUUUGGGAAUCUGCUCGUCUCGUCUGGUCGAGCAGGUUCUGGUUUGGCAUAUGGUUUUGCAACAUGCCUUAGAAAAAUUUCUUUUUUUUUUUUUUUUUUUUUUUUUUUUUUUUUUUUUGCUUGGGGAUUCUGCUUGCCUUCGCGUGGUCGAGCAGGUCCUGGCAUGCUUGGCUUCAGUCUCGCCAUAAAAAGGCUUUGAGACUUGGUGAGGCCUUUGCAUGCCUUAGAAAACUUUUUCGAUGCUUGGGGAUUCUGCUCGACUUCGCUCGGUCGAGCAGACCCUAGCAUGCUUGGCUUCCGUCUCGCCAUAAAAAGGCUUUGAGACUUAGUGAGCCUUUGCAUGCCUUAGGUGGCUUCUUCAAAGCUUGGGAUUCUGCUGCCUUCUCGUGGCCGAGCAGAUCCGGGCAUGCUUGGCUUCUGUCUCGCCAUAAGACAGGCUUUGAGACUCGACGAGCCUUUGCAUGCCUUAGAUGGCUUCUUCGAAGCUUGGGAUUCUGCUGCCUUCUCGUGGCCGAGCAGAUCCGGGCAUGCUUGGCUUCUGUCUCGCCAUAAGACAGGCUUUGAGACUUGACGAGCCUUUGCAUGCCUUAGAAAUUUUCUUGGUUUCAAGCGAAAGGAAUUCCUCGACGUUCCAUUAAUGGCAGGAUUCGGCUUACAUGAACUUGUUUGGACAUAAAGCGUGAAAGAUAAACGAUAAUGAUCAUGAGCAAAAAUAGCUUUCAGAUGUGAACAAAUCUUACUGGAAGUAUUUUCGGAGGUGUGCUGCGUUCCAUGGGCGUUUCAGCUCGUGGCCGUCCGUGCGAACCAGCUUGUAAGCUCCGGGUCCCGCUAUCUGCUUGACUCUAUAUGGCCCUUCCCAAUUCGGUCCCAGCACUCCUUGAGUCGAAUCUUUGGUGCUCUGAUUCACUCUUCUCAGUACCCAGUCUCCGACCUUGAAUUGCCGUAUGUUCACCUUCUGGUUAUAAUACCGAGCAACCCUCUGUUGGUAAAGGGCUGAUCGCUCGGCUGCUUGCUCCCUCCUUUCCGUUAGCAGAUCAAGAUUCAAACAUAUCUGCUCGUCGUUCUCCUGCUCGUUGAAAUGACCUGUCCGGUGUGUGGUCGUUCCUAUCUCAGCCGGCACGACCGCUUCAUGUCCGAAAGCCAAAGCGAACGGUGUCUCCCCAGUUGCGGUUUUGUGGGUUGUUCUGUAUGCCCAUAGCACACCUGACAGCUCGUCAACCCACGCACCCUUUUUUGCUCCAAGCCUGGUUUUCAAAAGCCUCUUGAUGGUCUUGUUGGCUGCUUCUACUUGUCCAUUCGAUUGAGGGUGAGCAGGCGAGCAAUACUUCAGCUCUAUCCCGAGGUUCUGGCAGAAAUCCCUGAAGCUGUGAUUAUCGAACUGCCUGCCAUUAUCCGUUACCAAGGCAUAAGGGAUCCCGUAUCGACAGACCAGGUUUCUCCACACGAAGUCUGUUGUUUUCUUCUUUGUGAUCCUGCUAAGGGCUUCUACCUCUAUCCACUUCGUGAAGUAAUCUAUAGCAACUAUUGCAUGUGUUGCUGCUCCUUGUGCCUUUGGCAAUGGGCCGAUCAGAUCAAUUCCCCAUUGAGCAAAUGGCCAAGGGGAGGCCAUGGAGGUGAGCUUCUCUGGGGGUUGGUUAGAGAAAUUUGCAAAACUCUGGCAGCUUACACAACUCCUGGUCUUCUCUUGCGCAUCCUGGUGCAUUGUCGGCCAGAAAUAUCCCUGCCUAAGAACCUUGUGGGCCAGGGACCUCCCGCCAGAAUGAUUUCCGCAAAUUCCUUCAUGUACUUCUCUCAGUACGUAAUCCGCGUCGUCCUCAUCCAAACACCGAAGGAACGGUAGUGUAUAUCCUCGCCGAUACAGCGCCCCAUCAAUCAUCGUGUAUCUCGAGGCCUGGGCUCUAAUCUUGCGAGCUCGCAGCUUAUCUGGUGGUAAUACUCCGUCUCUAAGGUAUGAAACUAUCGGGUCCCUCCACGAGCAUUUUUGUUCUAUCCGCAACACCCCCGAAUUCUGAUCGAUACUUGGGCUGGACUUCACCUCCAGAGGGACCGACUUUGGCAUUUUUGGGUCGGCUACUGCUGCCAUCCUCGCCAAAAUGUCUGCUCGACUAUUCUGCUCCCUGGGGAUCUGUACCACCUCCACUGCUUCGAACUUCCCCAUCAUCUGCCUGACUAUCUUCAGGUACUGCUCCAUCUUCUCCUCUCUUGGUUGGAAUCUUUCACUGACGUGAUUCGCAACCAGCUGGGAAUCAGUUCUGAUCUUAACUCUGUCUUCUUUCACGGCCUUAGCCAAUUCCAGACCUGCUAUCAAGGCUUCAUACUCUGCCUGGUUAUUUGUGGCUGCAAAUUCCAACUUUACAGCAUAAGAGAUCUCCUCCCCCUCAAGGCCUUCCAGGACAAUCCCUGCUCCUGAACCCCGCUCCCCUGAUGACCCGUCCACAGACAUCUGCCAUACUUGAUUUUCGUCAUUGCCUAUAACUGCAUCCUGUUGAUCUGAGCAUACUUCGGGCUCUGUGAAUUCAGCUACGAAAUCGGCCAUUGCCUGGGCUUUUAUCGCUGCGCGGGGUUUAUAGUCUAUGUCGAACUCGCUCAGCUCUACAGCCCACUUGACGAGCCGACCAGAGGCAUCUGGCUUGUGCAGAGUUUGACGCAAUGGCUGGUUUGUUAUUACCGAGACCGGGAAUGCUUGAAAAUAUGGCCUCAACUUCCGAGCAGCAACCACAAGGGCAAGUGCCCAUUUCUCCAACAGUGGGUAUCUAGUCUCAGCGUCGAGUAGGGCCUUGCUGGUGUAGUAUAUCGGAUACUGAACUCCUUCUUCCUCUCUCACCAGAACAGAACUGGCGGCCCGAUCCGACACCGCCAAAUACAGAUACAACUUGUCCCCAUCCCUUGGUGUGGACAGCAGCGGAGCUUGCUGCAAGUAUUGCUUCAAGUUCUGGAAGGCUUCCUCGCACUCUGGGGUCCAUUCUGUUUUCUUUCCCCUCCUUAUCACUUGAAAGAAUGGCUGACACUUAUCUGUAGCCUUGGAGAUGAAUCUGCUCAACGCCGCCAACCUCCCUGUGAGGCUCUGCAUCUCCUUCAGGUUACGAGGAGACGUCAUUUGCACAAUCGCCUGGAUUUUCUCGGGAUUUGCUUCAAUCCCCCUAUGGCUCACCAUGAAUCCAAGGAAUUUCCCUGACUCGACCCCAAAAGCACACUUUUCCGGGUUGAGCUUCAUCUUAUACUUCCUCAAAAGCUCGAAUGUCUCCUCGAGGUGUCUGACAUGUUCCUUCGGGAUUUUGGACUUGGUGAUCAUGUCAUCCACGUACACCUCCAUGGUUUUCCCAAUCAACGGCUUAAAGACUUUGUUCACCAGCCUUUGAUAGGUGGCCCCAGCAUUUUUGAGACCGAACGGCAUUACCCUGUAACAGAACAAACCUUGGUUAGUGACGAAAGCCGUGCUCUCCUCAUCCUGCUCGUACAUGGGGAUCUGGUUGUAUCCCGAGAACGCGUCCAUGAAGCUGAGCAGACCAUGUCCAGCCGUUGAAUCUACUAGCUGAUCGAUCUUUGGUAGAGGGAAGCUGUCUUUUGGGCACGCCUUAUUGAGGUCUGUGAAAUCCACACACAUCCUCCACUUGCCGUUUGCCUUCUUUACCAACACCACAUUCGAUAUCCACUCAGGGUAACUGACUUCCCGAAUGAACCCUGCUCUCAAGAACUUCUCCACCUCGCUAUUUAUUGCCUCAUACAUCUCCUGGUUGAAGCACCUCCUCUUCUGCCUUACUGCCCGAGCACCUUUCUUUAUUGCCAGCUUAUGACAUGCUACCUCAGGGUCAAUCCCUGGCAUGUCUUCAUGUGUCCAAGCAAACACAUCAGAAUGAGCCUGUAAGCAUUUCACCAACUCCUGCUUUUGCUCUCCCUCAAGCCUCGACCCGAUUCUGAUCAUCUUUCCCGGAUUCUCUGGUCCCAGGCUUACUGUUUCCAGAUCUUCUACAGGUUCUUGUCUGCCCUUCUUGUUUUCCACUCGGGUAUCGAGGGAUGUUAUCUGCAUUGCUUCCCUUGCUGCCGAGGAGUAGCAGCUUCUUGCGAUCCUCUGGUCUCCUCGUACCACUCCUACUACCCCAUUCACCCGGUACUUCAGAGCGAGAUAGUGGUUGGACAACACCGCUUUGCUCAUCCUUAAAAAUGGCCGACCUAGGAUCAUCUGGUAAGGACCUUCCUCGUCCACUACGACAAAGUCCAGUAUCAUUGUUCUUUCUGUCAGGGAGCUCCCAAUUGUGAUAGGCAGCUCGACCACGCCCAGAGGGACCAGCUUCCCUCCUCCGAACCCCUUCAAGGAGGUAUUGGUGUAUUCCAACUUUCGGUCGGCUAUUCCCAUCUCUUCCAGGGUUGACUUAAAUAACACAUCAACUGAGCUCCCUGUAUCAAUCAGUAUCCGGUCAAACUUCUUGCUAGCGACAGUAGCCUUGAUGACUAAAGCAUCAUCGUGGGGGUAUAGAAUCCCUUCCUCAUCCUCAUCCGUCCACAUGAUUGGCACUUGCCUGACCCUUGCUCGUUUGGCUGCUGGGGUGUUGAAGAGUACCUCUUUACUGGUCAUGGCGUACCUAGCAUAAUUUUUUCUCGAUCUGUUGGAAUCUCCGGCCAAUGUUGGGCCCCCAGCUAUCACCCUUACUGCGGGCUGCUCGCGCCUCAAGUUUCUACCACUCUGCUCCCCUUCACCUGUUGUGGCCACCAUCGGGAAAGUCCCAUCCAUAAACUCGUCCAGGUACCGAUUUCUCACCAAAUCUUCGACCUGGAUCUUGAGAUCUCUACACUCUGCCGUGGUAUGGCCAUGGGUGCCAUGGAACUUACAAUAACGUCUUCUAUCCCUCCUGUUGGGUAGCUUUGUUAUUGGUGUAGGGAGGUGCAGCAGACCUCGAUCCUUUAUGGCCUCGUACACCUCAUCCAGGGACAUCUUCAAGGAAGUGUACCGCCCAUAGUCCGGGUCCUGGUCGAUCAGGUGCACUGCUCUUUCUCUGUUUGCCCCGCUUUGAGUUGGGGGCGGUGGAAGUAAUUCUGGUCUGCUCGCUCUGCUACCAUGUUGGUGAAGACCACCAGAUGCCGACUCAUGCCUUCUCCAAGGCUCCCUAGCUGGGGAACGAGGAGGUUGCGCCCCGCUGCGCUGAUACUGUGGUGGCCUCUGAUGAGGCUGGUAAGCAGUUACCCGACCUCCUGCUCUACUACCGGAGGCCUGGUGGUCUCUCCUCCUGAUCGGCCCAUUCCCCGGUAAUGCUUUCUUCUCUUUCCUCCCCAACCCUUCCAACUGGUCUGUCUUAAUCCGUGCAGCCUUCUCCUCUUCAAUCUCGAUGUCUCUCUUAGCCUGUUCGUAUGCGGCUGCAUACGUUUGAAUAGCUGGGCUUCUCAAAUUGUACCACAACCUUCCUAUCUUCACCCCUUCUUUCAAUCCCCUUAACGCCUGAGGGUGGUUGAAGGCUCCCAAGUCGAGGACAGCCCGAUGAAACCUCUUGAUGAAUUCCCGAAGGGUUUCUUGCUCCCCCUGUUUCAUGCUUUUCAGCUCCAUCAUGUCGUCUUCCGGUGCCAUUGCCCCACUAAACUGCUCCGCGAAUUCCUGGCACAUCUGCUCGAAGGUUUUAAUGCUGCCCCGAGGAAGUUUCCUGUACCAUUCUCGUGCACGUCCCUCAAGGGAUAGUGGGAACACCCUGCACCUUUGGGAUUGAGAUAAUCCUUGUACCCCAGUUAUGUCGUUGAAGCGCUCUAUAUGCACCAGCGGAUCAGUUCUUCCCGAGUAUCUGAGGUCUGGGAGGCGGAAAUCUCUCGGAAUAACUGCCCUCAUGAUUUCUGUUGCGAGCGGCGAUUCUCCGUCCAGCAUUAUCCUCCAACCAGGGGCUCUGUUCCUUCCUUGCAUGUCGUCAAUUAUCUGCGCUAGUCUGCGCACUUCCCCCUCCAGCUGCAACGCACGACCAGGGUCACGUGCUGCAACUUGAUCCCACUCUUGCUCUACAUCAUGCAAGUGUUGCCUCAACUCUGUUUCCUCUGCAUUCACCACCCCGUCGCCCUCGUCACCAGUCUGUCUUGCUGGGGACUGCUCUCUUUCUCUAUGAAAUUCUCCCUGCAGAGGUACGUUACCUCUCUCACCACCAAAUCUCCCGGGGGUUUGACUUCUCCCCGCACUAUCGGGACCUGGUGCCACUCCACCGCCUCUCACCCUUCCCUCUUGGGUUACCCUUCGCUCGCUCCGCAGCUCAUGCAGGAUGGUUGUCAAGGUCUCCAUCUGCUUUUCCAUCCGUUCCAUCUGGUCGAACAUGACUUUUUCCCGUGCUUCGCUGACUAUCUCCCUCAGCGUCACGGAAUCGUUAAGCCUCCUAUCACCCCCUUGUGCACUACUUCUUCCUGUCUCCAUUGCUUUUCACUUGCUUCACCCCUCUUCUUGCUAUCAACAGAAGCUUUUUGCUCUGGUCCCCACAGACGGCGCCAAAAUGUUGAUGCAGGAUUCCGGUUCUUCUCGUUCUACGACCAGGAUCUCUGCUCGAUCAACUUCGUCACGACCAGGAGGUCUCCUCGCAAGACUUUUUCUCUAGAGAUUCCUGCGCACACAGACAAGUCAGAGUACGCCGGUUGUUUUCCCGGCGCAAACCCUCCGACGCUCAAGUCAGAUAUGAAGGUUCGGGGAACGCUUGCCACCGAUCUUAUGGCUUUUUCGUGGUUUUCUCUUCUUUUUAAUUCCUUUUCUAAUGAGAAAAAUGCCAACCCUUUUACCUCGUCGGCUACCUUUUUAUAGGCUUCCUCUGAAUCCCAGUUUUCCGCUCUUUUCGAGACGGUAUGGGACUCUGACUGCUGCGUUAUGGGCAAACGUGGGAUCUUGCGUGUUACGCCACCGUUCUGGGAAAAGCGCGGCAGUCGUGGUUCUGUGAGAUCUUGCGUGUUACGCCACGGUUCUGGGGAAAGCGUGGCUGUCGUGCCUAGGUUCUCGGGCUGGAGAGCAUGUCUCGUCAACUGCCGUCGACCGGGUCUCCUCGCCUCUCGACCUCUAGCCGGAAUGACCUUAUGCCUCUUACAGGAAAUUGGCCUCGCGGAUGACCUGCUCGUGGACGAGCAGGAUAUUUCUGCUCCUGUUCCCCCGCGUACCAGGCUUUUACGGGACACACCGGUUCGCAGAACUCUGCCAUCAGAUAUCUGCUCACCGUGCCUGGUCUCGUCGACGUAUUUCUCCCAAACACCUGGUAUGACUGCUUAUGCUGGAUUUUAUGAGGUGUGCUCUCCUAAGCAAGGAGAGUGGGUCUUAAUAUGGGCAAGGGUGCAGUUGGUCAGCUUAUGGGGCAGUUUGCAAAGUUACUGGGCUGCUAUGUUGUCGGAAGUGCUGGAAGCAAAGACCAGGUAUACAAACAAACAAUCCGUAUCAGUUGCUUGAUUGUUCCCAUUUUGCUUUCAAAAUAUCUAACUUACAUAAGGAAAAUUUUCACCAUCUCGUCUUUUCUUUGAUUUUGAACGCUAAGAUUGAUCUACUGAAGAAUAGGUUUGGGUUCGAUGAGGCGUUCAACUAUAAAGAAGAUCCUGAUUUGAAUGCAGCCUUGAUAAGGUUAGUAUAUCAGCAAACUACAAAUUAGAAGACAUUUUUUCCUGAAAAUCAAAUAAUGUUUCUAAUUUGACAGGUGGUUUCCUGAAGGCAUUGACAUAUACUUUGAAAACGUUGGUGGGAAAAUGCUCGAUGCGGUGCUGAUCAACAUGAAAAUCGGUGGUCGAAUUGCUGUGUGUGGGAUGAUCUCGCAGUACAACCUUGACGAACCCAAAGGCGUACACAACUUGACGCGUCUUAUUUCGAAACGGGUUCGGAUGGAAGGAUUCCUCGUAUCGGAUUACAAUAAACUCUAUCCGAAAUUUCUGGAAAUGAUCAUUCCUCACAUCAAGGGGGGAAAGAUUGUAUACAUUGAAGACACGGCUGAAGGUCUUGAGAGUGCUCGGGCAGCUCUCGUCGGUCUGUUCUCUGGCCGGAAUCUCGGGAAACAGGUGGUUGCAGUUGCUUCUGAAUGAAUGAAGGAUUUGGUUGUUUACAUCAUGCUUCUACUCGUCCAUUUAUUUAAUAAAAUGGUUACGCUCAAUGAGUGUAAUUUUUAUGAUGCUAAAUUAAAUGUGGAAUGUGGCUGCUGGUUUGAUAAUGUUAAAAGUGCUAAAAAAUUUCAUGUUAGGCGCGGUGUGCGUCUGUAUAUCAUUUUUAGGUACGGGCAUUCUAUCUUUUUUUUUUAAUUAAUACAGACACAUUCUUAAACUGUAUGGUUUAAGAGAGAGUUAAAAAAAACUUUUACCACAUGGUUUAAAAGCGUAUCCGUAUGGAAAAAAAAUGAAAGUCCAUUGGAGAAGAAUUUUAUAUAUAGUCCAGGAUAUUAAAGUGCGGGAAAACUAUAGAGUUUUAAAAACUUAAAAUUUAAAACGUUUAAACUGCACGAUUUAUGUGUUUUUCGAUGUGAUCCCACAUUUUAAAAUUGUGGAUUGGAACAUUUGUCUUUGAGGGAAAAAAAACAAUAACAACAACUUCUUUUGGAGACCGUGGGGCUCAUAUGCAGAUUCAACCCCGAGCUAUACACUGGAUCUGGUGGGCUAGGUUUGAACCCAAAACAAGCUCUAUUCAUUACACGGUUCAGCGGGUUGGUCCAUUUGACGCUUCUAACUUAACAAUUUAAUCAUAAUAAAUUGAAAAAAUAAAAUAAAACCCACGUAUCUAAAUUAUUGUAUUGAGCUAUUGGUGCAGAGAAUAAGUAUAUAUGAGAACAAAAACAACACGAUGUAGUCGCUCGUUUUGUCACUUCUAAAAUCAGGAUUUAGAGCAUCACCAAAAGGCUCUUCAAAUAAGAUUUUAUUACUCAUUUGAAGAGCCACAUCAAUAUUUAAAGCUCCAAAAGACACUCUAAUUAAGAUUCUUCAAAUAAGAAUUGAUUCUCUCUCUUCAAAUUUGGAGAGUUAAUUUCUCCCUCUUCAAUUUAUAUUUUAUUACUUUUCAUUAAAAAAAGAGAGAGAAGUGCUUUAAUUGCUAUUGACUUUUCCUUUUAAAAACUAAUUAUAUGAUUAAAAUAAUAUUAACUUAUUUCUAUUUGAAGAGUCUUUUGGAAAAUAUCAUAUUUUUUCACCCUUCUAUUUGCCACAUAGGUAAGCAAAUAGAUAUUUGAAGAGUAAAAUUUAUAGAGGCUUUUGGAGAUGCUCUUAUGAUAGAGUCAUAGUGUUAACAGUACAUCGGUGUAUAAUUAUUUGUAAUGAAAUUAAUUAAUAUGGGUUUUAUGUUGUCUUUGUCAAUAAUCAAUUAAAUUUUUCGUUUUCAUUUAAAUGUUACUGAUCGAUGAAACAUUUGACUGCGUUCAAGUUAUCUUUUAAUUUUGUGAGAUCCACAUUGUUUUUAUUUCAAAAACAUAAUUUUUCAUAUUAUUAAAAAGCUGUUGCUUGGGCCUAGAGAAAUUGGAUUAAUGAAAUACCUUAAGGGUGUGUUUGACACAUUAUAUUGUAUUAUGUUGCAUUGCAUUAUUUUAUUUGGUGUUGCACUAUACUUUACUAAUUUUUUUGCAAUUAAUUUAAAUUACAUAGUUAGCAAAUAAUAUUUAUUAGUGCUUAGAAAAAUACUAAAUAUAGAAGUCUUAAAUUUUAGAAAUUUAACAAUUUUUUUACUAUAAAUGUUAAAAAAUAUAAUAAUUCUUCAUAAAGAUGGAAGCUUACAGCCUUAAGUUUUUGGAAGCAGAGCAUUUAUUUUUUAGUAUCUUCUAAAUAUAUAAUUUUUGAAAUAAAGAUAUAAGCACAUAAUUUAAUCACAUAGUCUUUAAAUAAUAUAACAACAUAAAUAAAUAGUUAAAAUGUGCAAGAUUAGUUCAAAACUCAUCUUAGGAUGAUAUAAUAAAAGUUUAUACACACCACAAGAUAAUCACAAAAUAAUAAAGUGAUAAAAUUAUUAUAACAUAUUCACUACCAAAAUAAAUUAUAUUAAAUAAUCCAAGUGAGAGUUCUGUAGUUUAUAUAAUAAUAUUAUUUAUGUUAUUAUUAUUAAUUUUAAAUUAAUAUUAUCCAAAUUUAUUCAUACUUAAAUAUGUAUUAUUAGUUAUAUUACAUUAUUUUUACAUAUUAAUUAUUGUAAUAUAAUUAAAUAAUGUAAAAUUAUAUUAUAUUUUUAUAUACUAUUUAAGUAUUUAUUAUUAAUUAUAUUCAAUUAUAAAUUUAUUAAUAAAUUAUAGUGCAAAAAAAAAUAGAAAUAAAAAUUAAUAUUGUAUAAUAAAUAACAUUCUGCUCCCAAUUUCUGGAUUUUAAAUUCCAAAAAUAGUAUUCACGUUCGCCACAUUCAAAAAUCCAACCUGGGCUUGGAGAUUCGAUUCAUCUCAUAGAUUAAUUUUAUAAACUAAUGUUUAGUGAAAAAUUAACCUUAAUGGGUCCUCCUCUCCAGGCCUAAUUCUUAAUUUUUUUUUUAAUUUGGUCCUACUUAAGUGGCUUCUAACGUUACCGUGUCUUUAUUUUGUGUACAGUUGUUUUACUAAUUUGUCAUUUAGUGCAAAUAACAGCACUCAACUUGUAAUAUCCAGUAUCCACAAAUCAGCCACUUCGGCCAAGGCCGAAGUGGUGGGCUGCUGCCCUCACAAUGCUUGUGAGGGCAGCGGUUCUAGCCCCCACAAAAGCAUUGUGGGGGUUAAAUGUUCUUUAUAUUUCCAAAAAAAUCCUUCUCUCUUGCAAAAUGUAAGUGGAGUAUGGACAUCCCUCUCCUGUGAGGGGUUAUUUGUCUGGGCAUGUACUUCAUAGAAUUCAUUGUAAUAAUGUAAGUCCCAAUCAUGUAUAUCUGAUUGUAAAUAUCAGUGUAAUAUCUCUGCUACAAUAAGCAGUUGUUGUAAAUAUCUGUCUGAUGAUUAAUCAGUAUUCAAAAAAAAAAAAGUAUCCACAAAUCAUGAACUCAUUUUUUAGUUCUUUCAUGUGUACUAACAUUCGUACAAAUAUACAAUAAGUUCAUAAUUUAGUCCAAGUUGACGAGAAAUUCUUGACCCACCCCUAAAUAUCUGUCCGCCAAUAGCGUGAAGUGGCCGGCAUAAAUUUAAAGCAGCUGGGACAUUGUAACUCAUCCAAAGAUUGUAUAACAUCUCUUUUUUGCUUUAUCGUUUUUCUCCAGUUGCAUAGUUUCUUAUCCUACCGCUUUAAAAACAAUUAUUCCUAGAAAUUUUCAUUUAUCUAAUGAAUUUUAAGAAUUUUUUCAGCAAACAAUUUUUACUUUUUUUUUUUUUUAUCAUUGAUGGGUAAAGAAAAUAUUAAUGAAAAAUGAGGAGUUAUUGGCUGGUUCAACGGAUUAAUUGCAAUGAUAAAUACAGGGAGGAUUGGAUUAUAUGGCAAAUUUUUAUAGUAAAUGUAAUAUAUAUGCUAACACUUUUUAUUUAUGGCAAAAUAUCUUCCUCUUUUGAGACUUUUCCCUCUAAGAAAAUUGGAGGAUACGACAAUAUAUAUAUAUAUAUAUAUACUAAUAUUUAUCAUUUAUAGAAAAGUAUCUAUCCCACUUAAGAUUUGCCCCACUAGAAAAGGAAAAAAAAAUCCCUCAAAAUAAAAGAGCGAAAUGGAAACAGAACAAAAUUUGAUUUUGUGGAUCUUGUAUUGUGUGAUAAGUCCGGCAUGCAAUUUUGGGCCAGCUUACCGUGCGCAUGGGAGCAUUCACAAAGUAUCUCUCGUCACUAUCGAAAACUUUUAACAGUCAAUACAAAUGCUUCCGUUUCAUCCCAUAAACAAAUAAAAUUCACAUCUGUACACAUCUACUUUGCUUUGCUAGAUAGAGUUCCUCUGCAUUUCCCAAUUGCCUAAAGAGAAGGGGAAAAGAAAAAGAGGGCCAAAAAAUGCCUGAAAUGGUAAGGAACAAGCAAGUGAUAUUGAAGGACUAUGUGUCUGGUUUCCCAAAAGAAACAGACAUGUACAUGACCGAAAGUUCCAUAGAAUUGAAGGUGCCAAAAGGUUCAAAUGGGGUUCUUUUAAAGAACUUGUACUUGUCCUGUGAUCCGUACAUGCGACCAAGAAUGACCUACAUCGAAGGAUCUUAUGUUGAAUCCUUUAAACCUGGCUUGGUUAGUGCACUCGCUCAUGGCCACGCUUUUCAUUUCCAUGGCUUCUUGCUCUUUUGUUAUAGAAAAUUUAUUUUUGGUUGCAGUUUGGUUCGACUGCUAAAAUCUCGUGCGAUAAUUGUAUAAGAUAUCUAGAGUUUGAACUUCUUUCACAUUAGGGUUCAAGGAAGUUAACUUAAAUGAUUUUCAAAAUUUUAAAUGUGUACCAAUGAAUUUAAUUUCAUAGCUUAAACUUAUUGUUUGAUCAUACUCUAACUUUGGACAGGAAAAUUAUAUUUUUCCUUUUGUUCUUUGACUUCGUGUAUGUUGUGUGAAGUACUUGUGCUUGAAAAUGAAUUGCUGACACAGAAAUUUCUAUGAAUGCAUGCAGCCCAUAAGUGGAUAUGGGGUGGCUAAAGUUUUGGAUUCAGAGAAUCCAGAGUUCAACAAAGGUGACUUGGUUUGGGGAAUGACUGGAUGGGAAGAGUAUAGUCUCAUUACGGCUCCACACUUGUUUAAAAUUCAGCACACAGAUGUGCCUCUUUCUUACUAUACUGGAAUCCUCGGUAAACUUUUUGUUUGCGCAAUUUAUGUGAGCAAAUUGUGUCUUCUUUUUCAUAUGUAAAUGUUUUUGAUAUCUUGAUGUGAAGGUAGAAAAUUGCAUGUUUUGAGUUUUUGCAUAUUUGAUGGAAACACAGAACCGUACCUGAAUAUUUCAGAACCCCCUUUUCUUUGAAGUUUGAACACUUUUCUUGAAUGUAUCAACUUUAUUUAUGGGAUAUGUUGCCAAAUUGGCAAAUCUAUUCGUUAUAAAACUUUCCUUUGACAGUUUAAUCUAAGCAGAUGUUAAUUCUGCAAAUAGAGUGUGCCUUAGUUUAGAUUGAUAGAUUUGUCUCCUUCUGUACAGUAAAAACUUUGAGCAUUUUCGCCAUAUUCUGAUCAAUACACUCCAACUAGUUAGUUCUUGAGGCGUUUCCUGGUUUCGUGGAGUGAGCCAAGAUGUAUACGUUUGCAAAUUGGCAAUGUCUUUUGCUUGAUGUGUUGUGAGUUGUGAGUGUCAAUAGGAAAGUUUCAAAGUGCGCAGUGCUCACUUGAGCACCCAUAUUACUUGGUGACCUGUUGCCUCAGCAAACAAGACCUCUGUUUUAUGAACUCCAAAAAGUUAUUCUGUUAAAAAGAUCGAGACAGAGGCCAUACUAUAUUUAUUAUUGCUAUAAAAGUGUCAAACAAUAUUCUUUAUUUAAUAUUCUAAACGAUUGAGCCAUUUAGUUAUGAUACUCUGCUGUACUGGGGCUAAUAAUCUAAGUCGGUUCAAAGUGGUAAAUUUAUAAAUUGAUAGGUAUGCCUGGUAUGACCGCUUACGUUGGAUUUUAUGAGGUCUGCUCUCCUAAGCAUGGAGAGUGCGUCUUCAUAUCAGCAGCAUCUGGUGCAGUUGGUCAGCUUGUGGGGCAGUUUGCAAAGUUAUUGGGUUGCUAUGUCGUCGGAAGUGCUGGAAGCAAAGACAAGGUAUGUAAUCUGUGUGAACUACUUGAUUGUUUCCAUGUUACUUUCAAACAUUUAAAUUAAAAAGGAAAUUUUCAUAAUCUUGCCUUUUCUAUGAUUUUCAACACCAAGGUUGAUCUACUGAAGAACAAGUUUGGGUUCGACGAGGCAUUUAACUAUAAAGAAGAAGCUGAUUUGAAUGCAGCAUUGAAAAGGUUAGCAUCAAUAAAUGCCUUAGCUUGAUGCAGCUUGAUGAAGUAUGAUACACAUUUCUGACCAAUAUACUGCGUUCCCUGAUCUCUUACUUGAAAUAUCUUGGUUUGAGAAUCUCAUGCCAAUGCCUUUAACAUUUUGGCAGGUACUUUCCUGAAGGAAUUGAUAUAUAUUUUGAAAACGUUGGUGGAAAAUUGCUUGACGCAGUGCUACCCAACAUGAAAAUCCGUGGUCGAAUUGCUGCAUGCGGUAUGAUCUCACAGUACAAUCUUGACAAGCCUGAAGGUGUGCACAACUUGAUGUAUCUUGUUUCGAAACGGCUUCGAAUGGAAGGAUUCAUUGUUCUGGAUCACUAUCACCUCUAUCCAAAGUUUCUGGAAAUGAUCAUUCCUCACAUCAAAGAAGGGAAGCUUGUAUACGUCGAAGACAUGGCUGAAGGUCUGGAGAGUGCUCCGGCAGCUCUCAUCGGUCUAUUCUCUGGCCAGAAUGUUGGGAAACAGGUGGUUGCUGUUGCUCCUGAAUGAAGAACAAGUUAGUGUUGUGUGUUCUUUUACCCUUUGACACAAAACUUCAAUGUUAAAGAGAGAAUGCUGCUCAUACUGCUUUAUAAAAUAAUCAAAUGAGUGCAAGUUUCAUGAUAUGUGCUGAAUAAAAAUAUUGGAAAUUAAGCAGCUAGCCUAGCUCCUUCUUGUAGUUGCAGUUUGAAUGAUGCUGCUGCACAACUGCUGCCGAAAAAAUCCUUAAUAGAUGAUUAGCAAGGUUUCAAAAAUAAAAAUAAAUGUUUGUGCAAUGUGCCGAAUAUGACAGCCACAAAGAAAGAGCAUACAAAUUGACUGGUUUUAUGUCUUCUCUAGGAGAAAGCUACAAUACAAGAAAUUGUAUUGAUGCCAUGGACCAAAUUUCUUAUUUAAACUUUUAAUUUUUUUUUAUUAAAAUUACUUAUGUUAUUAUGGUUUAUAUUUUUAGAAAUUCUUUAGAAAUUAAUACAGAACUAGUAGCAAGUUGAGAAAUCUAAUGAAUGGUCGAGAUAUGAUCAUGUUUAUUGAAUUAAAUUGACAAUCAUCAUUUUGAUAAAUUAUUGUUAGGAUAUUUGAUUCAUCACAGGUGUAAGUAACUAAAUGUGCUAAAAAAAAAGUUAAUGAGUUGUGAGUGUUUGAUAUUCGUUUGUUGUAAUUCUUUUAAUAAUUGUUGUGGGAAAAAAAUUAUGGUAAAAAAAUUAUAAUUAUAAAAUAAAAAUUAAUAAUAUAUUAUAAAUAAAAUUUUUAAAUAAUAAUUUUAAUAAAAUAAUAAAUAUAUUAUGAAUUUUUCAUUAUAAAUUUUUAAGUUAAAAUAAUAAAUAUUUAUUAAAUAUUUUAAUAGCACAACUUUUAAAUUAUAACAGUACAAUGUAAAUACCAGAGGUCUUAAAAAAUAAAAUUACAGUCAAGUUUUAAAACUGUUAAUAAUGCUAUUCAUAAAGGCGCUCGUCGUGUAAACAACACAUGGGACCCAACCAAUAAAUGUUUAUGAUCCUCAACUUUCCUCCUCACCGUCCCUGCAAACAAUUCUGAUUUUCUUGUCUGAGAAAAAAACUGAGAAACAAUGGCGGCCGAACAAGAAGCUGUGAGCAAUAAGCGGGUGAUUCUAAGCAACUAUGUGACAGGUUUUCCAAAAGAAUCGGACAUGAAGAUAACAUGUGGAUCAAUAAAACUGGAGGUAGCAGACGGUUUAAAAGACACGGUGCUUUUGAAGAAUCUUUAUAUUUCUUGUGAUCCUUACAUGCGAGAGCGUAUGAGCAAGCUUGAUAGACCUUCUUUUGUUGAUUCAUUCCAUCCUGGUGAGGUUAGUUCAUCACGACCCAUCUCUUGAUUUUUUUUUUUUUUCAUUUGCUUCAAGUUUUGAUGAGUUUCUGAGGUCAUUUGUACGGUUUUGGAAUGUGAACACUAUUAGUGAUUUUGGGGCUGUAACUGUCAUUAAUGAUAUGUAGUAAUUCAAUCAGAAUUUGGAUUUAGUGCUGAUAUGAUCUCUGCUCAUUUUUUAAAAUCUUGUGUCCAGAUGCAUUUUUAUAAUCUUGUACGGUUGAGAUUGUAAGUAGAUUAAUCUACGUGCAGUAUUCUUGUCUAAUGACUACUAACCACAACCUUAUGAGACGAUCGAAACCAAGCUCAGAUCAAUAAUCCAAUUGAGAGAGGGUCCUAACUCAAGCUUAUCGUGUGUAGGAAUAUUUCGGUUAAAUUGUAAUUCUUUUAAUAAUUGUUGUGAAAAAAAAAAAGUUAUGAUAAAAAAAUUAAUAAUUAUAAAAUAAAAAUUAAUAAUAUAUAAUAAAUAAGAUUUUUAAAUAAUAAUUUUAAUAAAAAAUAAUAAAUACAUUAUCAGUUUUUCAUCGUUAAUUUUUAAGUCACAACCACAAAUAUUUACUAAACACUUUAACACCAUAAUUAACACCACAACUAUUGAAUUAUAACUGUACAAUCUAGACGCCAAGAGGCCUUAGUAUGAAAAAAAAAAAUUACAGUUAAGUUAAAAUUCAUCAUACAGAUGUGCCACUUUCAUACUAUACCGGGAUCCUCGGUAAUGAUUUUUGUUACACAAUAAGAUUUGCUUAUAGUAAUAUCAAUACAUAUGCUGCUUAAAUGCUUUCUGAUUUUUUGCCGGCCAUUGUCCAUUUUGCCAGGGAGUCUAUAAUUGAAGGAAUUUACUGAAGGAAUGCUGAUUGUUGGGAAUUUGAUUAUUCUAGGUAUGCCUGGUGUAACUGCAUACGCUGGUUUAUACGAAGUUUGCUUUCCGAAGAAAGGAGAGUAUGUCUAUGUAUCUGCAGCAUCUGGAGCUGUUGGUCAGCUUGUUGGACAGUUUGCAAAAUUAGCUCGUUGCUAUGUUGUUGGAAGUGCAGGAAGCAAAGAAAAUAUAGCACCGUGCCUUCUAGCAGAAUUUUACUUGCUUUAUGUUCCAACUAAGCAUCCAUAUUUGAUCAUGAUAAUUAGCAAGGUCAAUAAUUUUUUUUUGACUAUUUUUUCAACGUAAGGUCGAUUUGUUGAAGAACAAGUUUGAACGAUGCUUUUAACUACAAGGAAGAGCCUGAUUUGGAUGCAGCACUCAAAAGGUCAGCUGCAACAAACGUUUCAACUCUAAUAUUUCAUUUUAAUAUUACAGAGCUUUGGUUGAAGUGUGUGAGUUGAUCCCAGAAACGUAACUUCAUCAGUGUCUCUGUUUUCAAAAAACAGGACAAAUAGAAAUCUGAUUUUGCUUUAAAAUUUCCCAGAUGCUUCCCUCAAGGAAUCGACAUAUAUUUCGAAAAUGUUGGGGGAAAGAUGCUGGACGCAGUGCUACUCAACAUGAGGCUCCGGGCCGCAUUGCAGUAAGCAGUAUGAUCUCACAGUAUAACCUGGAAAAACCCGAAGGCGUUCACAACUUAGAGCAACUGAUCGGGAAACGGAUUCGCCUGGAAGGAUUUCUAGCUGGUGAUUACUAUCACCUCUAUCUGAAAUUCUUGGAACUGGUCAUUCCUCCAAUCAGAGAAGGAAAGAUGCUGUAUGUGGAAGACAUGGCCGAAGGACUCGAGAAAAUUUCUCGUAACUGCUACACAUUAAACGCGUUUCACAUUUCCACUCUCUUUCUAUAAAUAAAUACGCACAUAAAAUUUCUCACCAUCCAAAAACAAAAUCUACAUAAAAAAUGGCGGGUGAAGAAGCAGUGAGCAACAAGCAGGUGAUUCUGAGCAACUACGUGACAGGGUUUCCCAAGGAAUCAGACAUGAAGAUAAUAACAGGCUCAAUAAACCUUAAGGUGCCAGAGGGUUCAAAAGACACAAUGCUUUUGAAGAAUCUUUAUCUUUCUUGUGAUCCUUACAUGAGAGGACGUAUGAGCGAGCUUGAUAAGCCUUCGUUUGUUGCCUCAUUCGAGUCUGGCGAGGUCAGUUACUUCAAUUCCCAUCUCUUGGUUUCAUAAUCUUUUAUGGUUUUAGAAGGUGUUUUAGGGAAACAUUGUGGUUUUGGUUAGUGGGCAUGAGUCUUUGAAGAGAUUAUAAUGUGUAGGACUAUGCAUGCAAUAAUAAGCAUAGGGGAUCUUGUUAGGAGAAGAUUCUCUUAGCAAAAUAAAAACUUUUAUCUUAUCAAAACAUAUGCAGGGAACUUAGUUAUGAUGUCAUGUUAGCAUUAUCUCUGAGGAUUUGAUUUCUUGAUGGGGAAAGGGGAAUUUAAGGUUACAUUAUUCAGCAAUGUUUUUUUUUUAAAAAAUUAUGUUCAAAUUAUGCAGCCUUUAAGCGGAUAUGGAGUGUCCAAAGUGUUGGAUUCCACGCCUCCAAAUUAUAAGAAAGAUGACUUGGGUGGCGUUUGUUUUUUAACUUAAUGACUUAAAGUGACUUAACUUAAUUAAUUAAGUUAAUUAGAGAUGUUUGUUUUUAUAACUUAAUGUGACUUUUUAAAUAAUUUUGACUUAAUAAAAUAAGCCAAUUUUAUUUACUUUUUACUUAAUAGAGACAUCUGAAUUAAGUCAAGUACUUUCUAAUGUCAAAAAUAUACAUGCUUUAUAAUUUAUUUUUCAUGUCUAUCCCAAAACUCACCCAUAGACAUUUACCCCACAUAAUAAUCUCAUCAUUAUUUUUUUAGCCGUCAUGAAAUCCCUCCUCACUUUGGUAUCAACUCCUCAACUAUUGAAGAUCAAAAUUACAUGCGACAACUUCGAGAUGAAUGGCAAAUCAACUGUUUCAAGCAUCUUAUUCGUUUUUUUUCUUUUUUAUAUUAUAUACGAUAAAAUUUGAAAUUUAUGGUAUUUUAUAUAUUAAAAUUCCAAAAUCAUUAUAUAUUCACUUGAAUAUAGUUUUACUUAUAAAUGUUAAAAUAUUGUGAUAUUUAAUAUAUUAUUUAUUUGACAUUCAAAUUUAAUAAGGAUACAAAUGUAAAAGUACAUAUUUUUCAGUUUUUUAAGUUGAAAAAAGCAAACAACUUAAUAAUUAUUUUUCGAGAUUCAGACGAAAAAACAAACAUAUUAUUCAGAUUCAGACAUUCAGAUCUAUUCAGAAUUUAGACUAAUUCAGGUCUAUUCAGAUUUCAGAUAAAAAAACAAACGCCACCUUGGUCCGGGGCUUAACCAGUUGGGAGGAGUUCAGUCUCAUCCAAUCACCACAACUUCUGAUUAAAAUUCUGGAUACAAGUGUGCCUCUGCCAUAAUUAAUUGACAGGUUGCUAUGUUGUUGGAAGUGCCGGAAGCAAAGAAAAGGUGAGUUUGCACCCUUAACCCUUACGCUCUAAAUAAAAACAUAACACCUUCUGAAAGAAUUGUGCAUAGAGAAUUUUGCAUGUCACAUUAUUUGUGUUCUAACUAAUCAUGGAUAUUUGAUCAUUAGUCUAACUAAAACUGACAUAUUACCACCUAGUUGACUGGUCUUUGAGAAAUGUUAGUUGAUAUAUGCUUGAAAUCAUACUUGUUUUAUUAGAUGAUUAUAUUAACCUGCUUCUUUUUCUUUGUGCUGUUUCUCGUUUGAUUACAUUUUCAACAUUAGGUCGAUCUAUUGAAGCACAAGUUUGGGUUUGAUGAUGCCUUUAACUAUAAGGAAGAGCCUGACUUGGAUGCAGCUCUUAAUAGGUUAGCACGAAUGAAUGCUUUAACCAUUUUUCUCACUUCAUUAUUACAAUGCGCUGAUUGAAGUAAUCAGUGUUGGCUCUGAAAAUGUAACGUAUACUUCUCUGUUUUCAUAAAACAGGACAAACAGUGAUCAGUGAUCUCAUUCGUUACAUUGAUAUUUUCUACCAUUGCCAUACAUAGUAUAAACUAGGAAUUCAGUUGCUUAAUAGAUAUUCAUUUCAGAGGGAAAUUUUCACUUGCAGCUAACAGAAUCAUGUUUGUGAUGUAUGUUUAUUUGGGAAAUGAAAGGAUUUGUUGCAUUAUUUUAUUCCAAGUUUGCUGAAAUCAUAUUUGUUUUCCCAGGUGCUUUCCUGAAGUUAUCGACAUCUAUUUCGAAAAUUUUGGAGGUAAGAUGCUUGAUGCAGUGCUACUCAACAUGAGAAUUUGUGGCCGCAUCGCUGUAUGCGGAAUGAUCUCACAGUACAACUUUGAGAAGCCUGAAGGUGUACACAACUUGAUGCAAGUAGUUGGAAAACGAAUUCGCAUGGAAGGAUUUCUUGCCAGUGAUUUCUACCACCAAUAUCCAAAAUUCUUGGAACUGGUUAUGCCGGCAAUCAAAGAAGGAAAGUUAGUAUAUGUCGAGGACAUAGCUGAAGGCCUCGAGAAAGCUCCAUCAGCCCUAGUUGGGAUAUUCACAGGUCAAAAUGUUAAAAAACAACUGGUUGUAGUUGCUCGGGAAUGAUAUGAUUACUAUAUGCUUUAAAAAGUGGACUUUGCCAUGCACUUUAAAAGCUUAGUGAAGAUGCCUUUGUCUUAUUUUUGAUACAUGUUAUGUUUGUUUGAUCAAGUUGUACUCAGCUAUAAAUCAAAGAUUCAGAACAUGUGUAUGAUACUGGUUUCUAAAUCAAUGAACGCGUUGAAAUGUUAGUGUUUUCACAGGAGAAUGCAAUUUAAUUCAUCAACAAUGUCCCAACAAGACCCUCAGAGCUGUAGCUUGUAAAGUUAAUUACGAUAUUUUUUUGUAAAGUAAAUUACCAUAUUUUUUUCUUUCCAAUAUAUUGCUUAUUUCAUAGAAAGUUUACAUUAAAGUCUCAUGUUUCUUUGAAAGGUAAGCAAGUGUGAACGUUUCAAUCUAGAGCUGGAAAAUGCAUUUCCGGGCAACUUACUUGAUACAUGAAGUUUUCAUCUCUGACCUUGAUGUUUCCCAUAGUUGCAUUCAUUUCAGCUGAUCUAUUUAAUUUUGUUUUCGAAGGAGUGACACAAAAUCUCCUUUGUUAAGGGGAGAAUUUAGAGUGGCUUUGACUGUUAGCAAAUAGCCUAAUGUAAGACUUAACCAACUUCCUGCCCUGUUGUAUGCUUAUGAAUUUUGAUAGAGCUAAGAGUUUGCAGAAGCUACUGUAUUAUUUGUCGUUAGAGGCUGUAAAAAUCAAACACAUUUAAAUUUCAAUGAAAAUUUACUGGAAGUAAAUUUCCUAUGAUCCCACAGGUGACUAAUUAAUGAGAACUUGACAAUGACAAAAGAAAGUCUAUGAACUUUGCAGGCUGGCAUGCCAAUAUUGACUGGGUGGCACCAUCCACCAUCUGCAAGUGAAUAUCAUUGUUGUUUAAUCAACAAGGUGGAGUCCACUGGGACCACACCACAUCGUCAGCCUUAUCUCUAUUCCUCAAUUUUCAGUAUUCCAUACAUCAAACCAAUUUCAGUUUUGUUAUCAAUUAUAAUUUUAUUGUUGGUGACGAUUCUGAUUCCUUUCUGACAAAAGGGAACCAUGGCUGCUGCUGGAGAGAUCUUACUCAACGCCUUCUUUCAGGUACUGUUCGACAGGUUGGCUUCUCGUAAUUUGCUCAGCUUUGUGCGUCAACUCCAAGGCGGGGUUGAUUCGGAGCUCAAAAAGUGGGAGAAAAAGCUGAAGAUGAUUCGGGCUGUGCUCUGCGAUGCAGAGGAGAAGCAACUGACUGACGAGGCUGUGAAGAUGUGGCUGGACGAACUCCAAGACUUGGCUUAUGACGCUGAGGACACUCUUGAUGAGUUUGCUACUCAAGCUUUGGAAAGCAAGUUGAUGGCGCAAAAUCACGAUAGUUCUGGCCAGGUUCUCAGUUUCAUCCCGGCUGGUUUGAAUCCGAAUGCUAUUAUGUUCAAUUAUAGCAUGGGGUCCAAGAUGAAAGAUAUUACUAGCCGGCUGGAGCAACUCUGCCAAGAAAGAAUUGAACUUGGACUGCAACGGAUUACCGGAGAGGCAUCAUCAACUGCUGCUGCUGCACACCAGAGGCCACCCAGUUCGAGUGUCCCAACAGAACGUGAAGUAUUUGGAAGAGAAAAAGAUAAGGCCAAAAUUCUUGAUAUGUUAUUAGCCGAUACCAUAAGUGAUCAUGCUAACUUUGUUGUAAUACCCAUUGUUGGCAUGGGUGGGAUAGGAAAAACAACUCUCGCUCGGGAGGUUUACAAUGACAAAGCCGUUGGAGGUUCCAAGUUUGAUGUAAAAGCAUGGGUUUGUGUAUCUGAUGUCUUUGAUGUUUUGGGCAUCUCAAAGGCACUUCUCGAGUCAAUCACCCGCAGGCCUUGUCUUCUAAACAGUUUAAAUGAAGUGCAGGUUGAAUUGAAAGUAGCUGUGGAUAAGAAAAGAUUCUUGCUGGUCUUAGAUGAUGUUUGGAACGAGGACUACAGCUUGUGGGUAGACUUAAAAGCUCCGUUCCUGGGUGCUGCACCAAACAGUAAGAUGAUCGUCACCACACGCAAUUCAAAUGUUGCAUCAACAAUGGGACCAAUUGAACAUUACAAUCUCAAGAGUCUGUCAGAUGAUGAUUGCUGGUCCAUUUUCAUAAAGCAUGCAUUUGAAUCUAGAGAUCUUAACGCACAUCAAAUUUCAGAAUCAUUCCGCAAGAAAGUUGUUGCCAAGUGUGGAGGCUUGGCCCUGGCAGCAAAAACACUCGGAGGCCUUCUGCGUACGACGAGGCAUGAUGCGUGGGAUGAUAUAUUAGAGAGCAAAAUAUGGGAUUUACCUCGACAAAGUGGGGUUCUCCCAGUAUUAAGAUUGAGUUACCAUCAUCUUCCUUCUCAUUUGAAAAGAUGUUUUGCUUUUUGUGCCAUCUUUCCAAAAGAUUAUGAAUUCACUGAGAAGGAGCUGACUUUCUUAUGGAUGGCUGGAGGUAUUAUUCGACAGUCAAGAAACAAUGAGCAGCUGGAAGAUUUGGGCAGCAAGUGCUUUGGUGAUCUAGUGUCGAGGUCAAUUUUUCAGCAAACAGCAAGCUCUGAUAGUUCUAAAUUUGUAAUGCAUGACCUUAUUCAUGAUCUUGCUGAAUUGGUCUCUGGAGAAACCAUAUUCAGGUUAGAGGAGGCCAAUACUCUGUCAAGAAGAUUUGAAAGGGUUCGCCAUUCUUCCUAUGCUUGUGGUGGAUGUGAUGGUAAAAAUAUGUUCGUGGUUUUCAAUGAAAUUGAACAUCUACGAACAUUCUUGCCAUUACGCUUACGCAUAAGAGGUGGCUCUAAUACUAGUUACAUAACUCGUACGGUUCUAUCUGAUUUGCUGCCGAAGUUCAAAAUGUUGAGAAUGCUAUCUUUACAAGGAUACCGUAUUGGUGAGUUACCAAUUCCAUUUGAAGAUUUGAGACUACUAAGGUUCCUCAACCUUGCUGACACUGACAUAAGAAGUUUACCUGAGUCAACAUGCAAAUUGCUGAACUUGGAAAUUUUGAUAUUAAGAAAUUGUUCCUAUUUGAUAAAGCUUCCGCAGAAAAUGAGGAAUUUGAUCAAUUUACAUCACCUCGAUAUAAGAGGUGCGAAGUUGCUGAAGGAGAUGCCAUUCGGAAUGAAAGAGUUGAAGAAGCUUCAAACAUUGUCCAAUUUCAUCGUGGGCAAGGGCGAAACUGCAUCUGGUUUGGAAGAUUUAAAAUGUUUAAACUUUCUUGGUAAUGAACUUUGCAUUGCUGGAUUAGAGAAUGUGAAUAAUCCACAGAAUGCAAGAAGAGCCGCAUUAUGCGAGAAGCUCAAUCUUGAAGCAUUGACUCUAGAAUGGGGGUCUCAAUCUGACAGUCCUCGAGAUGCAGUACCAGAAGAGAAUGUACUUGACACUCUACAGCCGCAUAAACGUAUAAAAGAGCUGGCAAUCAGACACUAUGGUGGUGCAAGAUUUCCACUUUGGAUCGGAGAUCCUUCAUUCUACGAGAUGAAGGUCCUUAAAUUGGAGAACUGUGACAAUUGUGUAUCUUUGCCGUCGCUUGGCCUGAUGAGUUCACUUAAGCACCUUGCUGUUAAAGGGCUGAAGAAACUAAAAAGCAUAGAGUCUGAGGUUUAUGGGGAGGGUUUCUCAAUGCCUUUUCCGUCACUGGAGAUUCUAAGUUUCGAGAAUUUGCCAGAAUGGGAGCAUUGGGACACCGAGAUCAAAGGAAAUGCGCCUGUUGAUUUAUUUCCUCGUCUCCAAGAACUUUCCAUUGCAGAAUGUCCCAAACUCUCUGGACAACUGCCUGAGCUCCUGCCUUCCUUGAAGACACUUGUUGUUAGUAAAUGUGAAAAGUUGGUAGUUCCAUUGUCUUGCUAUCCAAUGCUUUGCAGAUUAGAAGUUGAUGAGUGCAAAGAACUAGUCUGCCGGACUCCGAUUGAUUUUAAGUUGAUAAAGUCCAUGACUAUUUCAAAUAGUUCAUUAGACAUGAAUGGACGCAAGGGGAUGUUAUACGAUGGUCCAGCUGGCUCUUCACUGCCAAACCCCAUGACUACUACAAAUGUUUUAGAGUUUGGAAAAUUAUUGAAGCCUGGAUUUCAGAUAUUCGAAACUUUGGUAAUUGGCAAUUCUGAACAGCUCAAGUUAUGGAGGCAGCAUGGGGAUUUUCCGAAAAAAUACAUGGUCACUGACCAUGGGUUCAAGAAACCAGUACGAGGGCUGAAUAUGCUCGCUUCCCCUGAAGAGGUAACAAUUGAAGAAAGUUGCGUACGUCUUGUUUUGAUUCCAGAGAUCAAUUUCCUUCUCAGAAAUCUGCGCUCUCUUAUAAUUAACAACAGCACUGCUUUCAAAUCCUUACCCGAGGAAAUGAUGGAAAACAAUUCACAACUCGAAAGAUUGUAUAUCAGAGAUUGCGACUCUCUAAUAUUCAUCGCAAGACGGAGGCUACCAGCAUCUCUUAAAAGGUUUGAGAUAGGAAAUUGUGAGAAAUUGCAACGUCUGUUCGAUGAUGAAGAGGAUGCUUCUUCUUCUUCUUCUCCUUCAUCCUCGUCUUCCCCAGUGAUGCUGCAACACCUGAGUAUAGAGAACUGCCCAGAGCUCACCAGUUUAUCAUCGGGUGUCCAAUUCCUUGAGGCGCUUGAAGACCUCGUGAUACAGCAGUGUCGAAAGCUGGAGUCAAUACCGGAUGGCCUGCCCAAUCUUAAAUGUUUACAGAGCAUUAAUAUACGGGAAUGUCCAAGUCUUGUUUCCUUAACAGAAAGAGGGCUUCCCAACACCAUUUCAUUUGUUUACAUUUGCAGAUGUGACAAGCUCGAAGCCUUGCCCAAUGAUUUGCACAAACUCAGCUCUCUUCGAGAAUUAUUCAUACAGCUCUGUCCAAAUCUUGUAUCGUUUCCAGAAGAAGGUUUUCCUACCAAUCUAACAACACUUGUAAUUGGAGAUUUCAAAAUGUAUAAGACACUCGUCCAGUGGGGGUUGCACAGGCUUACCUCUCUUAAACGCCUCUGGAUUGCUGUACGUGAUGAUGAAGCAGAGUGUUUUCCAGACGAGGAGAUAGGAAUGACGCUGCCCACCUCUCUCACUGAUCUGCACCUUUUUGAUUUCGAAAAAUUGAUAUCUCUGUCUGCGACGGGUUUUCAGAGUCUCACCUCUCUUCAGAGUUUGUGGAUCGGGAAUUGCCCGAAUCUCACAUCAUUUCCAGAGGUGGGCCUUCCAUCCUCACUUUUGGGCUUAGACAUUAGAUAUUGUCCAAAGCUUAAAACAGCGUGCAAAAGAGAUGAAGGAAAAGAGUGGUCCAAAAUUGCUCACAUCCCUCACGUUGAGAUAGACGGUAAAUUCAUAUACGAUCCAGAAGCAGAGGAGUAGGUUCUACUAUUAAGGUCAGUUGAUUUGUAUUAUCCGCUAUAACAAGCUCCUCCUUUUUUAUUUUUUUUAAAAAUAAUAAUUUUGCAGUCACUCACGUGAUUCCGUUUUCACAAGUCAGAUUGUAUGUUGAGGCUAUUUGCCUUUUAAUCGCAGAUUAAAUUAUAACACUUAUCUUAAAAUUUAAUACCAUACACAGAUAGACGAUUUUUUAAUCCAAAGUUUUUUUUAUUCACUUCAGUUAGCAUUUUUUUUUUCCCCAAAUCAUGCAAGCCGAGAGUUUCAAUCAAGAAUUGGAGGAUGUGAAUGGGAUUUUUGUGAAAGAGUAACAUAAUGGAUGAACGAACAUUUCAUAUGUGAUCUCAAAGUCAACAGAAUUUUAUUCACUCGUUGACUUUUCAACUGCUGUGGUUAUUUAUGGGUGAAAGAUAAGGGCAAUUACAAAAAAUUUGCAAAAUUUGUCAAUUUCUUAGAUGGUAGAAAUUGGAGUAUAAUAUUUUGGAGCAAGCAUACUUGAAAUUUCUGUCUUCAAUAUUUUGAUGCUUUCUUAUCCCAUGCACAAAAGUACUAGAAAAAACUAAUAACAACUAACCGAAAAUCCCAGGCGUCAUAUUCCUUUUUACCGCGUUUUAAAAUGCACAACAAUGAUAUUCUUACAAAUUUGCAAAAUUUGUCAAUUUCUUAGAUUUCAGAUAUUUUAAUGCUUUUUUUAAUUUUUGAUCUAGUAAAAAUACAUAGCCUUCACCGGCAGGAUUCUAGUCUUGGCUUUCACCUCUCUAACUCAUCUGUUCCCAUUGGGAUUCCAGAAGCUAGAAAAAUGUGUAGUUUUCAGAUAAGGAGGCUUGUCAGUUCUCUAGUAAGAAUCCAAUGAUUUGCUUUUGAACGUCCAUCUAAUUUGUGGAUCCUUGCAUCAGAAUUUGAUCAAUCCAAAAGGAAUUGCUUUUAGACAGAAGAAGAAUAGCAGCACCUAGCCUACCCGCAAACCUGAAACUAUUAGAUUGAGGUAAAAAAAUCAUUGACCCUCACAUGUUAACUUCUUCUAGUUACUUUCGUUGGGAAAAAAAAAAACAUUUAAGGAAUUUGCAAUUUGUUGUUAGUUAUGGUAUCUGAUGUUCUUUUCUGCUUUAGCAUUUGUAGAAUCUACUGUAUUAUGUGUUGGCAGUUGCCGUAUCUGAGGUAACUUGCCUUUAUUUGUUUGCUUCUGACUUAAGGACACCAACAUUUGCCAGAGAUUUAGAGAAUCAUCUCAAAACACUUAGCAAACUUGACAAACUUCAAGAUGCACUUGCCCCCACGCCUUAUUCUCAACAACGCAAAACUUGUGAGUACACCUAUGCCUGCAAUUAUUGUGAAGUGUUCGCAAUUCUGAUGCAGAGAAAUGGUUUCUUGAUGCAAAGUAUUAAACUGUUAAGAUUUAUCCUGCAGGCUUGUUAGAUGCUGGAUACGCGAAAAGCCAACAACAUCAAGAACUGCAACUCCAAGACCAGCUUUGCGUUAAUUCAGUCAGCUGUAAUAAUGAUGCAAAUGACACUAUAUCAAGCUGGACUUAGAGACUAGUCAGAUAAAUCAUCCAUUUCAUCAACGGUUAAUGUCAUGAUGGUGGCUAUCAGAGGAAACAAAAGAUGUGUCGGAAUCUAUACAAACAUUGAGAAGCAUGAGAGGAGCUUUGAUUUUGAGUAGGGUCAAUGAACUCAUAUUGGUAAGUGGUAAUUAAAGAAACUUUGUAAGCUUAGUAGAGUUUCAGUAUUUUCUGUUUGGAGUAUAGUUGAUAAGUUGACUCUGUUUAAGAAGCCCGAUUAUAGUAGCUGACUGUAUUAACCUUUUUUUUUUUUUUUUUGGGUCUGCUGUUGUUUUUGGUUUCGAUUAUUUUUUCAACAUUGGGUUGAUCUGUUGAAGAACAAGCUUGGGUUUGAUUAUGCUUUAACUACAAGGAAGAGCCAGACUUGGAUGCAGGCGUUAAGCUUUUAAUGGGUAAGAACAAAUGAAUGCUUUAACUAUGUUUCUCACUUAUUAAAAUGCACGGAUUGAAGGCAUCUGGGUUGAUCCUGACAAUGUGAUGGAAAUACUUCUCUGUUUUCAUAUAACAGGACAAAUAGAGAUCUCUGAUCAUGCCUGAAUUUUUGUUGCAUUGAAAUUUCUACCAUUAUCAAACAUAGAAUGAACUAGGGAUACAUUAGCUUAAGACUAAAUUUUGAGAAGGAAGUUUGUACUUGCAGCCUAUAAAAUCAUGUCCAUGUUGUACGUUUCUUUGGGAAAUGAAAGAUUCUGUGUGUUCUUUUAUUUCAAGUUCACUGAAAUCACAUUUGUUUUCUCAGCUGCUUUCCAGAAGGUAACAACAUCAAUUUCAAAAAUGCUGGGGCAAGAUGUAUCAUGCAGUGCGACUCAACUUGAGAAUUCCUGGCCACAUUACCCGUAUGUCUAAUGAUCGCACAGUACAACCUUGAGAAGCUUGUAAUGAGUACACAACUGGGUGCAAGUAGUUUUGAAAUGAAUUUGCCUCAAAUGAUUUCUUGCCGGUGAUUAAUAUAACCUCUAUUCCAAAAUUCUUGGAACUGGUCAUACUAGCAAUGAAGGAUUGCAUACAUUGAAGACAUAGCUGAAGGCCUUGCGAGAGCUCUGUCAGCCCUUGUACCGGAAAACAGCUGGUCGUAGUCGCUUGUGAAUGAUAUGAUUAAUAGAUACUGCAAAAAUGAAUUGUGCCAUACAUUUUCAGCGCUCUGUGAAGAUGUCUUGGUCAUUUGUUUGAUGCUUGUUUGAUUUAUGUUGUAUUCAGCCAUAAAUCAGAGAUUCAGAACUUGGGUAUGUUUCUGGUUUCCAAAUCAAAAAAUUGCCUUGUGAUGUUAGUGUUCACUGUUUUCACAGGAGAUCAGGUUCCUUGUUAAUGAAUCAAGAAGAAGGCAAGCGCAUCCAUGUCCAAGUUCAAAUGUGUCUCCUCUAUUUUCUAUUACCCACUCAUUUAUUUUGAUUUCUUCAUUGUAAUUGAAUUAGUUUUUUAUUCCAAAUUAGUCAAAACCUCGUAGAGUCAUUAAGUUCUUUUAGCAUUUAAAGACAGAACUACGAACCAAAUGAUUUAAGUUCUUCGUUGUAAUUGAAUUUGCUUUCCCAUCUUUAAAGAUAUUAUGUUCUUUUUCACUUUUUCGAUUUGGUUAGUGGUGAUUUCUUAAAGACUCAAUCCAUUUGCGUUAAUACAUUUUUCUUUUGCCUUGAUUUCUGUUUCUUGGGGAGUUUAUACAUAUUCUUAUUUUAUGCUACACAUGCCAUAUACAGAUUCUUAUUUUAUGCUUCACAUGCCACAUGAAAGGUCAAAGCCUUGUGUGUGAUUAGAAUUUACUGGCAUCAUAGUAACUUUAAACCAUUGUGACGUUUUAGUAAUAACAGUCUGAGCUCUCCCUGAAGGAUUCAAAGCAUUUUAUUUUAUAUUAUACUCCUUUAUAUGGUUUGGCUGGUCUCUUUUAAGGCAAUUCCUGUUUAAAGUAAUCAAAAUUUUGAUUUCGAAGUGUCUUUCAACACUACCGCUAGUUCUUUAAGAAAAGUAAAUCGAUUUUGAGUCUUCUGUAUCAUCUGAUUGAAAUACAUGAAAGCACUCUUAGCUGCAAAAGUACACUUGGAGUUAUAAUAGCAUUCUGAAAUCUCCUUGAAGGAUUCAAAAGCUCUUUAUUUGCUAGUCUUUGCUUGCAAUAAACUCCUUUAAUAUACAUUGGUUGAUCUUCUUUAAAGCAAUUACCAUAAGUUCUUUAAAUAAUAAAACGAUUUUGAGUCUUCUGUAUCAUCUUGUUGAAAUACAUGAAAGCACUCUUGGCUGCAAAAAUGCACUUGGGGUUAUAUAUAAAGUCUUCAACAGAAUUUUAUUUCCCCCUUUAUCCUCAUGGUGGUUUUUUUAGUUGUUUUUUAAGAAAUCGCUUGAAGGUUCUCUUUAAAAAUAAUUUUAACAUAAGCAUUCUUUAGAAGCACUUUAGAUGUCUGGCAUUUAGAAAAUUUUGUUCCUGUGUUCACAUAAUAUAAUAUAUAUAUAGAAAGCUGACUGUAGAAUAGAGGAGAACGAGUUGGUGUUGGUCUGAACUCUGAUCUUUGAACCUCAUGUGACUCCACUACUUUUUACUUGUUCUGUACAAGGUCUUUUAGCUUUUCAAAAAGUUUUAGCUUUAUGGAUAAAAUACUGUUAAUUGUAAUCUAUAAAUAAUGAAAGGAAUUAAUAAAAUAUUAGGUAAAUUUUAUUUUCUAAAGUGUUAUGAGUUCUAAAACGGCUGUAUGUAUAUAAAUUUAUUUACACAUAUAUUUAUAAAUAUGAUUAUAUAAUAAUAUUUUAUGUGUACAUAUCAUAAUUGAUAACUAAAAUAAAUAUUUUUAUUUUAUUAAUGGUUUUUUCGUCUCAAUGUAGUUGGUAAUAAUAAUCUCUUUAGAUGUAACGAUUUUAUUUCCUAACUGAAUAAGGAAAAUUUUAGAUUUUUAUAAUAAAUGUUAAAUAUAUUUAGAAUUACAUUAAGUAUGAAAUAAUCCUCAAAAUUAGAUUUUGAAAAGUUAUUCUUUUCUUGCUUUUAAAAAUAUGUCAUAUGAUGAGAUGAUUUUACUAAAAGUGAUUUUUUUAAAAAAAAUUACUAAACAUCAAAAUUAACUCUUAACUUUUUAAAAUCAUUUCUAAUCUUCUCAUCCUAAGUUCUUUAUUGUUUUGUACAAAAUCCAAGGUUUUGACUUUUAUAAAAUGCCCACUCAAAAAUAAAUUAUUUUCUAAUUAAGAUUUGUUGUUAAUGUAUAACUCGAAGUAAUAUUAGAUAUUUGUAAUUUUAUUUCAAAAAUUUUAUUCAAAUGAUAUGGCAAGCAAUGAACAAUAGUUGAUAGCAAUUUGUUUUUUUUUUUAACAAUGUUCAAAUCAAUCAGUUGCAUUAUCUCACCAUUUUUAUGAUGUCAUGUUAUUUUAAAUGAUUUUUUUAAUUUUUAUAUAAAGCAUACGACGUGUUAACAUCAUUUGCAUAACUUGACCUUUUUUUUUUCCUACAAAUAGUAAGUCAAAUUUACUCACCCUAUUUGUACCUAAAAUCUACCUAAAACUCAUGCAUCACUGUAAAGCAAAUCCAAAGAUUGCGGUACGUUUUUCUUGGUAAGAAAUCAAUAAUUAGGUCAAGUACCGCUACUAAGCGUGCUCAAUUAAUUCUAAAAUACGGUGAUCAAACUCAUACUUCACGCAAGAGGAUAAGGGCUAAACCUCAAUUAGGCAUUAUUCAUCCAAAAUUCAUUGACUGGGCAUUCUUUGCAAGUGGUAGCAUGGGACAGCUAAGAUAAUUAGCAAAUGAUAUGGACCAUACGCACCCGUAUGUUUGUGACAUGUGAAUCUUGGCAUUAAAGGAAAGGUAAUGUGUUAAAAUUUAAUAGAGCCCAACUCUUCAUUGAAUGAUUAUCAGAUCCAACGAGCAUCCUUUGAUGGGAUUAUUUUAAGUCAAUUAUUGGUGGAUUGGGGCCCACUUGACUCUACCAAAUCGGGCUCCACCAUAUCACCUAUUAACGACCACCUGUCCUUAUCAUAAAUAGCAAAUGUCACUUGUUUUAUUUUGUAUUUUACCAAAAGCAAAGUCACUACGAGCACUAAUGAAAGUGACCCCAAUUUUGGGGGUCAUGAACUUGGGAUUAUUAUGGACACAAGAGACAAGCGCAAUGUUUCUCAUUUCUCACUAGAUAAGAUUUAAGUUAUCAACCCAAUAUUAAUAAAUUCUGCUUGAAAAGUAAAGUUUGAAGCUUCAUUUUGCGAAUAUUCAAUGGUUAACAUUUAAGGGUGCGUUUGGGAUUGAGGUUGGGCAGCUGUAGCUUAAAAGCUACAGUACUAAAGUGUUUGGUAAACACUAGCUACUGUAGCUUUUAAGCUAUGUUGAUAUAAUUUUUCACUUGUAUAAUAUAAAAUUUAUUAUAUCUUUAAUAAUUUUGAUAAAAUUAUUAUUUAAAAUUUAUAUUUACUAUAUAUUAUUAACUUUUAUUUCAUAAUUACAGCUUUUUUUUCACAGCAGCUGUAGCUUAAAAGCUACAGCACCUCAAUCCCAAACACACCCUAAGUAAUUAACCUGAUAUUAAUCCAAUUAAACUUUUUAUGUAAUCCAAGUCAAACAUAUAUUGAUAAACCUAAAUUAAUCUAAUUGGACAUAUUAUUUCAACUUGAAAAGGUGAAUCUAUCAUUUUUCAAUUAAUUUUGAAUCAAGCUAUGUAAAAUAUAAGCUUAUUAAGGACAUAUUUGAAAAAUUCAAAUUGAAUUAUUUGACAAUUACAUUUCAACUAAGUUGUACUGCUAAUUAACUUCCUCAACUUAAAAUGUAUUUUUCUCAAUUAAUUCGUAACAAAGAAUGUUAGAUGUUUUGUUCGAAUAAUAACAUUCAACAUCCUUAUUCUUUAUGAUUAUUGCAUAAAAAAUAUAUUUUAUCCAUUUACGUCACAUAUGUUCCUAAAUUGUAUAAGAAAAUCACUAAAUUUACUCUUGUAAGUUACUAUAUCAAUGAACAUGAAAUUAACUAAUCAUUAAAGUCUCGGAAUGACAUCAUGAGGGGGAUUCAGUUACAUUUAUUGAUAGGAUUAUAUAUAUACCUUCUCAAAUAUUAGUAAGAGCAAUUAAACAGAUGCAGCAAUUAAAAAUAUGGAAUUACUUAUCUCGUCAAUAACUAACGAUAUUUUUUAUCUAUGCUCGAUAGGCGUCUGAGCUAUAUUAUAAAUUGUAAUAUUUGUAGAUUGUAACAAUUAUUAAAAAAAAAAAAAAAAGCUCCCUAAGACUAAAUGACAAAAGGACUGUUUUGAAAUAGAUAGAUAAAAUAUGCCCUUAUUUGAGAAAAGGUAAAACACUAGGGAUCUAAAUGUUAUUAUAAUCCCAUGCACAAAAAUACCAGAAAAAACUAAUAACAACUAACCGAAAAUCCCAGGCGUCAUAUUCCUUUUUACCGCGUUUUAAAAUGCAACAAUGAUAUCACUACUACAAAAAUGACAUUUACUGACACUUUGUUUCUGACACUUAGUAAAAAGUGUCAGAAAUGGUGUACAUUUGGACCAUUUUCCUCCUUUAACAAGUAUGUAUCAUAAAUCAUUGAUACUAAGGUGUCAGUAGCUUAAAACUCAGUGAUUAUUGAUACUAAAGCAUCAGUGAUAAAAAAAUAAUAGUAUUAAUUUUGUUUUAAUUUGAACUCGAACUCAAGAUCUCUAAACUUAAAAUUUGUAAGUUUAGAGUGCAAACCAUUGAUGCAAGUGUUUUUAAAUUUUCAAUUUGAUUAAUUUUUUUAUUUAAUUAAAUUUUAUACAAUUACUUUGUGGACAAUAAUAAUAAUAAUAAUAGUUUUGAGAAUAAUAUUUUUUAUUUUGCCACAUGUCAGCUUGUAAUUCGUUGUUAAUAAUAAUAAUUUUACUUGACCACGUGUCGACUUAUAGUUUGUUGUUUUAUUAAAUUACAAUGCGAACAACUACACUAUAUAAUUUUUCAAAGUAUAAAAUGAAAAUAAGAAACCCUAAAUCUAACCUAAUCAAACACACCACUUCUUAAGUUGCUGCCGCCGCUCCCCUGCUCCUUGACUUUCACUGCUGCCGGCCGCUGCUCCUCGACUUUCACUGCUGUCGGCUGUCGUUCCUUGACGUCACUGCCGCCUUUGCUCUGCUGUUGCCAAGCUUCAGCCACCGACGACUAGCUAGCCACCUUUCAGUACGUCGCUGCUACCACUUUUAUGCCGUCACAUCAACUUCAGCUCAGCCAGCCACCGUUCCUUUACCGCCGAGAUCAAGAACCAUUUCUUUCUCUUCUCUCUUUUGGUACAGGUAUGAAAAUAUUGCAGAGGAGUUAAUCUGUUAAUUACCUUUCUGUACGUCGCUGCUGUCAUUCGUGUACGUCAUUGCUGCUACUCAUCUUGGUCACUGCUGCCGCUCCUCUGCCGCCACGACAAGCUUCAGCCUUUUUGACAAAACAUUUCACUUGGAAUUAUAAGCAAACCCUUUUGAGACCAUAAAAAACUAAGCCAAUUUCUUUGGUUUCAAGGCCUUGUUUUUUCACUUUGAAAUCGGAUCAUACAAUGACAAGCCAAUUGAAAACUUCUGUUCAAGAUUUCAUUGUUAAAUUCAGCUUUAUUUUUAUUAUUUGUGUUCCUUUCAUUUUCUUUCCCUUUUUUUGAUUUUUAAUUCAAUUUGGGAUUUGACAGAUAUAUUUUUUAAUUUUUAUAAAAAUUUAUCUUAUUUGCAGGAUGCUAAGGGACAGGAUGUUGAUCUUAGCAUCUACAAGGGAAAGGUUCUUUUGAUUGUCAAUCUUGCAUCACAAUGGUGUGCCUCAGCUCCUUUCAUUUUUAAUUUUUUUUCCAUAAUGAUUUAUUGAUUAUUGUUGAUGCUUCCAUUUAAUUAAUGCUAAUACGUGUUAUCUAUCUAUCGGGAGUCUAAAUUUUAUAGAAUUAUAUCAUACUCGGAAGUAUGCAUGCUCCCAAUACAAAUAAGUGUUUAUAAGAGAGGAUUUCACCCAAAAUCUUUAAUUCUUGCAAAAUGCUAGUGGCUCCGUUUGCACAAGUUUAGUUUUCAUCCAUGUUCGUUCCUUUACCAUAGCGGUUCCUUUACCACUGAGGUCAGACACCAUUUCUUUCUCUUCUCUGUUUUGGCACAGGUAUGAAAAUACUACAGAGAAGUUUCUCUAUUAAUUACCUUUUAUGAAAAUAAUAUAUAUAUAUUAUUCACAUGUUUAAUUGAGAACAUCUAAUAAUAUAGUAAUAAUAUAGUGGGCAAACUAUAGGAAGGUUGUUAGUAGACAAUUCUAAUUUUAGCUUUACUUUGCAAAUGAAAGAUUAGAAAUAUUCCGUCGAACCCAUUUUACUAUAUUGGAGGUUUGGGCUAAUCUUGUAUAGAUUUUUGCUCAGAAGAAGGAUGGUUCUCCAAGGGCGGUGGGUUGGUUUUUCUAUAGACUAUUCCCCUAUUUUCCCAUUUUGCUUUUCUUUGAGGAAACCUGGUCCAUUUUUUUUGUGUUUUCUUUCUUCAAUCAAAUAUGUAUUUCUCAAUCUCCUCUCAAAAAAUACCUAUCUCAUUUUAUUAUAUGUUUAUGAAUUACUAAUUGUAUUUUGUUAGUAUUCCAUGUUCGAAGAAGAAUAUUAGAUUGAAGAAAGAAGAAUAUUAGAUUGAAGAAAGAAGAAGUUGUUCCUUUGCUAAUCGUUUGAAACCCAGGUUUGCACUGAAUCUGAUUUUUAUCUUUAACUUUUUUACUUGACCCAUACUUGAAUCAAAUUUUUGCUCCACUUUCCUUUCUUUCGUCAAUUUAAUUAUCAAUCCACUUCAAACCUAAAAAGAUUUAGUAAUUGGGAAACCCUUUUUUUUUUAAAGAAUUGCAAAGUACUGUAAUUGGAAACUGGGUUCAUGUCUUAAAAAGUAACCUGAUUUGUAAUGUUUGGCUUAUAGUGGCCUUCUAUUUCUGUUUUUCAUCUCGGCUUGGUUAAUUUCUUUACUAGUCGUUUAAAUUUUGUUAAUUUUUAUUUUUCCUCUUUAAGCUCAUUAAAUAUCUUUUUUUUUUCAAUUUAUGGCUUUCGGUCCAACUGAUCAUCGUUGAAUGUGGGCACUAUAAAUGUUAUAGUGCUUGUUAACUUAAUGUAUUUGAUCAUAUAUUAUAGUAUUGUUUACUUUAAAUUUAGACAAUGAAAUAGAUUACAAAAAAAAUAACUUAUGCUUGUCAAGUUGUAGACACCAUCGUUCAUGUCAUCAUUACUGAAUAUUGAUGUACUUAUUAAGUGUUCUCUUUAAUACUUGAUAGAAUACUUUUGGUGAAGCAAUUUUGGUAUCAUGAUUGCAGGCUGUAAUUAACUUGGGAACGUGUAGAUUCUACAAUUUCUUUUUCUGAUUCCUUAACUUGCUUCUUUUAAUCCUACUCUUCUAUGUUGAAGUAAUUUAUGAAUAUUUUUGCUUCAAAAUAACUAAGAUAUAUUUUUCACAGUAUACUAAUUGAUUUUAUGCAUUUGUAGGUGGGAAAAAAAUGAAGCCGUGGAUGGAUAUUGAGUGACCUUGUGCUUUUUUUUUUUUUUUUUUGGGUUGGAAACUUAAUUGAGUAGUAGUUAGCACUUGUUGUUUAGAGAUUGUUGAAAAUUUAAUUUGAUACUUAUGUUAAGUCUUUUACAUAUAGUGAUGUAGUUGAAUUGUGUGAAUUUAUGUGAUGUAUUUGAGAUGUUUAUUAUAUGAAUUGUGUUGCAAGAUAUUUAAUAAUAAAUAUAUUUCGUGUUUUCUUUUGGUUGUACAACAAACACGAAAAAUAUAAUUAAAAUAAAAAUAUACUAUUAACCAAAAGCAGUAUAACAUUACUAAAUACUGACACUACAUAUUUAAAAUAACAAUAAGAAUUUUUUAUAUUAUCGAGUCAGUUUCUGAUACUAUAGUCACAUAAAUUACUGACAUGUAAAUAGUAUCAUUAAAUACCAACAUCAUCGUGUCAUUAUUUUAGUGAUACUAUAGUGAAACAAAUUACUGACACAAAAAUUACUGACACCAAAAAUUAGUGUCAGUGUGUUCUGGCUUGAGCAACACUGACACAAUUAACAAGUGUCAAUAAAAGUAAUUACUGACGCUAAAUUAGUGUCAGUAAAACUCAUUUUUCUAGUAGUGUAUUCUCACAAAAGUUGGUACAAAGGUUUGUACAACCAGGGCCUCUUUGUAAAUUAUUUCAAAGUUUUGUGUUAUUUUUUAAAUUUAUGAAUUUUGUUAAUUUUGAUUGAUUGGAGCAUUUCUCCUUCCAUCUCUUCUACAUCUAUCUUUAAAUUUCUUUAAAAUUUUGACUAUAUCUUUAUAGAGUUCUAAAUGAUUAUCUUUUUCAUAAAAAUCUAUACUUAAAUUAAUCCCUGAAUUUAUAAUCAUUUGUCUUCUUUGAGUCAUAGACCAAAUUUUUUCUUCUAACAUAUCUAUAUAUACUCCUAAGCUAUCUUUGCAGCUUAGAUACAUUCUAUCAAAGCUUUCGCAUAUAAAUUGUAAUUUGAGAUCUGCAUCUUGAAUCAACAUGUCUAUAUUAUCCAUUGUUUUACGCUCGAUUUUGAGUUCUAUUAUUAGUCUUGCACAUGUCUUGGAUUAUUUCGAGGGUAGUUAAAAUUGAUUCUAUUAAUGCUAUCCUGUUUUCUUCUUCAAAAGAAUCAAAUAUUUCUGAAUCAUUAAUUUCUUUUAUUUCUUCAUACAAGCGUUUGUUUGUCGCUAAUCUUGUUUUAAUCAAGGAAACUGUAUAAGCAGCUUGAUAUUCUUGACAAAAGUCUAAAUGAUCUAUUGCAUCUAGAAAUUUAUUAAUAGAUCUUUCCAUUUUUAAGAAAUUGAGUUACUCUUAUCACUUCCAAUCUUUUAACAUCUCAGAAAACAAACAAGGCCCAACAUGCUUCCGUUUGUAGCUAAAAUAAAAGAAGAGUUCAUAUCACUAACCAGUGUAAUAUCUCUCGGAAUUCUGAGAUAGACUCACUAAUUGCCUCUAACCAUAGAGAGGUCCAUGGUUAGCACCACUAUAGCUCCACAUAUCAUACAAAAUCACUUCAACGACUGUUCCAUAUGGCCCAAAGCAACACACAGCAGACUGGCCUAAUAGGAUAUGUUUAAGUGAUUUUCUUGCAGUUGUCUCUGGAAGAGUGCUUAGUAAUAGAAAAUCUUCUUCGUUUAGUACAAGUAUUGGCAUGUAAGGUUCUUGGUUAAUUUUUAAAAGAUGUAUAAGAUAUCUAGAAGAUGAUAAUUUCACUCAAAAGAGUUUUAUUUAUUCCAUCAUUGAAAUUGUUUACAGAGGAAGGUUACAGAGAAUACAGAGGUAAUUGAAGGUUAGACAUCUGAUAUAUUUCCUUUCUUACAUGCUUUCAUUUAUAUAUCUCUCUAGAGAUAAGAUUAUUUCUUUUACAUAACACAUGUUCGAUCCUUGUGGUGGAAUCUCAAUUUCCUUUUGAUAAGGUGACCCCUUCUUUAUCAUUGAAGCUAGUAGUUGUCUUCUUUUCAUGUUGGCAGACAUGAAAUAUCUGGUUCUGGUGAGCUUUUUCUUUUUUGGAAUCUGUCUUUUUGAAUUAUUGAUACUUUUUGGAUAGCACCUUUUAUCUUUUUCAGUGGUCCUCGUCACGUGCCAAUUAUCAGAUCUUCAUCUAUAGACAUGUCUUCCCCACUAGAAUCUCUUUUUUUGAUCCUUCGUAGUAGUAGCCACAUGAUGAUUGAUGCUUUAGCACCUUAUAUAUCUCGUGGUGUGUUAGCAAGGUGGAUUCCACGAGAUUUUCGAAUAUGCCCUUUUUCUUUUCUAAUAUGUUAUCCUCAUCUUUAUCAAAUUCACAUUUACAAUAUAAUUCUUUGAAGCUACAUGUAUAUUCUUCUAAAUAACAUAUAUUACAUAUUUCAAGCCUUGUUAGCUUCAUUAAAUUUUCUAUCUGUUUUCUUUUUAUUUCUUGUUGAAAAUCAAUUUCCUAAUCUUCUCCCAAGAAUUUUUUUCUUAUUUCAUUUUUGAAUCUAUUUAAAACCUGAUCAACACUUUCGUUUCGAUUAUUAUUUUCUCCAUACAAUAUUCUAUUUUUAUGGUUAUCAUUUAAUCCCAUAAACCAAUGAGAAACAAUUCCUAUAAACGAAAUUUUAAGGAAUUCUAUACUAUUAUCCCUAUCAAUUUUGUGAAAUGCAAAAGCCAUUUUCAUAGAUUUAACCCAAGCGGUAAUCGUUUUAUCUCUAUCUUUGAUACAGUCUAAAUCUAACCAUACACCAUCAUGGUUGAUUGGUCUUUCUCUAUAUUCUCCUGGAGUUUUAUAAUCUUUUUUAGGCUUGUUAAUCCUAAAAUAUUGACCUUGUAAUCUUUCCUGAGUUGGUAUUUCUUCCCUAACAUAGGAAGCUCCAUUACUAGUUUCUCCUUGUUAAAAACCAUUUGGCUUUGAUUCAUUCAUUUUUAGAUGUUCUAUUCUAUUUUCAAUAUCCUGCAAAUUAAUGACUAUAUCACCUUCUUCUUCGGAUUCAGAUUCUUUAUUAGAUAUCUCUUGAUUAGGUAAUUCUAUGUUUUCACUUAGCAUUCUUAGACUUAUUAAUUUUUUGUCUUUGUUUAUUUUGUUAAAUAUCGGUUUAGAUAUUGUUAUCAUUUCUUUAUCUUUAAGUUCAUUAUAGUAAAUUAUGGUAUCUUGUAAAAUUUUGUUUUGUUUAUUGAUCUUCUGUACUUCAAUCCUUUUGUAAUUUUCCAUUUAUGCUUAUAGCGAAUUUAUUACCAAGUUGUUCAACAAUUUUUUCAAAUUUUUGUAGUUGGAUUUCAAUCUUGUUUGAAUUUAUUUUCAAUUGAACUUUUGUUCAUAAUAUUAAAGAUUUCUUGUUUUAAUCUAUCUUGAUCUUCAAUAUUAAAGUCUUUUAUUAAUAGCUUAACAAAAUCAAAUUCUUCACUCAUUCGCUCUCCUAUCAUUUUGACUUGUCUUAUAUUUUCAGCAUCAAAGCUUUUAAUCUCAAGUAUCUCAUUUAUACUUUCUAUAUCAUCUAUGGUUAAAUUAGGGUUUCCUAAUUUAUUUAAUAAAUAUAAUGAAAUCCAAUUUAAUUGAUUAUUUCCCCACAUAUCGGAAUCAUUUACUAAAUCAAAUGGUUGAAAUCUUCCAUAAGUAAAUCCUCUAUGCCUAUAGCUAGAAGGUGGUAAUAUGUUGGUUUCAAUAUUUUGAGAAAUUAACAAUGGUUUUGGUAAUUUAUUCAUAGUACCAUCUGCAUAAUAUCUCAUUAUAUUCUAAUAAGUAUUUAUGACAUAUAAUAUUUCUUAUAUCCUUAGGGAUAUUGUUUUAUGUUAAUCCUUUAUGUAUAUAGCAAAGUUUAUACAUAAUUAAAUCUUUAUAUCCUAUUAGCAUGUUGCUAGAAGGAUAAUAUUUACUUCUGAUUCUUUUAUUUUUCCAAUUGUAUUCACCUCGUUGUUUAACAUUUAAAAAUCCGUUGUAAUCUAUUAUAAGAUCAUCUACAUAAUCUUCAAUAGAGUUAAUAUUCCAUUGUUUCCAUGAAAAAUUAUUUCUAUAUACUUCUCUCCUGAUCCUAAAGAGAAGAAUAGGAUCAAUAUUUAAAUUUCUAAUUUUUAUUAUGAUGAGUUCUCCAAUUUUAAAUUCAUGAACUCUAACUAAAUAAAACUGUAUUAAUUGUUUAUCAUCCAAUAUAUUAACUUCUGAAUAAUAAUAUUGUUUAUGUUUUGUUAUAUUAUCUUUAAUUGUAUUUCUAUCUAUCAUUAAAUUAUAUCUUCCAUUAUUAAUGGAAUAAAUAACUGUUUCGUCUAUUUUUAUAUUUUAAACCAAAAACUUGGCUCUAAUACCGUUUUGCAGAAAUCAACUAAACCCAAAAUCCAAAUGAAUUCAAAUAGGGAUGUAUAUGAUUAAUUGUUAAGAUUUUAUCUAAAUUUUGUAAUUAUAAUUUUUCAAAACUCACAGUUUUGUGCAAUCAUUUGUGUAAUCCGUUGUGAGAAUGUCUUUUUCCUUGCAUCUAAGGCAACAAAGUGGAAAACGCGUACCAACGACUCACAUAACAAUAUAACAUCUGUCCCGGAUGGAGCCGGUUGUUCAUGUCAGCAACCUACUUUGAAACGACACGUGGACCGCAAUUUGUUCUUGUUCUCAACGUUGCUAUGAAAGAAAGCAUUUUUUUCCCCUUUUCUUCUUCAUUUUUUAAAGAAAUAUUUUACUAUAUAUUUAAAAAAAAAAAUCGUUGCAAUCUGAAGAUAUUAAAUUGUGGAUCUUGUAUUGUGUGAUAAGUCCGGCAUGCAAUUUUGGGCCAGCAUACCGCGCGCAUGGGAGCAUUCACAAAGAAUCUCUCGUCACUAUCGAAAACUUUUAAUAGUCAAUACAAAUGCUUCCGUUUCAUCCCAUAAACAGAUAAAAUUCACAUCUGUACACAUCUACUUUUCUUUGCUAGAUAGAGUUCCUCUGCAUUUCCCAAUUGCCUAAAGAGAAGGGGAAAAGAAAAAGAGGGCCAAAAAAUGCCUGAAAUGGUAAGGAACAAGCAAGUGAUAUUGAAGGACUAUGUGUCUGGUUUCCCAAAAGAAACAGACAUGUACAUGACCGAAAGUUCCAUAGAAUUGAAGGUGCCAAAAGGUUCAAAUGGGGUUCUUUUAAAGAACUUGUUUGGGAGAAAUACGUCGACGAGACCAGGCAUGGUGAGCAUAUAUCUGAUGGCAGAGUUCUGCGAACCGGUGUGUUCCGUAAAAGCCUGGUGCACGGGGGAACAGGAGCAGAAGUAUCCUGCUCGUCCACGAGCACGUCAUCCGCGAGGCCAAUUUCCUGUAAGAGGCAUAAGGUCAUUCCGGCUAGAGGUCGAGAGGCGAGGAGACCCGGUCGACGGCAGUUGGCAAGACAUGCUCCCCAGCCCGAGAAUCUAGGCACGACAGCCACGCUUUCCCCAGAACCGUGGCGUAACACGCAAGAUCUCACAGAACCACGACAGCCACGCUUUCCCCAGAACCGUGGCGUAACACGCAAGAUCUCACAGAACCACGACAGCCACGCUUUCCCCAGAACCGUGGCGUAACACGCAAGAUCUCACAGAACCACGACAGCCACGCUUUCCCCAGAACCGUGGCGUAACACGCAAGAUCUCACAGAACCACGACAACCACGCUUUCCCCAGAACCGUGGCGUAACACGCAAGAUCUCACAGAACCACGACAGCCACGCUUUCCCCAGAACCGUGGCGUAACACGCAAGAUCCCACGUUUGCCCAUAACGCAGCAGUCAGAGUCCCAUACCGUCUCGGAAAAAGCGGAAAACUGGGAUUCAGGGGAAGCCUAUAAAAAGGUAGCCAACGAAGGUAAAAGGGUUGGCAUUUUUGAGAUUAUAAAAGAAAUGAAAAAAGAAGAGAAAACGACGAGAAAGCCAUAAGAUCUGUGGCAAGUGUCCCCCGAACCUUCAUAUCUGACUUGAGCGUCGGAGGGUUUGCGCCGGGAAAACAACCGGCGUACUCUGACUUGUCUGUGUGCGCAGGAACCUCUGGAGAAGAAGCCUCACGUGGAGACCUCCUGGUCGUGAAGAAGUUGAUCGGACAGAGAUCCUGGUCGUAGAACGAGGAGAACCAGAAUCCCGCAUCAACAUUUUGGCGCCGUCUGUGGGGAGUGGAGCAAAAAGCUUCUGUUGAUAGCAAGAAGAGGGGUGAAGCAAGUGAAAAGCAAUGGAGACAGGAGGAAGUAGUGCACAAGGGGGUGAUAGGAUUAACGAUUCCGUGACGCUGAGGGAGAUAGUCAGUGAAGCACGGGAAAAAGUCAUGUUCGACCGGAUGGAACGGAUAGAAAAGCAGAUGGAGACCUUGACAACCAUCCUGCAUGAGCUGCGGAGCGAGCGAAGUAUAAUCCAAGAGGGAAGGGUGAGAGGCGGUGGAGUGGCACCAGGUCCCGAUAGUGCGGGGAGAAGUCAAACCACCGGGAGAUUUGGUGGUGAGAGAGGUAACGUACCUCUGCGGGGAGAAUUUCAUAGAGAAAGAGAGCAGUCCCCGGCAAGACAGACUGGCGACGAGGACGACGGGGUGGUGAAUGCAGAGGAAACAGAGUUGAGGCAACACUUGCAUGAUGUAGAGCAAGAGCGGGAUUAAGUCGCAGCACGUGACCCUGGUCGUGCAGUGCAGCUGGAGGAGGAAGUGCGCAGACUAGCGCAGAUAAUCGACGACAUGCAAGGAAGGAACAGAGCCCCUGGUUGGAGGAUAAUGCUGGAUGGAGAAUCACCGCUCGCAGCAGAGAUCAUGAGGGCAGUUAUUCCGAGAGAUUUCCGCCUCCCAGACCUCAGAUACUCGGGAAGAACUGAUCCGUUGGUGCACAUAGAGCGCUUCAACGACAUAACUAGGGUACAAGGAUUAUCUCAAUCCCAAAGGUGCAGAGUGUUCCCACUAUCCCUUGAGGGACGUGCACGAGAAUGGUACAGGAAACUUCCUCGGGGCAGCAUUAAAACCUUCGAGCAGAUGUGCUAGGAAUUCGCGGAGCAGUUUAGUGGGGCAAUGGCGCCGGAAGAUGACAUGAUGGAGCUGAAAAGCAUGAAACAGGGGGAGCAAGAAACCCUUCGGGAAUUCAUCAAGAGGUUUCAUCGGGCUGUCCUCGACUUGGGAGCCUUCAACCACCCUCAGGCGUUAAGGGGAUUGAAAGAAGGGGUGAAGAUAGGAAGGCUGUGGUACAAUUUGAGAAGCCCAGCUAUUCAAACGUAUGCAGCCGCAUACGAACAGGCUAAGAGAGACAUCGAGAUUGAAGAGGAGAAGGCUGCACGGAUUAAGACAGACCAGUUAGAAGGGCUGGGGAGGAAAGAGAAGAAAGCAUUACCGGGGAAUGGGCCGAUCAGGAGGAGGGACCACCAGGCCUCCGGUAGUGGAGCAGGAGGUCGGGUAGCCGCUUACCAGCCUCAUCAAAGGCCACCACAGUAUCAGCGCAGCAGGGCGCAACCUCCUCGUUCCCCAGCUAGGGAGCCUUGGAAAAGGCAUGAGUCGGCAUCUGGUGGUCUCCAACAACACCCCCACGGUAUCAGAGCGAGCAGACCAGAAGUACUUCCACCGCCCCCAACUCAGAGCGGGGCAAACAGGGAAAGAGCAGUGCACCUGAUCGACCAGAACCCGGACUAUGGGCGGUACACUUCCUUGAAGAUGUCCCUGGAUGAGGUGUACGAGGCCAUAAAGGAUCGAGGGCUGCUACACCUCCCUACACCAAUAACAAAGCUACCUAACAGGAGGGAUAGAGGACGUUAUUGUAAGUUCCAUGGCACCCAUGGCCAUACCACAGCAGAGUGUAGAGAUCUCAAGACCCAGGUCGAAGAUUUGGUGAGAAAUCGGUACCUGGACGAGUUUAUGGAUGGGACUUUCCCGAUGGGGGCCACAACAGGUGAAGGGGAGCAGAGUGGCGGAAACGUGAGGCGCGAGCAGCCCGCAGUAAGGGUGAUAGCUGGGGGCCCGACAUUGGCCGGAGAUUCCAACAGAUCGAGAAAAAAUUAUGCUAGGUACGCCAUGACCAGUAAAGAGGUACUCCUCAACACCCCAGCAGCCAAACGAGCAAGGGUCAGGCAAGUGCCAAUCAUGUGGACGGAUGAGGAUGAGGAAGGGAUUCUAUACCCCCAUGAGGAUGCUUUAGUCAUCAAGGCUACUGUCGCUAGCAAGAAGUUUGACCGGAUACUGAUUGAUACAGGGAGCUCAGUUGAUGUGUUAUUUAAGUCAACCCUGGAAGAGAUGGGAAUAGCCGACCGGAAGUUGGAAUAUACCAAUACCUCCUUGAAGGGGUUCGGAGGAGGGAAGCUGGUCCCUCUGGGCGUGGUCGAGCUGCCUAUCACAAUUGGGAGCUCCCCGACAGAAAGAACAAUGAUACUGGACUUUGUCGUAGUGGAUGAGGAAGGUCCUUACCAGAUGAUCCUAGGUCGGCCAUUUUUAAGGAUGAGCAAAGCGGUGUUGUCCAAUCAUUAUCUGGCUCUGAAGUACCGGGUGAACGGGGUAGUAGGAGUGGUACGAGGAGACCAGAGGAUCGCAAGAAGCUGCUACUCCUCGGCAGCAAGGGAAGCAAUGCAGAUAACAUCCCUCGAUACCCGAGUGGAAAACAAGAAGGGCAGACAAGAACCUGUAGAGGAUCUGGAAACAGUAAGCCUGGGACCAGAGAACCCGGGAAAGAUGAUCAGAAUCGGGUCGAGACUUAAGGGAGAGCAAAAGCAGGAGUUGGUGAAAUGCUUACAGGCUCAUGCUGAUGUGUUUGCUUGGACACAUGAAGACAUGCCAGGGAUUGACCCUGAGGUAGCAUGUCAUAAGCUGGCAAUAAAGAAAGGUGCUCGGGCAGUAAGGCAGAAGAGGAGGUGUUUCAACCAGGAGAGGUAUGAGGCUAUAAAUGGCGAGGUGGAGAAGCUCUUGAGAGCAGGGUUCAUUCGGGAAGUCAGUUACCCUGAGUGGAUAUCGAAUGUGGUGUUGGUAAAGAAGGCAAACGGCAAGUGGAGGAUGUGUGUGGAUUUCACAGACCUCAAUAAGGCGUGCCCAAAAGACAGCUUCCCUUUACCAAAGAUCGAUCAGCUAGUAGAUUCAACGGCUGGACAUGGUCUGCUUAGCUUCAUGGACGCGUUCUCGGGAUACAACCAGAUCCCCAUGUACGAGCAGGAUGAGGAGAGCACGGCUUUCAUCACUAACCAAGGUUUGUUCUGUUACAGGGUAAUGCCAUUCGGUCUCAAAAAUGCCGGGGCCACCUAUCAAAGGCUGGUGAACAAAGUCUUUAAGCCGUUGAUUGGGAAAACCAUGGAGGUGUACGUGGAUGACAUGAUCACCAAGUCCAAAAUCCCGGAGGAACAUGUCAGACACCUCGAGGAGACAUUCGAGCUUUUGAGGAAGUAUAAGAUGAAGCUCAACCCGGAGAAGUGUGCUUUUGGGGUCGAGUCGGGGAAAUUCCUUGGAUUCAUGGUGAGCCAUAGGGGGAUUGAAGCAAAUCCCGAGAAAAUCCAGGCGAUUGUGCAAAUGACGUCUCCCCGUAACCUGAAGGAGAUGCAGAGCCUCACGGGGAGGUUGGCGGCGUUGAGCAGAUUCAUAGCCAAGGCUACAGAUAAGUGUCAGCCGUUCUUUCAAGUGAUGAGGAGGGGAAAGAAAACAGAAUGGACCUCAGAAUGCGAGGAAGCCUUCCGGAACUUGAAGCAAUACUUGCAGCAAGCUCCGCUGCUGUCCACACCGAGGGAUGGGGACAAGUUAUAUCUGUAUUUAGCGGUAUCGGCUCGGGCCGUCAGUUCUGUUCUGGUGAGAGAGGAAGAAGGAGUUCAGUAUCCGAUAUAUUACACCAGCAAGGCCCUGCUCGACGCUGAGACCAGAUACCCACCGUUGGAGAAAUGGGCACUUGCCCUUGUGGUUGCUGCUCGGAAGUUGAGGCCAUAUUUUCAAGCAUUCCCGGUCUUGGUAAUAACAAACCAGCCAUUGCGUCAAACUCUGCACAAGCCAGAUGCCUCUGGUCGGCUCGUCAAGUGGGCUGUAGAGCUGAGCGAGUUCGACAUAGACUAUAAGCCCCGCGCAGCGAUAAAAGCCCAGGCAAUGGCCGAUUUCGUAGCUGAAUUCACAGAGCCCGAAGUAUGCUUAGAUCAACAAGAGGCAGAUAUAGGCAAUGACGAAACUCAAGUAUGGCAGAUGUCUGUGGAUGGGUCAUCAGGGGAGCGGGGUUCAGGAGUAGGGAUUGUCUUGGAAGGCCCAGAGGGGGAGGAGAUCUCUUAUGCUGUAAAAUUGGAAUUUGCAGCCACGAAUAACCAGGCAGAGUAUGAAGCCUUGAUAGCAGGUCUGGAAUUGGCUAAGGCCGUGAAAGCAAACAAAGUUAAGAUCAGAACUGAUUCCCAGCUGGUAGCGAAUCAUGUCAGUGAAAGAUUCCAACCAAGAGAGGAGAAGAUGGGGCAGUACCUGAAGAUAGUCAAGCAGAUGAUGGGGAAGUUCGAAGCAGUGGAGGUGAUACAGAUCCCCAGGGAGCAGAAUAGUCGAGCAGACAUUUUGGCUAGGAUGGCAGCAGUAGCCGACCCAAAAAUGCCAAAGUCGGUCCCUCUGGAGGUGAAGUCCGGCCCAAGUAUCGAUCAGAAUUUGGGGGUGAUGCGGAUAGAACAAAAAUGCUCGUGGAGGGACCCGAUAGUUUCAUACCUUAGAGACGGGGUAUUACCACCAGAUAAGAUGCGAGCUCGCAAGCUUAGAGCCCAGGCCUCGAGAUACACGAUGAUUGAUGGGGUACUGUAUCGGCGAGGAUAUACACUACCGUUCCUUCGGUGUUUGGAUGAGGACGACGCGGAUUACGUACUAAGAGAAGUACACGAAGGAAUUUGCGGAAAUCAUUCUGGCGGGAGGUCCCUGGCCCAUAAGGUUCUAAGGCAGGGAUAUUUCUGGCCGACAAUGCACCAGGAUGCGCAAGAGAAGACCAGGAGUUGUGUAAGUUGCCAGAGUUUUGCAAAUUUCUCUAACCAACCACCAGAGAAGCUUACCUCCAUGACCUCCCCCUGGCCAUUUGCUCAAUGGGGAAUUGAUCUGAUCGGCCCAUUGCCAAAGGCACGGGGAGCAGCAACACAUGCAAUAGUUGCUAUAGAUUACUUCACGAAGUGGAUAGAGGUAGAAGCCCUUAGCAGGAUCACAGAGAAGAAAACAACAGACUUCGUGUGGAGAAACCUGGUCUGUCGAUACGGGAUCCCUUAUGCCUUGGUAACGGAUAAUGGCAGGCAGUUCGAUAACCACAGCUUCAGGGAUUUCUGCCAGAACCUCGGGAUAGAGCUGAAGUAUUGCUCGCCUGCUCACCCUCAAUUGAAUGGACAAGUAGAAGCAGCCAACAAGACCAUCAAGAGGCUUUUAAAAACCAGGCUUGGAGCAAAAAAGGGUGCGUGGGUUGACGAGCUGUCAGGUGUGCUAUGGGCAUACAGAACAACCCACAAAACCGCAACUGGGGAGACACCGUUCGCUUUGGCUUUCGGACAUGAAGCGGUCGUGCCGGCUGAGAUAGGAACGACCACACACCGGACAAAUCAUUUCAAUGAGCAGGAGAACGACGAGCAGAUAUGUUUGAAUCUUGAUCUGCUAACGGAAAGGUGGGAGCAAGCAGCCGAGCGAUCAGUCAUUUACCAACAGAGGGUUGCUCGGUAUUAUAACCAGAAGGUGAACAUACGGCAAUUCAGGGUCGGAGACUGGGUACUGAGAAGAGUGAAUCAGAGCACCAAAGAUUCGACUCAAGGAGUGCUGGGACCGAAUUGGGAAGGGCCAUAUAGAGUCAAGCAGAUAGCGGGACCCGGAGCUUACAGGCUGGUUCGCACGGACGGCCACGAGGUGAAACGCCCAUGGAACGCAGCACACCUCCGAAAAUACUUCCAGUAAGACUUGUUCACAUGUGAAAACUAUUUUUGCUCAUGUUCAUUACCGUUUAUCUUUCACGCUUAUUGUCCAAACAAUUUCAUGUAAGUCGAAUCCUGCCAUUAAUGGAACGUCGAGGAAUUUCUUUCGCUUGAAACCGAGAAAAUUUUCCAAGGCAUGCAAAGGCUCACCAAGUCUCAAAGCCUGUCUUAUGGCGAGACAGAAGCCAAGCAUGCCAGGAUCUGCUCGGCCACGAGAAGGCAAGCAGAAUCCCAAUCCUCGAAGAAUCCAAGGCAUGCAAAGGCUCACCAAGUCUCAAAGCCUGUCUUAUGGCGAGACAGAAGCCAAGCAUGCCAGGAUCUGCUCGGCCACGAGAAGGCAAGCAGAAUCCCAAUCCUCGAAGAAUCCAAGGCAUGCAAAGGCUCACCAAGUCUCAAAGCCUGUUUUAUGGCGAGACAGAAGCCAAGCAUGCCAGGAUCUGCUCGGCCACUAGAAGGCGAGCAGACUCCAAAGCAUUCGAAGAAAUGCCCAAGGCAUGCAAAGGCUCGACAAAGUCUCAAAGCCUGUUUUAUGGCGAGACAGAAGCCAAGCAUGCCAGGAUCUGCUCGGCCACUAGAAGGCGAGCAGACUCCAAAGCAUUCGAAGAAAUGCCCAAGGCAUGCAAAGGCUCGACAAAGUCUCAAAGCCUGUUUUAUGGCGAGACAGAAGCCAAGCAUGCCAGGAUCUGCUCGACUACUAGAAGGCGAGCAGACUCCAAAGCAUUCGAAGAAAUGCCCAAGGCAUGCAAAGGCUCGACAAAGUCUCAAAGCCUGUUUUAUGGCGAGACAGAAGCCAAGCAUGCCAGGAUCUGCUCGGCCACUAGAAGGCGAGCAGACUCCAAAGCAUUCGAAGAAAUGCCCAAGGCAUGCAAAGGCUCGACAAAGUCUCAAAGCCUGUUUUAUGGCGAGACAGAAGCCAAGCAUGCCAGGAUCUGCUCGGCCACUAGAAGGCGAGCAGACUCCAAAGCAUUCGAAGAAAUGCCCAAGGCAUGCAAAGGCUCGACAAAGUCUCAAAGCCUGUUUUAUGGCGAGACAGAAGCCAAGCAUGCCAGGAUCUGCUCGACUACUAGAAGACGAGCAGACUCCAAAGCAUUCGAAGAAAUGCCCAAGGCAUGCAAAGGCUCGACAAAGUCUCAAAGCCUGUUUUAUGGCGAGACAGAAGCCAAGCAUGCCAGGAUCUGCUCGACUACUAGAAGGCGAGCAGACUCCAAAGCAUUCGAAGAAAUGCCCAAGGCAUGCAAAGGCUCGACAAAGUCUCAAAGCCUGUUUUAUGGCGAGACAGAAGCCAAGCAUGCCAGGAUCUGCUCGACUACUAGAAGGCGAGCAGACUCCAAAGCAUUCGAAGUAAUGCCCAAGGCAUGCAAAGGCUCGACAAAGUCUCAAAGCCUGUUUUAUGGCGAGACAGAAGCCAAGCAUGCCAGGAUCUGCUCGACUACUAGAAGGCGAGCAGACUCCAAAGCAUUCGAAGUAAUGCCCAAGGCAUGCAAAGGCUCGACAAAGUCUCAAAGCCUGUUUUAUGGCGAGACAGAAGCCAAGCAUGCCAGGAUCUGCUCGACUACUAGAAGGCGAGCAGACUCCAAAGCAUUCGAAGUAAUGCCCAAGGCAUGCAAAGACUCACCAAGUCUCAAAGCCUGUUUUAUGGCGAGGCAGAAGCCAAACGUGCCAGGAUCUGCUCGACCACUAGAAGGCGAGCAGUCUCCAAAGCAUUCGAAGAAUCUCCAAAGGCAUGUGGCAAAACCAUGAGCCAAGCCGGAACCUGCUCGUCUAGACAGAGACAAGCAGAUUCUCAACCGAAAAUUAAUUCAUAAUUACAUCACAAGAAAGUAAUCAAAAACCAUUUUUAUUAAUUUGUUAAUAAUUAACAGAGGGGAUAAUCUUCAUGAACAUUGUUCAUUACAAUACAAGAAAUAUAUCAGGAAGAUGGUGGACCAGUAAGCCCGGCAGCAUCGGUUGGCUGGACCUCCUCAGGUGCAGGAGGGGUAUCACCAGUUGCGUCCGGGGGGUGCUCGCCUCGCCAACAUCAGCAGGGACUGCACGAGCAGGAGAGUCUUCCUCCUCAAUCACGAUCGGCUCUACCCCAUCGGCAUCUUCCUUGGCCGCCUCCUCAUCCAUAUGUUGAGCAACACCAGCUGCAAGGUCAUCCAUCUUCAGAUCAGGGUGUUGCUUCCCGAGGACGGCCAUGAUGCAACGAUAGGAAUGCCGAAGUCCCUGGUCGUACUGGUUGUCAGCCUCCCUCUCCAAGUUCUCGACCUGAGCUCGGUGGGAGUCGCGGAGAGAUUCGAGCUGAGCCUCAUACAUAGCCUUCUGCCUUUGCAGAUCCUCCUUGACCGUGGUAAGCUCCUCCUCGAGGGAAAUGGCUUUUGCUUGAGCAAGUGAUUCUUGCUCUAUUAACUUCAGAUUCUCGAGAUUCAGCUCCCCUGCUUUCUUCUCGGCAACGUCAGCUCUGGUCGUCGCCGAUUGAAUAUCCUCCUUCAUCUUCCGGUCGUAGCGGCCAACCUUAGCCUUGUAAUAGGUGGUCAUGCAGCUGAGGUGGAAAGCGCUAUGCUGCAUGGCCCCCACCAGCUCACCCAAGGUGCGGCCGUCAAAGUCCUCCAAGUCCUUCUUGCUCAUGAGUUUAGUUAACUCAUUGAGGUAGGGGACCAGGUGUUCUGCUCGGCUGUCAGGUAAGCGAGAUCGAGGCCCGACAGGAGGAAAAGAGGAAGCAGGAUCUGUAGCUGCUCCACUAGCUUCCCCGACUUUUACAGGAGCAGGAGGUAAAAUCUUCAAGGGUGGGACCUGCUGCAUGAUGUUGGCCCGCUUUGCAGCAGGGGCAUUCUUAUUCUGGUCCCUCUUCGUGGUGGGAGGUCGGGAACGUUUUCGGGUCAGAGCCCCAAUCACAGCGUCCUCCAUCCUAUGGCCAGGAAGUAUCAAGCGAGACUCGAGCAAGUUGUAUGUAGUUAGCAGUUCUCGGCUCGAGCAGGAAUUGGCUAGUACAGCCUCGACCCGUUUGAGCUGGUCAGGUUCAAGCGGGAAGUGGACACCCCAAGAAACUACAACACAAACAGACACUUGGUUAGAGACAAGCCAAUAAAGCAAGAACAAUUAUGGAUGCAAGACAUCUAGAGCGAGCAGGCAACCUGGGACCGUGAAACGGGGUGGGACGCGACAAUCCUUCCCGCCUAUUUGUGCAACUUGACCCCAAGGACCCCCAGCAAAAAAGAAUUUCCUCUUCCAAGCCCCACCACCACCGGUUGGAAGAUCGGUUAUGGAUUUCCGGCUCUUGGUGCUAGAUUGGAAGUAGUACCAGCCGGCAUCUUUGGGGCUGCUCUUUAGCUGGUACAAGUGCUUCACCUCGUCAACCGUGGGCUCGCUUUGGCAACAUCUGUCCCACAAUAUGAACAGACCAGAGAGCACUCUCCACCCAUUGGGAUUCAGCUGACCAGGAGCUAGAUUUAGCCCGUUAAGUAUCCGGGCAAAGUAGGGUUGCAAGGGACACCUCAGCCCGUACUUAAAGCUCUCUAGAAACAGGGUAACGUAUCCCCUAGGAGGCCGGCUGGGAGCAUCCUUCUUUCCUGGGACCUUGAGAGGUAUCUCACCAGGAAUGCUAUACCUAAGCUGGAGGUCAUUGAGCUCGUCAAACAAGGUCGUGCACGUCAUGUAAUCAAUGGCAUAAUCGCGCGACAAGGCUCUGCCUCCUACUGUACCCCGUUCCUCUAGUCGUGAUGUUCCAGAUGGAGACACCUCACCAGAGUCACCUUCCCCAUUCUCACUUAAGGUGUCCUCAGAGCCAGAAGGUCCCCCCUCACCAUUGCUUCCGCUCGUGGAGGUUGUUUGGGGGGACAUCCUCCUAGCACUAGUCCCGACACUAAACCUAAUGGGUUCUAAGGGGAUCCCGGGGUCAAAAGCCGGAUCAGUGAGCAGACUAGGCAGGAAACUUAGUUCGUCGUCAUCAAUCUCAACGACUUUCUCCUUACCUUUCGACAUUCCCUAAGCCCUAACCACAACACCACCAACUACUACCUAAACAGAAGAGAAGAGAAAUUAUCUACAACUAUCCGAGACCAAGGAGAUAGAAGAAAUACCUGAAGUAAUGGUUCAGUCGGUGAAAGUCAGAGAUGGAGGCCUUUUAUGCCGGAACUUCUUUGCCGGAGAAACAGAGACGGAGACGGAGUGAAUGAUGAAUAUGCCGUUCGAGAGGAUUUGGUUUUCCUAAUGAAGACGGACUCUUGGGUUGCCAGCAUUUAACGGCGCCGAAUCCCGAGGGUCUCAUAACCGUCGGUUUGAAAUUCAAAUGAAGGGGGGGAUUUCUGCCACGUCACCUCGUCCGCAAUUAAAUGCGACAUGACUCUUGGCAGCCUUUUCCAAUCCCACGCGGGCGAGUACUAACGAGUUUCUACUGCUGGUCCACUACAUUACCCAACACCAGAAACUGGGGGACCGGUGUUUGGGAGAAAUACGUCGAUGAGACCAGGCAUGGUGAGCAGAUAUCUGAUGGCAGAGUUCUGCGAACCGGUGUGUUCCGUAAAAGCCUGGUGCACGGGGGAACAUGAGCAGAAGUAUCCUGCUCGUCCACGAGCACGUCAUCCGCGAGGCAAAUUUCCUGUAAGAGGCAUAAGGUCAUUCCGGCUAGAGGUCGAGAGGCGAGGAGACCCGGUCGACGGCAGUUGGCAAGACAUGCUCCCCAGCCCGAGAAUCUAGGCACGACAGCCACGCUUUCCCCAGAACUGUGGCGUAACACGCAAGAUCUCACAGAACCACGACAGCCACGCUUUCCCCAGAACCGUGGCGUAACACGCAAGAUCUCACAGAACCACGACAGCCACGCUUUCCCCAGAACCGUGGCAUAACACGCAAGAUCUCACAGAACCACGACAGCCACGCUUUCCCCAGAACCGUGGCGUAACACGCAAGAUCUCACAGAACCACGACAGCCACGCUUUCCCCAGAACCGUGGCGUAACACGCAAGAUCCCACGUUUGCCCAUAACGCAGCAGUCAGAGUCCCAUACCGUCUCAGAAAAAGCGGAAAACUGGGAUUCAGGGGAAGCCUAUAAAAAGGUAGCCAACGAAGGUAAAAGGGUUGGCAUUUUUGAGAUUAUAAAAGAAAUGAAAAAAGAAGAGAAAACGACGAAAAAGCCAUAAGAUCUGUGGCAAGUGUCCCCCGAACCUUCAUAUCUGACUUGAGCGUCGGAGGGUUUGCGCCGGGAAAACAACCGGCGUACUCUGACUUGUCUGUGUGCGCAGGAACCUCUGGAGAAGAAGCCUCACGUGGAGACCUCCUGGUCGUGAAGAAGUUGAUCGGGCAGAGAUCCUGGUCGUAGAACGAGGAGAACCGGAAUCCCGCAUCAACAGAACUUGUACUUGUCCUGUGAUCCGUACAUGCGACCACGAAUGACCUACAUCGAAGGAUCUUACGUUGAAUCCUUUAAACCUGGCUUGGUUAGUGCACUCGCUCAUGGCCACGCUUUUCAUUUCCAUGGCUUCUUGCUCUUUUGUUAUAGAAAAUUUAUUUUUGGUUGCAGUUUGAUUCGACUGCUAAAAUCUCGUGCGAUAAUUGUAUAAGAUAUCUAGAGUUUGAACUUCUUUCACAUUAGGGUUCAAGGAAGUUAACUUAAAUGAUUUUCAAAAUUUUAAAUGUGUACCAAAGAAUUUAAUUUCAUAGCUUAAACUUAUAUUUUGAUCAUACUCUAACUUUGGACAGGAAAAAUUAUAUUUUUCCUUUAGUUCUUUGCCUUGGUGUAUGUUGUGUGAAGUACUUGUGCUUGAAAAUGAAUUGCUGACACAGAAAUUUCUAUGAAUGCAUGCAGCCCAUAAGUGGAUAUGGGGUGGGUAAAGUUUUGGAUUCAGAGAAUCCAGAGUUCAACAAAGGUGACUUGGUUUGGGGAAUGACUGGAUGGGAAGAGUAUAGUCUCAUUACGGCUCCACACUUGUUUAAAAUUCAACACACAGAUGUGCCUCUUUCUUACUAUACUGGAAUCCUCGGUAAACUUUUUGUUUGCACAAUUUAUGUGAGCAAAUUGUGUCUUCUUUUUCAUAUGUAAAUGUUUUUGAUAUCUUGAUGUGAAGGUAGAAAAUUGCAUGUUUUGAGUUUUUGCAUAUUUGAUGGAAACACAGAACUGUACCUGAAUCUUUCAGAACCCCCUUCUCUUUGAAGUUUGAACACUUUUCUUGAAUGUAUCAACUUUAUUUAUGGGAUAUGUUGCCAAAUUGGAAAAUCUAUUCGUUAUAAAACUUUCCUUUGACAGUUUAAUCUAAGCAGAUGUUAAUUCUGCAAAUAGAGUGUGCCUUAGAUUAGUUUCAUAGAUUUGUCUCCUUCUGUACAGUAAAAACUUUGAGCAUUUUCGCCAUAUUCUGAUCAAUACACUCCAACUAGUUAGUUCUUGAGGCGUUUUAUGGUUUCGUGGAGUGAGGCAAGAUGUAUACGUUUGCAAAUUGGCAAUGUCUUUCUCUUGAUGGGUUGAGAGUUGUGAGUGUCAACAGGAAACAAGACCUCUGUUUUAUGAACUCCAAAAAGUUAUUCUGUUAAAAAGAUCGAGACAGAGGCCAUACUAUAUUUAUUAUUGCUAUAAAAGUGUGAAAAAAUAUUCUUUAUUUAAUAUUCUAAACGAUUGAGCCAUUUAGUUAUGAUACUCUGCUGUAUUGGGGCUAAUAAUCUAAGUCGGUUCAAAGUGGUAAAUUUAUAAAUUGAUAGGUAUGCCUGGUAUGACCGCUUACGUUGGAUUUUAUGAGGUCUGCUCUCUUAAGCAAGGAGAGUGUGUCUUCAUAUCCGCAGCAUCUGGUGCAGUUGGACAGCUUGUGGGGCAGUUUGCAAAGUUAUUGGGUUGCUAUGUCGUCGGAAGUGCUGGAAGCAAAGACAAGGUAUGUAAAAUUAGAAUUUGAUCAACAGAUUUGGAGUGUUUGUUUACAGAGAAAAUCUAAGAGAAAAUGUAAGAAACUUUAGCUGAGAAUAUUCAUUUUGUUCAACUUAAUAACAGAAUGAGAUUACAAAGCUUAUAUACUGCUAUCAAGAAUCAUCUUAACACAUACAUCAUUUUCACGUGUAUUUAUCUUUGAAAGAAGCUAAAUAACCAGCUUAACAAACUCACAACUACUUUGCUGACUGGACUGCCACGUCACCAUAACUAACUUAACUAAUCCAAUCAGUUAAUCACAGUUAACACAUAUUCUUAUCAUCCCCCCUCAAGCUUAAGUUCGGGGAAGGACAUUAAGCUUGGUACGAAGAUAAGCAAACUGAUCAAAAGAGAGGGGCUUGGUGAGAAUGUCUGCAAGUUGUUCUGAACUGGAAACAUGACUGAUCGUGAGUUGCUUCUGGGCAAUAUGCUCUCGAAUAAAAUGAAGAUCCAACUCAAUGUGCUUUGUUCGAGAGUGAUACUUAGGAUUGCUAGCUAAUGCCUCAGCACUCUGAUUAUCACAUUAUAGAACAGGACUUUGAGUUGGCUGAAUUUGCAGUUCUUGAAGCAAAUAAGUGAGCCAAAGAAUUUCAGAGGUUGCCGAAGCAAGAGCUCUAUAUUCAGACUCUGCUGAGGAACGAGAAACAAUGGUUUGUUUCUUGGAGGACCAAGAAAUAAUAUUGUUUCCUAAGAAUACACAAUACCCUCCAGUAGACUUUCGAUCAUCAGGAUCAGCUGCCCAAUCAGCAUCAGAAAAUGCUGUUAAAGUCACAGAGCCUGAAUUGAAGAAUUGAAUCCCAAAGUGUGAAGUAGCUUGAAGAUAUCGAAGAACCCUUUUACAAGCUUGCCAGUGUGCAAUGGUUGGAUGAGCUAGGAACUGACUAAGCUUGUUAACAGGAUAAGCUAUAUCAGGUCUUGUUAGCAACACAUACUGAAGAGAGCCCACAAUACUUCUGUAUAAUGAGGGAUUAUCAAAAACUUCACCACUGUCCUUUGUAAGCUUAUCACCUGGACUCAUAGGAGUAUUAAAACCUUUGCUGUCAAGCAUAUUUACUUUUCUAAGGAUAUCACCAAUGUAUUUGGUCUGAGAUAAAUGCAGUCCCUGAACAGAGGGUGUUACUUCAGUACCAAGAAAGUAGUUAAACUCUCCUAGAUCUUUGAGUGCAAACUCUGAAUGAAGAUAUUGAAUAACAGCCUCAAUAUGUUGAGAAUUAGAACCAGUAACUAAAAUAUCAUCAACAUAUAUAAGAAUGAGCACAAUAUCAUGGUCAAUAUGCUGAAUAAACAUGGAUGUAUCAGAUUUUGAGGAUUGAAAACCUUUAUGGAGUAAGGACCCUUUCAACCUCUCAUACCAAGCUCUAGGAGCUUGCUUGAGACCAUAUAAGGCUUUGUUUAACUUGCAAACAUAUGAUGGAUUUGCAAAGUCUAUAAAACCUUGUGGCUGAUGCAUGAACACAUCCUCUUCAAGCAUACCAUUGAGAAACGCAUUAUUAACAUCCAGCUGUCUAAUCUGCCAAUGAUGCAACACUGCUAGACUGAGGACAACUCUGACUGUGCAAGGUUUCACAACUGGGCUGAAGGUCUCAAAGAAAUCCACCCCUUGAGUUUGAUGAUAACCCUUGGCAACCAACCUAGCUUUGUAUUUGGAAAUGCUGCCAUCAGGGUUAUACUUCACCCUAAAUACCCACUUAUUACCAACUAUUUUAGCAGCACUUUCAGAGGGCACUAGAGUCCAGGUUUGAUUUCUUUGCAGAGCAUCAAAUUCCUCUUUCAUAGCACAAAACCACUUGGAGUCAUGCAAGGCACUUUUGACACUAGUUGGCUCAAGAUUUUCAGUAGCUGCUAGAUAUGACUUGGGUUUGAAGAUACCAGCUUUAGCUCUAGUAAUCAUUGGGUGAGAUGGUAAUGAAGAUGAGUGAGUUGGUUCAGCUGAAGGAUGAGAAUAAGAAGGUUGUGCUGAACUGGAACUUGAUGGAGGAGACAUUGCUGAAUGAAAAUUAGGAGAUGAUGACUCUACAUUGCUACUGUCAACCUGAGCAGAAGUUUGAAGAAAAGAAAGUUGUACUGGUGAAGAAGGGACAUCAACAUUGGAGACUUGUGAGGUAGAGUGUUUUAGAAACAAUUCUGUGUUAGGAAACUCAGUUUCAUUAAAAACAACAUGUCGAGCAACAAACACUUUACCAGAUGAAUUUAAACACUUAUAACCUUUAUGAAGUGGACUGUAACCAAUGAAAAUACAUUUUUGAGUAUGAAAGUCAAGUUUAUGCUGGUUAUAAGGUCUGAGGAAUGGAAAACAGGAGCAACCAAAAACCUUUGGAAACUGAUAGUCAGGCAGAUGAUUAUGUAAUUUCUGAAAUGGGGAUAGAUUGUUUAGAACUGAUGUGGGCAUUCUGUUGAUAAGGAAAGAAGCAGUGUGGAAUGCUUCCCACCAAAAGGAGAGAGGUAACUGUGAUUGAGCUAGAAGUGUCAGACCUGUUUCAACAAUAUGCCUGUGUUUCCUCUCAACAACACCAUUUUGAUGGUGUGUAUAUGGACAACUAUACCUAAAACAUAUACCCUCUUGCUGAAGAAAGGUUUUAAAAGCUAUAAAUUCACCCCCCAUAUCUGACUGUAGUGUUUUGAUAGACAAGGAGAACUGUUUUUCAACAAGAAGUUUGAAGUGUUUGAAGGUUUCUAAGGCUUCUGACUUUGCUGUGAGAGGAAAAAUCCAAGAAUAUCGAGUGAAAUCAUCCACAAAAGAGAUAUAAUAUCUGUAUCCACUCAUUGAAUAUUCAGGAGCUGGUCCCCAUAAAUCUGUAUAUAGAAGCUCAAGUGGUGCUUUUGUUUUAAUGGUAGUGACAGAAAAAUGAAGCUGAUGCAUUUUGCCAUGUUGACAAGCAUCACAGAAGCUAAUGAAUUUAUUUGAAAAGCAAUGUGUGGGAAGACUUUUAAUAAUUGUUUGCAAAGCAUGUUUAUUGGGAUGACCAUAUCUAUUAUGUAACAACUGAACUGAUAUCUUUCCAGCUCUAGAAGAAUUUCCAGAAACAGAACAUGCAAAAGCUUCAGACAUAUUUACAUUAUCCAACUUUGACACAUGAUUAUUUGACUCUGGUAAAGAGUUUACAACUUUAUUAUCAAAACAAAAUGACAACAUGGAACUUGGUUUAAAAAGAUUUGGAUUGCAAUCUGCAGAGUAAGGAGAGAAGACAUCAAGUGACAGUAGCUUGUAAAGACCACCUUUAACAAUCCCCUGUGCCAGCAAAGUUCCCUCCUUCUUGUCCUUAAUAAAGCACAUGGUGGAACAAAAUUCAAUGAUUAUGUUAUUAUCCAAAAGAAGUUUAGAUAUACUGAUGAGGUUUUUGGUUAUUUUAGGAACACACAAAGUAUUGGUUAAGGAUAAACAUGUGCCAAAAGAAGUAGAAAGAUGAGUGCAGCCAAUAUGUGUGAUAGUAAGACCUUGUCCAUUUCCAACAAACAACAGUUGAGUACCAUUAUAAGGAUUACCUUCAACCAGGUUUUGCACAUUGUUGGUGAGAUGAUGAGUGGCUCCACUGUCCAGAUACCAUCCCUGAUCAGCAACUCCUUCUGAGGUAGCCAUAUAAGCUGUUCUUGGCCCUGGGUUCUGCAUUGGAGAAUUUGAAACAAAAUUUCUGUUAAAUCUGUUUCUACAAUCAACAGCUGAAUGGUUUGGUUUAAAACAUAUUUGGCAGGUAAUAUUUCCUCUGCCACCUCCUCUACCAAAGCCACCAGAGGACCCUGGAUUUCCACCAUUAAAACCACCAUUUCCACUAAAUCCACCAGUAUUUCCAUUAAAACCACCAGAGUUUGAACCUCUUCCUUGGUUUCCAAACCAGCCUCUCCCUGAGUUUUGAUCCAUAAAGCCACCUCUGCCAGAUCCAUAACCUCCUCUAUUGUUGAAAUUUCCAUUUCCAUUUCUAUUCACAAAAUUAACAUUCCAAUUACCCUGGUUAUUAGUAUUCCAAUUAGCAUUGCUUCCUGACUUCUUCUGAUUAUUACCAGUCUGAGCCACAUUAGCACUAAAAUUCACCUUAGUUUCCUUAGCUACACCAGAAUGAUUACUCUCAAGCCUAGCUUCAUGAGAUAGCAACAUAGAAUAAGCCUCAUUGAUGCUCAUUUUAAGAGCAUUUGCCUCAAUAUAAACUACAACAGGAUAGUAAGCCUGACCUAGCCCUGAGAUUAAAUGUGUAAUGAAGUCAAUAGAGCUAACUGAACUUCCAGCCAUUGCUAAUUCAUCAGUUACUGACCUUAGUUUACAAAAAUAUUCAGUAAUUGACAUGGAUCCUUUCUUAAGAUUGUUUAGCAGCAUCUUUAAAUGCACUUUCUUAGCUGCUGUUUCAAAUCCAAACUGUUCCUCUAAGCUUAUCCAAAGUUCUCGAGAGUUUUUAGAAUUUACCACAAUGCUUAAGAUCUCCACACUGAUUGAAGAUAGAAGCCAGCUCAAGAUCAUCUGAUCUUGCCUUUUCCAAGUAGUGUAGGCAGGAUUUUCUGAGAUGACUGCCGCAUCUGUGCUUGUUGAUUCACCAGUCAGCAGCUGGUUUGGACAGGUACGUGAUCCAUCAAGAAAACCUUCCAGAUCAUUUGCUCGAAUGGCUGAAAGGAUCUGAGAUUUCCAUAUAGUAUAAUUCGAUCUGUCAAGCUUGAUUGGUGUGGCGAAAGUAAAUGUUGAGAUUGCGGAAGAAACAUUUGUACUAAGACUUGAAGAAGCCAUGAUCAAGAAGUGAUUCAAGGCUCUGAUACCAAAUUAGAAUUUGAUCAACAGAUUUGGAGUGUUUGUUUACAGAGAAAAUCUAAGAGAAAAUGUAAGAAACUUUAGCUGAGAAUAUUCAUUUUGUUCAACUUAAUAACAGAUUGAGAUUACAAAGCUUAUAUACUGCUAUCAAGAAUCAUCUUAACACAUACAUCAUUUUCACGUGUAUUUAUCUUUGAGAGAAGCUAAAUAACCAGCUUAACAAACUCACAACUACUUUGCUGACUGGACUGCCACGUCACCAUAACUAACUUAACUAAUCCAAUCAGUUAAUCACAGUUAACACAUAUUCUUAUCAUGUAAUCUGUGUGAAGUACUUGAUUGUUUCCAUGUUACUUUCAAACAUUUAAAUUAAAAAGGAAAUUUUCAUAAUCUUGCCUUUUCUAUGAUUUUCAAAACCAAGGUUGAUCUACUGAAGAACAAGUUUGGGUUCGACGAGGCAUUUAACUAUAAAGAAGAAGCUGAUUUGAAUGCAGCAUUGAAAAGGUUAGCAUCAAUAAAUGCCUUAGCUUGAUGCAGCUUGAUGAAGUAUGAUACACAUUUCUGACCAAUAUACUGCGUUCCCUGAUCUCUUACUUGAAAUAUCUUGGUUUGAGAACCUCAUGCCAAUGCCUUUAACAUUUUGGCAGGUACUUUCCUGAAGGAAUUGAUAUAUAUUUUGAAAACGUUGGUGGAAAAACGCUUGAUGCAGUGCUACCCAACAUGAAAAUCCGUGGUCGAAUUGCUGCAUGCGGUAUGAUCUCACAGUACAAUCUUGACAAGCCUGAAGGUGUGCACAACUUGAUGUAUCUUGUUUUGAAACGGCUUCGAAUGGAAGGAUUCAUUGUUCUCGAUCACUAUCACCUUUAUCCAAAGUUUCUGGAAAUGAUCAUUCCUCACAUCAAAGAAGGGAAGCUUGUAUACGUCGAAGACAUGGCUGAAGGUCUGGAGAGUGCUCCGGCAGCUCUCAUCGGUCUAUUCUCUGGCCAGAAUGUUGGGAAACAGGUGGUUGCUGUUGCUCCUGAAUGAAGAACAAGUUAGUGUUGUAUGUUCUUUUACCCUUUGACACAAAACUUCAAUGUCAAAGAGAGAAUGCUGCUCAUACUGCUUUAUAAAAUAAUCAAAUGAGUGCAAGUUUCAUGAUAUUUGCUGAAUAAAAUAUUGGAAAUUAAGCAGCUAGCCUAGCUCCUUCUUGUAGUUGCAGUUUGAAUGAUGCUGCUGCACAACUGCUGCCGAAAAAAAUCCUUAAUAGAUGAUUAGCAAGGUUUCAAAAAUAAAAAUAAAUGUUUGUGCAAUGUGCCGAAUAUGACAGCCACAAAGAAAGAGCAUACAAAUUGAUUGGUUUUAUGUCUUCUCUAGGAGAAAGCUACAAUACAAGAAAUUGUAUUGAUGGAGCCUUGGACCAAAUUUCUUAUUUAAAUUUUUAAUUUUUUUUAUUAAAUUACUUAUGUUAUUAUGGUUUAUAUUUUUAGAAAUUCUUUAGAAAUUAAUACAGAACUAGUAGCAAGUUGAGAAAUCUACUGAAUGGUCAAGAUAUGAUAAUGUUUAUUGAAUUAAAUUAACAAUCAUCAUUUUCAUAAAUUAUUGUCAGGAUAUUUGAUUCAUGUCAGGUGUAAGUAACUAAGAGAGCGUUUGGGACAGACACCACAGUUGCUCCCGAUGCUUUAUUUUAGGGAAAUAUCCCCUGGAAUAAUGCAUAGGGCGCAGCCCCAAACGGACCCUAAAUGUGCUAAAAAAAAAUUAAUGAGUUGGGUGUGUUUGAUAUUCAUUUGUUGUAAUUCUUUUAAUAAUUAUUGUAGAAAAAAAUAUGAUAAAAAAUUUAUAAUUAUAAAUAAAAAUUAAUAAUAUAAUAAAUAAAAUUUUUAAACAAUAAUUUUAAUAAAAUAAUAAAUAUAUUAUCAAUUUUUCAUCGUUAAUAUUUAAGUCACAAUAAUAAAUAUUUAUUAAACACUUUAAUACUAUAACUAACACUACAACUUUUGAAUUAUAACAGUACAUUCUAAAGACCGUGGAACAAUAGUACAAAAGGUGCUCGUCGUGUAAACAACACAUGGGACCCAAGCAAUAAAUGUUUCUGAUCCUCAACUUUCCUCAUCACUGUCCCUGCAAACAAUUCUGAUUUUCUUGUCUGAUAAAAAAACUGAGAAACAAUGGCGGCCGAACAAGAAGCUGUGAGCAAUAAUGUAAAGCCACAAAUUUUCAUAAUAUUAAAUUAUGAAAAUUGGGCUUUCAUUGAGAAUUAUGGGUGGCCUAUAACCCUUAUUAAGAAAGGGAUACUAAUUAUAAAUACAAGUUAUUUAUGAGAUAGUUUUGAAAAAAUGUUAUUUUUCCUUAUUAAAUAAGGUUUCUUAAGACUCCCUAUAAAUUCAUACUUUUUCCCUUCCAUGACCCUAAGUCCAUGACGUUUAUUCUUCUUCUCUGCUGCUCUUUACGCUCCUACCCAAAUCAUAGGAUUCAAACCUUUGUUUAGGAGAGAAUCAAAGCGACGAGUAAGUUAUUCUCCCUAUUCUCAACAGAUUUCUAAUCACUCUAUCUAGGGUUUAUAUUGGCACGAUUCUAGAUGGUUAUAGAUCAUAAUGCAUGAUUUAGAAUGUAUUUAGGCUUUGUUUAGGGUUUUGAUUUAUUAUGAGUUUAGUUAAUCAAUCCUUGACGUAUUAAGCACAGGAUAAUUCUGGACAAUAUGAGUAUCUCGAAUUUAAACCUAUAUUUUCUGAACGAGUUUUAUUAUAAAAUUUAUAUUUCUGGAAACUAGACAUGUAGGGCUUCUUGAGUAAAUUUUAUUUCAUUAAAUUCGACUUCGUUUUCAAUUUUAUAUUUAUUUUCGAAAUAGAAACCACUGCACUGGAAAACUGCGAUUCCAGCAUUGCGAUCGGAUUCACAAGACUAUUUGUACCACCAAACGAACUCGGAAAAUUCUGAAAGUUUAUAUGUAGGUUAAUAUAUGUGUCUAGGAUUACCAGUUUUAAUUUCAUAAUUUUCUGAUUAGUAUUUUAUUUUAUAAAAAUCACAGAACCCGUUCUGUUUGGUUUAGAUUAUGUGAAAACAGUUUCGAAUUUGCUGAGAAAUAAAUAGUUUCGAAAAUGUUUUUGAUAUCGGAUCCUCUUGCAAAUUUUACAUAGGGUACUCAUGGAUGUCCAGAAUAGUCCCAUAGAAUAUUAUAUCAUUCUGAGUCUUAGAUUAAGAGUUAAAUUCUGAGAAUCAGACCUGUACGGGUAUGAAUUAGAAAAUCAGAUUCUUAGAAUAAGUUAUUAAUUGUCAUAUCUUGUAUUUGUUUAAGGUGUUGAAGGUGAUUGAGGUUCUUAGAAGCUUAAAGGUGUGUUAAUUCAAAUUCAUUUGUCGAGGUAAGUUACUUCAUUCCUACUAUAUUGGAUAUGUAUAAGUAUUUUGAUAUUAUCAUUAUAAGUAUAAAUGUUUUCAUACUAUUUAGAAGAUUAAUGGAUUUUCAUAACAAAAUUAGCUUAUGAAAAUGUUUUCAAAACCUAAUUUCUUUUUAACAAAGCAUUUUAUAAAUACUUUUUAAAUAUGUAAGUUAUUUUGUUACAUGCCUACUUUUAUGAUUUUAUUUAUAAAAUAUUUUGCAAGCCUAAAUUAUUGUUAUGGACUUUUAUGAAUCCGAUACGAAUGUUUUAUGCCUAUGCAUGAUUUCAAUUAUAUAUGAUUGUAUGGGGGCCACCUCUUGGGACUAUAUGGGGGCCACCUCUUGAAGGCCAAAGUGUCGCAAAGUGCCACAUAUAGUGCAAAGUGCCACGUAUAAGUCAUUAUGUUUUGGCUCAUUGUCCGUAGUCAUUUUGAUUCUGAUUCUGAUCAUAUAAUACGAUAUAUGUCUGUUUUGGACCAGUACUGGGUUUCUGUUCUGAGUGUGCACACGAUAUUUUGAUUCUGUUUCUGGCCGGGUCACUGGGACUAUAGGUGACACUAUGUGACAAGAGCUAACCUUUUGUUUUCUGUAUACGUAUUAUAUGAUUUACUUCAUAAGUAAAUAUGCUUUUGGAUAUUCGGAAUUAUUAAGAAUUUAUGUUAUGUUAUCGUGAUAUAUUGUUUUAUGAAAUUUAUGGAUUAUGAUAUAUGUUUUAAACAAAAGAAGGCUUGCAAUAUUUUUGUAUCGAUAGGCCCAGUAUGUUAGAAAUUGUUUUACUUACCGAGUUGACGGCUCACCCCUCGUCAUUACUUUUUGCAGAUUAAGUUUCUUUUGAGAGGUGCGCUUAGCUUUGGAGUUAGUAAUUUUCCGUUUCCAUUUGCCAUUUGAAUAAGAGGAGGAAUAAACUCGUGUUUCUAUUUAGUUAUUUCUAUUAUGAACGUGUAAUUUGGAGUUUGAGACUUUUGUUAUUAUUUUUAUGUCCUCGGGAGAGAUUAUUUAGUAUUAGACGUUAGAAUUUGUGGAUUUAUUUGAAUAAGAAUUGGAGGUAUUUCAGUUUGAAACUUAUGAGUAAAGAUUAUGAUUUGUGAGUAACCUCCUUCUUCACGUGCUCCGCACGUGUUAGAUUUGGGGUGUUACAAAUAAGCGGGUGAUUCUAAGCAACUAUGUGACAGGUUUUCCAAAAGAAUCAGACAUGAAGAUAACAAGUGGAUCAAUAAAGCUGAAGGUAGCAGACUGUUCAAAAGACACGGUGCUUUUGAAGAAUCUUUAUCUUUCUUGUGAUCCUUACAUGCGAGAGCGUAUGAGCAAGCUUGAUAGCCCUUCUUUUGUUGAUUCAUUCCAUCCUGGUGAGGUUAGUUCAUCACGGCCCAUCUCUUGAUUUUUUUUUUUCAUUUGCUUCAAGUUUUGAUGAGUUUCUGAGGUAAUUUGUACGGUUUUGGAAUUUGAACACAAUUUGUGAUUUUGGUGCUGUAACUGUCAUUAAUGAUAUGUAGUAAUUCAAUCGGAAUUUGGAUUUAGUGCUGAUAUGAUCUCUGCUCAUUUUUUUAAAUCUUGUGUCCACAUGCAUUUUUGAAAUCUGGUACGGUUGAGAUUGUAUGUAGAUUAACCUACGUACAGUAUUCUUGUCUAAUGACUACUAACCACAACCUUAUGAGACGAUCGAAACCAAGCUCGGAUCAAUAAUCCAAUCGAGAGAGGAUCAUAACUGAAGCUUAUCGUGUGUGGGAAUAUUUCGGUUAAAUUGUAAUCAUGAUCAUGAAUCAUGCAGGGAAAAGGGAAGUUGAGGUCAAUUUAUGCACUUGAUGGAAUUAAAGAACCAAUAUUUGAUUUUGGUUUACAUUAUUUCUCAGUAAUGGUGACUUUGUGAUGUUAAAUUUAUGCAGCCUAUAAACGGAUAUGGGGUGGCCAAAGUUUUGGAUUCUACACAUCCAAAUAAUGCAAAAGAUGACUUGGUUUGGGGCUUUACCGGGUGGGAGCAGUACAGUCUCGUUACAGCUCCGCAGCUUUUGAUUAAAAUUCAUCAUAAAGAUGUGCCACCUUCAUACUAUACCAGGAUCCUCGGUAAUGAUUUUUGUUACACAUUAAGCUUUGCUUAUAGUAAUAUCAAUACAUAUGCUGCUUAAAUGCUUUCUGAUUUUUUGCCGGCCAUUGUCCAUUUUGCCCGGGAGACUAUAAUUGAAGGAAUUUACUGAAGGAAUGCUGAUUGUUGGGAAUUUGAUUAUUCUAGGUAUGCCUGGUGUAACUGCAUACGCUGGUUUAUAUGAAGUUUGCUCUCCGAAGAAAGGAGAGUAUGUCUAUGUAUCUACAGCAUCUGGAGCUGUUGGUCAGCUUGUUGGACAGUUUGCAAAAUUAGCUGGUUGCUAUGUUGUUGGAAGUGCUGGAAGCAAAGAAAAGGUGCUGUUAUAUCAUUCUUAAGUAGUAAAUAUAGCACCGUGCCUUCUAGCAGAAUUUUACAUGCUUUAUGUUCCAACUAAGCAUCCAUAUUUGAUCGUGAUAAUUAGCAAGGUCAAUAAUUUUUUUUUGACUAUUUUUUCAACGUAAGGUCGAUUUGUUGAAGAACAAGUUUGGACGAUGCUUUUAACUACAAGGAAGAGCCAGACUUGGAUGCAGCGCUCAAAAGGUCAGCUGCAACAAACGUUUCAACUCUAAUAUUUCAUUUUAAUAUUACAGAGCUUUGGUUGAAGUGUGUGAGUUGAUCCCAGAAACGUAACUUCAUCAGUGUCUCUGUUUUCAAAAAACAGGACAAAUUAAAAUCUGAUUUUGCGUUAAAAUUUCCCAGAUGUUUCCCUCAAGGAAUCGACAUCUAUUUCGAAAAUGUUGGGGGAAAGAUGCUGGACGCAGUGCUACUCAACAUGAGGCUCCGGGGCCGCAUUGCGGUAAGCAGUAUGAUCUCACAGUACAACCUGGAAAAACCCGAAGGCAUACACAACUUAGAGCAACUGAUCGGGAAACGGAUUCGCCUGGAAGGAUUUCUAGCAGGUGAUUACUAUCACCUCUAUCUGAAAUUCUUGGAACUGGUCAUUCCUGCAAUCAGAGAAGGAAAGAUGGUGUAUGUGGAAGACAUAGCCGAAGGACUCGAGAAAAUUUCUCGUAACUGCUACACAUUAAACGCGUUUCACAUUUCCACUCUCUCUCUAUAAAUAAACACGCACAUAAAAUUUCUCACUAUCCAAAAACAAAAUCUACAUAAAAAAUGGCGGGUGAAGAAGGAGUGAGCAACAAGCAGGUGAUUCUGAGCAACUACGUGACAGGGUUUCCCAAAGAAUCAGACAUGAAGAUAAUAGCAGGCUCAAUAAAC
rnacentral:lncRNA from 1 species